GCAUCUGAGUUAAUCAAAUAAUUGGAUAAUCAUGAUACAUAUGGAAUAAAAAAAUAUUACUUUUUAUUUUCUAAAUUUACAAGUCCAAGCAAAAGUCAUGGAAAACGUUUUGCUGUAUUUAUAAACGUUAAAAGCCUUUGUAAGAGGCCCAAUUUGCCCGGGCCCAACAACCAAAAACAAUCCAAAACAAAACAAAAAACAAAUAUUAGUCCAAUAAACAGUUCCAUAUAACCCAAAUACAAGCCCAAGUGGCCCAAACCCAAAACUGAUUGCCAGUAAACCCUAAACACUAAGAGCUUCAGCCGCACAGCCUCGUCAUGCCCACGUCUGCAACCUCCGUACGGCCAUUGAACCUGUGAGAAGAAAACUAAUAACCACAACGGAAUACAGCAAAUGCACAGCAACAAAGAAAUAACAGAAAAUAAAAAAAAUAAUAUUGUAACUUCGUUUUUCCUUUUUCUUCUUUGCUUUUGUUUCGACUAUUUAAGGCUGAUUGUAAACACUGUAAAGGGGAAGAAAAAUCAACAGAAAACAACCAAAGGAAUACACUUCAGAGGUGAUCUAUUAUCGCCGUUUCUAUUCUGUUUUUUUUAUUUUCAUUUGAAUCCACGAUACAAAUACUAAAAUAUAAGAGAGAGAGGAAGAGGCUCACCGAAGUCGCAUCGUGCUCGCGCCGUCGGAGGGUUCUACUCCGUUCAUCGUAAUCGGAUCUCGGGAGGGUCGAGCGCUUUCCUCUUUUGUUCUUUCGAGUCAAGAAGGCUAAGCCUUCAUUUCCCUUUUCGAAAGGGAGCUAAACACCCCCAUUUGUGGGGUUCGGGCCACCAUCUACGGCCGUGGUGCGUUGGAUAUCCGACGGAGUCGGCGCCGGCCGAAUAGGGGAGGGAUUUAAAAGAAAAAAUCCUUUAGGUUUUUCUUUUGAAACAGCAGCAAAAUGAAUUUUUGGAUGCAAAAUUAUGAUUUUAAAUGAUUAAUCAAAACGGCAGCGUUUUGGUUCAAAUUCCCCUAGACGAACAACGACGUUUUGAUGCGGUACGGGCAGACCCGAUUACUAGAUCCGGUGCCCUCAGGACCCGCGUGUUUUCUGCGGUAAAGGGCGUUUUCCGCGAUUGGUCCUUUCGCUACGCACUAGCGUUUGAUUAGGCCUGCUUCAGAUUUAUUUGUUUUUUUAAUUUUUCCCCAGAAUUUGGGCACUGUUUCGAUUUUGUCCACCCCUAAGCACCGCGUUUUGGGACUCAGGACAUUUUCAUUUGUAGUCCCUAUGUGUUUGUGCUCAUUUAAUUCAAGUCAUUGACUCUGUUUUAAUAAUUUGAUUUGUUUAAAAAUUAAUCUCUGGAUUUCGUUUUUGUUUCAAUUGAGUUUUUUUAGUUUAUGUAAUUCUUUUACUCUUUUUAAUUCAUUUAUCACUCAUUUUUUUAUGUUAAUGUGCUAUUUCAUUGAUUUUUGCAUUAGUUUAGUUUAUUAUUUGCAUAUUUUCAUGUGUAUAUUUUUUAAAAUUUGUUUUACUUUCUAAUUUGUCUAUUUUAAAAUUAUUCUUUUAUAUUUUUCUAUGUUUAAAGAUUUACACGAUAUUUAAUUUAAUGUUAUUAUACAUACUUUACUCAAUUAUUUUUACUCUAAGUAUACAUUAUUGAUUUCAUAUUAUUUUAUAUAAAUUUUUUCUUUUAAAUCUAUUUAUGUAUAUAUAUAUUUUUUCUUUUAAAUUUAUUUAUGUAUAUAAUUUGUUUCUUUUAAGGACCCUAUUUUAAAUUGCAUGUUUUAUUUAUUUUAAACCCUUUCAUAUAUUAAUAUCUUUGUAUAUACAUUAUUUAUAUUAAAUUUUCAUUUCAUAUAUAUCAUUAUUUUUAAAUCAAUAUAUUUUAUUUUAAAUUAUUUUGUAUAUUAUUUAUUUCAAAUUUCUUCUUACAUAAUAUCAAAUUUAAUAAUCAUUCAUAAAUUAUUAGUUUCAUUAUUUUUAUACAUGUAAACUAUUUCAAACCCUAGUAUGUAUUGUUCAUCCGUAAAUUUUCAUAUAUUUAAUAUUUUUUAAAUUAUUUUAUAUCACAUUGACUCCUGGUUUUCAUAUUGUUUUGUAUAUUAUGUGUUGUUUUUUGGUUUUCAUAUUGUUUUAUAUAUUUUUGUUUCAUAUUGUUUAUUAGUCUUUUGUAUUAUUAUUUUAAUUUUAAUCUUCUAUGUUUAAAAACUUGUUAUAUUUCAUUUUAAUCUGUUUUAGUUAGCCUUAUUUCUAGUUUUCAUUAUUUUGAUUAUUAAUGUUUGGAUGUGAGCUUAUUGUUAUUUUGUGUUUGUUAAUUUAUUUUUUUCAUUUUUACGUUUAUACUAUUUUCACUCAUUAGUAGAGUACUUUAUCCAUGUAUAUUGUUCCAUGUUUAUAGUUUCGCAUUUCAUUCAUGUGUGUCACAUUGUAAAUGAAAUUUUCAACUUAUCGAUCCAAAAUUAAUUAUUCCAUUUUAUUUCAAGUCAAACUAAUGCGUUUUGAGCCGGCUUUAUAAGACAAAGGUGAUGUUUGAUGUUUGGAAAUUUGGGAAAUCGUACCCUAACGUGCUGGGUUUCGAUUUUCUGUUUGACCAAAUAAUCAAAUAUCCCUUUAAGAUUUCGUCCAUGUUUUCUAAACUUCAAAAUAAGGCAAUGCUCUAUGUUUAGAAAUCCGAGAAAUCGUGCCCUAACGUAUUGGGUUUCAGUUUUUUGUUGGACCAAACACUCAACUAUCCUUUUGGUAAUUUUCAAAUGUAUGAGCUUUUGGAAAUCAAGAAUUGAUCGUGGUUUCGGGGGUUAAAAAGAUCAUGUCCUAAUGUGCUGGAUGUGAUGUUGUAUUCCCUCAAAACAAGAGUUUUUUAACGUCUAAUUCGAGUUAUUCAAAUGUUUUAAGAGAAAUCGUAUUUCAAAAUCUUUUUUAAAUCUUAGACAUAAGGAUAUUAUUUAAUCAAUUAGGUACCAAUUUUGGGCGUAACGAGGGUGCUAAUCCGUCCUCGUAUGUAACCGACUCCCGAACCUAUUUUCUCGAAUUUCGUAGGCCAAAAUUGAUAUUUUAAAAUAAAAUAUUUUAUUAAGUAAUUCAAUCACACCUAAAUAAAAAGUAUUGGUAGCGACUCCAUACUUUAUUUUAAAGUCGAUUCUCAGUUUUUCAAAAAAAUAAAAAAUAGUUUCGACAGCCUUAAUAAUAGAGUUUAAUUAUUUUAAUAUAUUUUAAUGAAAGCGUUCAAAAAAGGUUGACGCCAUUGUUGACUAUUAAGAAAAAUGUCGCACUCGCUGAAGUUAUAAAGAGCAGAAUAACAUCGUGAAAAUACAGCAUCCCAAUCAUUGAAAUCAAAACAAAAAGGAAAGGAAGGGUCUAUUUUCUUCACAAAGACAAUGAGCUCCGAUUCUUCAAUAACCAAGAGGUAACCAAAUCCUAAGAUUCCAAAAAGUCAUAUUUUAGACAUUUCAAUUCCAUAAAGCAGGUGAAUUUUCGAGAAUGAUCACAAUUUAGGUCGUGCUAGGUUAACUAUAUCUAUAUUUUAAGUUUGAGUCAUUUUAUAUUUAAAUCAUUUUCAUUCAGGUCAAUUUUUAUUUGAAUCAUAUUCAAGUUCAAGUUGAAUAAAUCUGAGUUGCUGACUUUUUAAGAGUAAGUUUAAUUUAAUCGAGUCUCAAUGUAAAUUAUUUUAAUUGAAUUUUUAGAUUAGAAUCAAAUUUGAUUGAUCUAAUCCAAUCCAAUACAAAACAUUAGAAUCAAUAUUUUGUAUUUUUGUCAAAAAAAGGACCUACUUGUCUUAAACAUGAUAAAUGUGUUUUCAAAGUGGAAAAAGUCAGAACCGAAAGUUUUGUUAAGAAUGCUCAUGUAAUCAAUCUUUUAAAAGAUAAUAUUGAAUUGGGUGAAUGUAACUACUAUGUCCUUUUAUUAUAGAGGUUAGAUCAAAUUAAUCUUUCUAUUAUUAAAUGGAUCAAAUUAGUCUAUAUACUAUUAAAAGGAAUCAAACAAUAAUAUAGGGACUAAGUUGAUCUAUUCAAUAAUAGAGGCACUAAUAUUUGAUAUGGUUCCUAUAAUUGAGGGAUCUUACAAGCACUUUUACCUAUCAAAUAGUAUCUCAACCUUGUUUCUUCUUUAUUUGGUAUAGGCUGGAUAGCAAGGUGGCAUUGAUAACUGGUGGUGCCAGUGGCUUAGGAGAGUGUACAGCCAAACUAUUUAUCAAAAAACGAAGCCAAGGUUCUGAUCGCUGAUGUUCAAGACGAAUUGGGCCGCUCCGUUUGCCAAGAGCUUGGAAUUGAAAACAUUAGCUAUGUCCACUGCGAUGUAACAUGCGAAUCAGACGUCGAAAAUGCCAUAAACUUGGCUGUCUCCAAGUACGGAAAGCUCGAUAUCAUGUUCAAUAAUGCAGGCAUUCCUGGUGACAAUGAAGUAAGAGUGACAAAUGUCGGUACUGAGGAUUUCAAGAGAGUGUUCGAUGUCAAUGUAUUGGGUUUCUUGGGUGCCAAGUAUGCUGCCAGGGUCAUGGUUCCGGUUAAGAAAGGUUGCAUACUCUUCACAGCAAGUCUUGCUUCAAAAAUCUCCUUCGGUCUCCCCCAUACAUACAAGGCAUCAAAGCAUGCCGUAGCAGGGUUAACGAAGAGCUUGAGCGUGGAGUUAGGUGAGCAUGGAAUUAGAGUUAACUGCAUUUCGCCUAAUGGAAUUGUGACCCCAAUGUUACAAAAAGCAAUUGGGAAUGUCGAUAAGAAGAAAGGAGAGGAGAUGAUUGCGGUUUCAGCCGUGUUGAAAGGCACCGUAUUGGAGCCUGAAGAUUUUGCGCAUGCAGCACUCUAUUUGGCAAGUGAUGAGGCUAAAUUUAUCAGUGGUGUUAACUUAGCAGUUGAUGAAGCAUAUAGUGUUAGCAAUCAAUCAUGGAAGAUAGGAUUCGCAGCACUUUCUGAAUAAACCAACAAGUCCUCAGCUUUACUCUUUGAAUGUUUUCUUAAAUUCCACUUUUAAUAAAUUGUAUGGUCAGAUUUGAUUAAUACUAUUUGUUUUGUUGUUCAAAUGAGCAAAUUAAGUUCAUCUUCUAAUGCAGGCACUAUUUGCUAACAACUUUGGUUUAAUACCACCAUAACCAGAUCCACACACUACAUCAUUGAGAGGAAACGCUUGUCUUACAUAAUUUAUACAGGUAAAGGAUUUUAUAACACAAGGAAGUAAGAAGGAACUCACUAGAAAGUCUAAUACAAUAAUCUACUCAGCAUAUCAUUUGCCCUUGCUGCUUGGACCUUCAUUAGCUUCUUGAGCUAAAAAGAGAGGCAAUUAUAUCUAUCGGGUCAUUAAACUACUGAAAAUUAAUAUGCAUGCAUGAAUCGGUUGCAUGCAACCCACAAUCAGGAAGUUUCCUUCCUAACAAACAGUUCUAAAACCUAUGCAUGCGUUACUUUAAAUACAUAAAUUCCUCUGAUAAUAAUCUAAGGGUUUACCAAAAAUUAACAGUAAAUUGGUACUAACAAUGACGUCAGCUAGAUACUGGAAACUCCUCGUUAACGGUUCCAAAUUAGAAAUUUCUAAAGGUUUAGCAAAAAAAUGCAAGGAAGAAGAAAAAGCAUAAGCAAAAACGGAAAAACAUGCUAACUAAAUAUCCUUAUAUAACAAACAUCCAAGAAAUUGUCGGAACAUUUGUUAAAGCAUGAUUGUGAAUGAAUUAAACCAAGAAUUGUAAAGCAUGAUUGUGAACGAAUUAAAUCAAGAGUUGUAAUUGUUCUAGCUUAUUCAUAUUAUUGUUGUUAAAUCUUGUGAAUUGGUUCUAAACAUUCAUUACAUUUUAUUUUAUCUUAUUUGCAUAUUAGUUGUUAAUAUAAUUAGGACAUCCAUUAUAGAUACAAUUCAUGUGAAGACUCCCGUUUACCAACCAAAGACAUACAUAGUGUUCAUGAGUUUUCUUUUAUUUUUUUAGAAUCACAAUAACAUGAUAAGAUUCAAACAAUCAACAUGACUAGUGGAACUCGAACCCAAGUUACACUUGAGGUGGUGAACACCCUUGACCAUUGGAUCAUUACAUAGGGUUCAAUGUUCAUGAGUUUCUUAAAUACAUGUAAAAUGAAAAUAUUUAUUUUAUAUACGAAUUUUCAUAGGUAUAUUAUUUGAUUUUGAUAUUCCAGGCAAAAGUCAUGGGAAAUGUGUUGCCGUAUUUAUAGACGUGAAAGCCUUAAAAAUGGAAGAGUUCCGAUUUUUUGGAUGCAAGAUUAUUGGGACAUUAAAUAUAAUAUUCUUAAAGAUAUAUUAGAAAGUAAUGGUAGUGUUCAAUAAGGUCGACACCAUUGUUGAAUUUUAAGAACAAUGUCACACCCUGAAAUUAUAAAGAGAAAACGCAGCAUCCCAAUCAUUUAAAUGAAAAGAAAAAGGAAAGGGGAGGGAAGGGUCUAUUUUCGUCACGAGUACAAUGAGCUCCGAUUCUUCCAUAACCAAGAGGUAGCUAAAUCCUAAGAUUCCAAAAGGUCAUUUUAGAUAUUUCAAUUCCAUAAAGCAGGUAAAUUUGGGAUGUUUGUCAAUAGAAUCAUCACAAUUUAGGUCGUAUUAAGUUAACUAUCCCUAUAUUUUAGGUUUGAGUCAUUUCAUAUUUAAAUAAUUUUUAUUCAAAUUAAUUUUUAUUCAAGUUACAUUCAAGUUCAAAUUGAAUAGAUCUGAGUUGUUAACUUUUUAAAAACAAGUUUGAUUUGAUCGAGUUUAAAUUUUGAUUAUUCGAAUCGAAUUUUUACAUUAGGAUCAAAUUUGACAGACCUAAUUGAAUUCAAUACAAAGCAUUAUUGUAUUUUUGUCAAAAAGAACCUACUUGUCUUAAACAUGAUAGUCUUGAGAAUAGGCUUACCAAUGUGUUUUCAAAAUGAAAAAAGUCUAACAAAAAAGUUUGUUAAGUAUGUUCAUGUAAUCAUUCUUUUAAAAGAUGAUAUUGAAUUUGGUGAAUGUACUACGUCCUUCUAUUAUAGAGGUUAGAUCAGAUUAAUCCUUCUAUUGUUAAAUGGAUCAAAUUAGUCUAUAUACUAUUACAAGGAAUCAAACAAUAAUAUAGGGACUAAGUUGAUCUAUUCAAUAAUAGUGGUACUAUUUUGAUAUGGUUUCUAUAAUUGAGGGACCUUACAAGCACUUUUACUUAUCAAAUAGUAUCUAAACCUUGUAUCUUCUUUAUUUGGUACAAGCUGGAUGGCAAGGUGGCAUUGAUAACUAGUGGUGCCUGUGGCUUAGGAGAGUAUACAUCCAAACUAUUUGUCAAAAACGGAGCCAAGGUUCCGAUUGCUGAUGUUGAGUAUGACUCAUAUUUCAAUCAAAUUUCAAAAAUAAUCUUUCAGUUAAACUCUAUUUAUUUGUUUCAAUCAAACUUUGAUUAGUCUAGAUUAUUUUAUUAUUAUUUGACCUAUGAAUUUAGCCUAUAAAUAAACUCUUUUACAACAUUAGAAAACACACCCAUUAGAGAUUAGAAUUUAUAACAUUUUUGGAGAAUUUUUGUGUUUACGUUUUGAGGGUUCUUUGUUUUCGGGUGAUGGUCACUAAACUAACUAUAAAUACGAUUAAGGCAAGUGCACACAUCGAACAAUAGUAUAGUUAUGGUGAGUAGGGAAUAUCGUAUCCACGAGGACUAAAAGUACUAGUAAUUACCGUUUUUCUAUUAUUUAGCCAAAAAAUUAGAGUGAUUGUUUUUAAUCUAAAUUUACUAAUCUAAUUUAUCUAAUAACUCAACAGAGAAUGAAAUAGGAAAAUAAUCAAAGAUAACAAAUGAGAUAGACAAUACUGAAGAAAGAAUCCACCUAGACUUCACCUAUUAUUAUGAAUCUGAAUUAAAUGAUUUAUUCACUUGUAUUUUGAUUCGUAGAAAUCUCUAUAUUAUGUUAAUAUCUCUUUCGAGAGUAAGAACAACUGACUUUAGGUUGAUUAAUUGAAAUCUCUUUCUAAUUAAAACCUCAUCGUCACAUUAACUCGAUCUACAGAUUCCCUUAUUAUAUUUGAAUCAAUCCGGUAGAUUUUUCGUCCUAUUUCUAGGAUUGCAUGCAACUCCACUCAAUUAUGCUAGAUCUACUGUUAAACAGGAACUUUUGCUCCACUAAAAUAAGCACAUUAAACAUGAAUUAAUAUCCAAAAAUAUUAAAACACGAAAUAAACAUACAUAAUUGAGAAUAAGAAUCAAGUAUUUAUUGCGUAAAAACAGAAAUUAAAUAAUAAGAUUCAUCAUAGGUUUCAUCCUCCCUAGGUAUCUAGGGAAUUUAGUUCAUAAUCUUGAAUGAAAAUAUCUCAAAGUCAGAAUAACCACAAGACAUAAAAAAACUCAAUAAUACUUCGAAAGAAAUUAAAUGGAGAUCUUCGAUCUUGAGGGAGAUCCGCUUCUGAGUUGAUUUCGAUGGUGUUUUUCGAGUCUUUUCUUAAAUCUUCUCUGAGUGCCCCCUUAGAUCUUCUUCUAAUUGGUAUUUAUAGACUUUAGAAUGCUUAGAAAGCCUAAAAAUUGGGUUUUUCCGCGUAUUUAGGAAGCAGGGUACGAUAUCAACACAAGCUGGCACAUAGGCGUGUGGCCAACCCAUAUGGAAAUGCCCAGACCAUAUGGAUCCUAAAAAUAGCUCUAUUUGUCUGAUUUUGGCUCGUUCUUCACUACUUUCACUCCCAAAGGCUCUCCUAAGUAUAGAAACAUGAAUUUAAAGAAUUAGAAGCAUUAAAUUCACUAAUUUACAUAAUUAAUCAUCCCACAAUGCAUUAAGAAUAAGAUUAAAAUAUGUUACUUUUAUAGCUUAUCAUUGGGUUUUCAGGGUUUAGUUUUUUUAAUUAUCUCCAUAUUUUGUACUCUUCGUUCUGUUGCCAUUAUAGUAAAAUCAUCUUUGCCCUUGUUUUUUUAUCUUCUUUGGAUGGGUUUUUCCACGUUAAAUUUUUGUGUUAAAUUUCUCAAUUUCUUUCGUUUUUUUACUUGUUCGUUGCUUAAUCGGGUCAAUCCCCAAUAAGUGAUAUCAGAGCUAGUUUAAUUUUUGUAGAUCAGCCUAUUCAGAAAUGACAACAACAAGGUUUGAAAUUGAGAAGUUCGAUGGUGUUACAAAUUUCAAUCGACAACAAGUUCGGAUGAUUACAAUUCUAGUUUAAACUGACAUGAAAAAGGUUGUUACCGGGAAAAAACUGAGAAUCUAAAUCAAACAAAAUGGGAAGAUCUUGAUGAAAAGGAAUUACCUAAAAUCCAAUUGUGCCUCACGAAUAUGGUAUUGCAGAAGGUAUUGAUAGAGAAGACAUCAUUCACCUUGUGGAAAAUGUUAGAAACUCUUUAUGCGACUAAGUCUCUGGCUACCCAUUUAGUGUUGAAACAAUGUCUAUUUACGUUUCGCAUGUACGAAAGUUAGUUUCUUAGAGAUCACAUCAGUCAAUUCAUUACUCUUUUAAAUGAUUUAUAGAAUGUUGAGUUUCAGAUUGAUGAUGAAGAUCAGGCUAUGCUAUUAUUGUGCUCUUUACCUCAUUCAUACAAGUCUUUCUGGGAGACCCUAAUUUAUGAUAGAGACAAACUCUCGUUCGAAUAUCUGAAUGGUCAUUUGUUGAGUAGAGACAAACUCGACAAUGAGUUUGUUCAGAUAGUAAGGCAGAUAGGCAAGCUUCCAUUUUGGUAGCAUCAAAGAAGCGAGACAAAAUAUGUCGCUAUUGUAAAAAGUUAGGUCACAUCAAAGCAUAUUGUUACAAACUGCGAAAUAAAAGAGCUGUUGAUAGUAACGAGGAAGAUGUAGCUAGUGUUAAUUUGGUCGAUGAAAGCGAUGAUUAUUUCUUGUUAGUGUCAACGAGCGAUAACUCCAAGCUUACGUCCGAGUGGAUCCUAGAUUCGGAAUUUUUUUCCACAUGUGUCCCAAUAGAGAAUGGUUUUCCACAUACAGUUCAGUUGAAGGUGGAGUUAUGCGCAUGAGAAAUGAUUCAUCUAGUAAGGUAAUUGGUAUUGGUACUAUUAAAAUUAAGAUGCAAAAUGAGACGAUUAGGACACUCUUAGAUGUUAGUUAUGUACCUGAUUUACAAAAGAAUCUCAUCUCUUUGAGCAUUUUAGACUCGAAAGGAUGCAGAAUCAACAUCGAGUUUAGCGGUACUAAAGUAUCUCGUGGAGUUCUCAUUUUGUUAAAAGGUAAAAAUAUCGACAAUCUUUAUAUUCUGGAAGGUUCUACAGUGACCGGUGAAAUCGGACGUCACUCAUUCGUUACGGAGUCGAAAUCAACUCAUUUGGAGCAGAGGUAACUUGGUCAUUAGAGGGAAAAAGGUAUGAUUGUUCCAUUGAAGAAAGGUUCUCUUUUGGAUACAAGUUUUGAAAAGUUAGGGCACUGUGUUCGUGAAAGUUAGACCCAGGUUAGUUUUGAUUUGGCAAUUUGAAAGCCGAAGGCUAGAAGUCUUCUAGUUUCUAAGCACAUGUUUGGCUCAGUUAAUUUCCUGCAUAGUUCAAGAUAGACCCAUGAUGGGCUUUGGCAAAGAUGAUGUUGUGGAAAUAUGAGUCAAGGUGGAGAUUUGUUGAGUGUGACUUCUAUUUCAGUCAAAUUUGAGAAAUAAUCUUCCAGUUAAACUCUGUUUAUUUGUUUCAAUCAAACUCUGAUUAGUCUAGAUUAUUUUAUUAUUAUUUGACCUAUGAAUUUAGUCUAUAAAUAGAUUCUUUUACAACAUUAGAAAACACACCCAUUAGAGAUUAUAACUCAUAACAUUUUUGGAGAAUUUUUGUGUUUACGUUUUGAGGGUUCUUUGUUUUCGGGUUUUCGAGGUUUAAUUUUUUUAUCUCUAUCUUUUGUACUCUUUGUUCUUUUGCCAUUAUAGUAAAAUUAUCUUUACUUGUGGUUUUUUAUUCUGUUUUGGAGAAGUUUUUUUCAAGUUAAAUUUGUAUGUUAAAUUUCUCAAUUUCUUCUUCUUCUUUUUUACUUGUUCGUUGCUUAAUCAAGUCGAUCCCAAAUAGCUGAUAUUCAAGAUGAACUGGGCAGCUCCGUUUGCCAAGAGUUUGGAACUAAAAACAUCAGCUAUGUCCACUGCGACGUAACAUGCGAAUUCGACGUCCAAAAUGCCGUAAACUUGGCUGUAUCCAAGUAUAGAAAGCUCGAUAUCAUGUUCAACAAUGUAGGAAUUCUUGGUGACAAUGAAGUAAGAGUGAAACAUGCCGCUGAGGACUUCAAGAGAGUGUUCGAUGUCAAUGUAUUGGAUGGUUUCUUAGGUGGCAAGUAUGCUGCCAGGGUCAUGGUUCUGCUUAAGAAAGGUUGCAUACUCUUCACAGCAAGUCUUGCUUCAAAAAUCUCCAUCGGUCUCCCCCAUGCACACAAGACAUCAAAGCAUGCGGUAGUAGGGUUGACGAAAAGCUUGAGCGUGGAUUUAGGUGAGCAUGGAAUUAGAGUUAACUGCAUUUUGCCUGAUGGAAUUGUGACCCCAACGUUCCAAAAAGUAAUUGGGAAUUUCGAUAAGAAGGGAGAGGAGAUGUUUGCGAUUUCAGCAGUGCUGAAAGGUACCGUAUUGGAGCCUGAAGAUUUUGCGCAUGCAGCACUCAAUUUGGCAAGCGAUGAGGAUAAAUUUAUCAGUGGUGUUAAACUUGUUGGGUAUGGGUCCCACUAUGUGAGAAACCCUUAUUUUCUGCCACAAUGUUUUGUCUUCUUUGGUUUUAUCAAAAGCCAAUUUUUUUUGGCUUUUUAUGUGUGGGAUGUGGACAGUAUUUUAUUGAGACAAAAAUCUCAAAUUAAAACAGAGAGUGAGAUUGAAGCUCGUCAGAGAGAAUGAGAGAAGAAAAAAAUUAAUUUUUCAAGUUUGGUGCAGUAGUGAUCAACUCUUCGAUCAAAGGUUCAUCCGUGGUUCGAUUCAGCUGAUUUUUGGACAGAAGCUAGGCGAUAAGGUGUUCUUGACUUUGUACGGUCGGAUUUUUCAUCCGAGUCUUGUAGUGUCGAAAAUACCCAUUUUUAGCAUCUGCGUUUUUGGUGAUAUUCUCUCAUUUUUCUCUCUUUUGCUAAAGAUUACAUAUUGUUAGCCUUGUUGGAGUUGAAUGCUUGUUGUAGGCUUGAUAUUGUGAUCUUGUAGUUGAACAUUUGAUGAUAGUGGAGCUCUUGAUUGGACUCUAAAGUCCCAUGGUUUUUACCCUUGAUUUAGAGGGGUUUUCCACGUAAAAAUACCGGUGUCUCUAUUUAUUUUUGUUGUUGUUGCAUUAGUUGAUAUGUGGUUGAUUAAGGUUCCUAGAGAACAUAUCUUGUGCUAUUGUGCUUGCCAUAAUUUUUGACAGGAGUUAUAGGGAGAGAAAAAACACCGGUUGUGCUUUCGCUUUGUUUCAGUUGCUCGGUUUCUUCCUAACAAACUGGUAUCAAAGCUUGGUUAUUGUGUCAGAUAAUUAUGGAAAUUAAUACGAGCAAGAUGAUUAUGUUGAAUGGCACAAAUUAUCAACUUUGGAGGAAUAAAAUAAAAGAUUUAUUGUUUGUAAAGGCUUUGCAUCUUCCGGUCUUUACUACUCAAAAACCCGUUUCGAAAAGGGAUGAAGAAUAGGAAUUUGAGCAUCAACAAGUGUGUGGCUUUAUUCGACAAUUUGUUGAAGAAAAUGUUUACAACCACAUUGAUCAGGAGACACAUGCUCGAACAUUGUGGGAGAAGCUUGAAAGCUUGUAUGCUUCGAGGUCAGGCAAUAACAAGUUGUUUUUGCUGAAGAAAAUGAUGGCGCUGAAAUAUAAAGAAGGAAUGUCUAUAGCUGACCAUGUUAAUGAAUUUCAGAGUGUGAUGAAUCAGUUGCUUGGUAUGGGUGUCAAAUUUGAUGACGAGAUUUUAGGACUUUGGUUGCUUGCUACUCUACCAGACUCUUGGGAGACCUUUCGGGUCUCACUCAUUAAUUCUGCCCCACAGGGUAUUAUUACUUUGGAUUUGGAUAAGAGUGGUAUGUUGAAUGAAGAGGUUAGAAGAAGAUCUCAGGGUUCUACAUCAUAGUCCGAGGUGUUGGUUAUCGAGAACAGGGGGAAGAACAGAGACAAAGAUGGAAAGAGUAGAGAUAAAAGCCGAAGCAAGUCAAGAUUGAGAUACAAGAAUCUUGAGUGUCAUCAUUGUGGUAAGAAAGGUCAUAUCAAGAAAUAUUGCUUCAAGUGGAAGAAAGAGAAAAAAGGUGGUGGUGAUAAACACGAUCGGAAUGACGAUGAAAAAUUUGAGCGUGUUGCUAUUGUUACUCGUGAAGAUCUGUUAGUUAUUUAUGAUGAGAAUUUGGUCAACCUAGCAUGCGACGAGACUAGUUGGGUGAUUGAUACUGGUGCAUCACUUCAUGUCACGUCAAGGAAGGAAUUCUUCAUAUCUUAUACUCCUGGUGAUUUUGGGGUAUUGAAGAUGGGUAAUAAUGGUUUGGUUUCAGUUAUUGGUUUGGGAGAUGUUAGCUUGGUGAGUAACAAUGGAACAAAGUUAACUCUCAAGGAUGUCAGACAUGCACCGGAUGUCCGUUUGAAUUUGAUUUCUGCAGGAAAGCUUGAUGAUGAGGGAUUCUGUAACACCUUCAGUGAGGGGCAGUGGAAGUUGACUAAAGGCUCCUUGGUUGUGGCUCGAGGAAAGAAGAGCUCAAAUUUGUACUUGAUGCAAGCUUUGACUUCUCGAGAGACAGUGAAUGUGACAGUGAAUGACAGCUCAACUGAGUUGUGGCAUAAACGACUCAGUCACAUGAGUGAGAAGGGGCUCAACUGUUUAGCGAAGAAGAAUCAACUUUCGGGUUUAAAGAAUGCUACACUGAAGAAUUAUGCUCAUUGUCUAGUAGGAAAGCAGAGAAUAGUUUCAUUUAGAAGCCAUCCUCCUCAUAGGAAAUUAGAGUUGCUAGAGUUGGUCCAUUCAGAUGUUUGUGGUCCGAUAAAAGUAAGAUCACAUGGUGGUGCACUUUACUUUGUGACUUUCAUUGAUGAUUGUUCAAGAAAGCUAUGGGUUUACACUUUGAAGUCUAAAAAUCAAGUCUUUGAGGUGUUUAAACAGUUUCAAGCAUCAGUUGAAAGGGAAACUGGGAAAAAGUUGAAGUGCAUUCGUACUGAUAAUGGUGGCGAGUACACAGGGUCGUUUCAUGAGUAUUGUCUGCGACAAGGAAUCAGACAUCAGAGAACACCACCAAAGACUCCACAGUUAAAUGGGUUAGCUGAAAGAAUGAACCGAACAUUGAUUGAGAGAGUCAGAUGUUUGUUGUCAGAUGCAAAGUUGCCAAGAUCGUUUUAGGCUGAAGCUUUGAAUACAGUGAUACAUGUGAUAAAUUUAUCUCCUAGUGUUCCUUUGAAAGGUGAUGUGCCAGAUAGAGUUUGGUUUGGUAAAGACGUGUCAUAUGAUCACCUACGUGUGUUCGGUUGUAAAGCAUUUGUUCAUGUUCCAAAGGAUGAAAGAUCCAAGUUGGAUGCCAAGGCUCGACAAUGCAUUUUUAUUGGUUAUGGUCUAGAUGGUGAGUUUGGUUAUAGACUCUAUGAUCCAGUUCAGAAGAAACUCGUGAGAAGCAGAGAUGUUGUCUUCAUUGAGGAUCAGACCAUUGAUGACAUUGAUAAGACGGAGAAAGUGGAUUCACAAGGUAGUGGUGACUUGAUCGAUGUGAAUCCGGUUCCCCUAGACUCUUCACCAGAUCCUAUCCAGGAUGAUGUGCAUGGUGAUGUUAGUGGUGACCAUCAGACUAUAGGUGACUUUGAUACUCCUAUGGAUGAUGUUGUGAAUGAUCAACAACAAGCACCUAUAGCUCCACCAACAGUUCCACUUCGAAGUCUUUCAGAGAUCGAUGAUCUUCUGUCAGGUAUUCUCCUGAUGAAUAUGUUCUUUUGACUGACAGGGGAGAACUUGAAUGUUAUGAAGAGGCUAUGGAGAGUGAAUGCAAAGAUCAGUGGGUUGAAGCGAUGAAAGACGAACUUCAAUCCUUGCAUGAGAACCAUACCUUUGAAUUGGUGAAACUGCCUAAGGGCAAAAGAGCUUUGAAGAAUCGGUUGGUUUUACAGGUUGAAGCAAUAAGAGAAGUCUUCAUCUCCACGAUACAAAGCUAGAUUGGUCGUCAAGGGUUAUACUCAGAAAAAUGGGGUUGAUUUUGAAGAAAUAUUUUCUCCGAUUGUGAAGAUGUCCUCUAUAAGAACUAUACUGAGUUUGGCAGCUUGUUAUGACUUAGAGGUUGAACAAAUGGAUGUGAAAACCUCUUUUCUUCAUGGUGACUUGGAAGAAGAGCUUUACAUGGAGCAGCCAGAGGGUUUUGUUACACAAAGGGAAAGAGGACUAUGUGUGCAGAUUGAAGAAGAGCUUGUAUGGUUUGAAGCAAGCUCCAAGAUAAUGGUAUAAGAAGUUUGAGUUUGUUAUGGGGGAGUAAGGCUACAAAAAGACUACUUCUGAUCAUUGUGUAUUUGUUAAGAGAUUCUCUGGUGAUGAUUUUAUUAUUCUUUUACUCUAUGUUGAUGAUAUGCUUAUUGUUGGUCAGAAUGCUUUUAGAAUUGAGAAGUUCAAACAAGAGUUGAGUAAAUCCUUUGCAAUGAAGGAUUUGGGGCUAGCAAAGCAAAUUCUUAGCAUAAGAUUGACACGUGAUAGAAAGGCCAAGAAAUUAUGGUUAUCACAAGAGAGGUACAUUGAGAAAGUACUUCAAAGGUUUAGUAUGGACAAAGCCAAAGCGGCGAAUACUCCCUUUGCUAUGCACUUUAGAUUGAGUGUUAAGCAUAGUCCUUCCACAGAAAAGGAGAAGGAAGAGAUGCAGAAAAUUCCUUACUCUUCAGCCGUGGAUAGUUUGAUGUACGCAAUGGUUUGCAUGAGACCAGACUUGGCUUAUGUCGUUGGUACAGUUAGUCGAUUUCUUUCUAAUCCAGGCAGAGAUCAUUAGAAUGCAAUGAAGUGGAUUAUGAGAUAUCUUCGUGGCACUUCCAACAUGAAACUUUGUUUCGGCAAUGAGAAACCUGUUCUUGUUGGGUAUACAGAUUCAGACAUGGCCGGAGACAUUGACUCGAGGAGAUCUACUUCAAGUUACUUAAUCACUGAUGCAGGGGGAGCUGUGGCAUGGCAAUCGAGACUGCAAAAGUGUGUUGAAUUGUCCACCACCGAAUUAGAGUUCAUUGCAGCAACCGAAGUGUGUAAAGAAAUGCUUUGGAUGAAGAAGUUUGUGCAUGAGCUUGGUUUUACUCAGGAGAAGUAUGUCCUGUAUUGUGAUAGCCAGAAUGCUAUUCAUCUUGGUAAGAACUCAACUUUUCAUGCUAGAUCUAAGCAUAUUGAUGUGAGGUACCAUUGGAUACGAGAUGUUCUUGAAGCUAAGCUAUUAGAGCUUGAGAAGAUACACACUAAUGAUAAUGGUGCUGAUAUGUUGACGAAUGCCUUACCAAGAGGAAAGUUUGAAGCAUGUUGUUUGACCUCCGGUAUGGAGGCAUUCCCCACAUAGUUGGAGGGGGAGAUUUGUUGGGUGUGGGUCCCACUAUGUGGGAAACCCAUAUUUUCUGCCACAAUAUUUUGUCUUCUUUGGUUUUGUCAAAAGCCAAUUUUUUUUUUUGGCUUUUUAUGUGUGGGAUGUGGGCAGCAUUUUAUUGAGACAAAAAUCUCAAAUUAAAACAGAGAGUGAGAUUGAAGCUCGUCAGAGAGAAAGAGAGAAGAAAAAAUUAAUUUUCCAAGUUUGGUGCAACAGUGAUCAACUCUUUGAUCGAAGGUUCAUCUGUGGUUCGAUUGAGCUGAUUUUUGGACAGCAGCUAGGUGAUAAGGUGUUCUUGACUUUGUACGGUCGGAUUUUUCAUCCGAGUCUUGUAGAGUCGAAAAUAUCCGUUUUUCAGCAGCUGCGUUUUUGGUGAUAUUCUCUCAUUUUUCUCUCUUUUGCUAAAGAUUACAUAUUGUUAGCCUUGUUGGAGUUGAAUGCUUGUUGUAGGCUUGAUAUUGUGAUCUUGUAGUUGAACAUUUGAUGAUAGUGGAGCUCUUGAUUGGACUCUAAAGUCCCGUGGUUUUUACCCUUGAUUUAGAGGGGUUUUCCACGUAAAAAUACCGGUGUCUCUAUUUAUUUUUGUUGUGGUUGCAUUAGUUGAUUUGUGGUUGAUUAAGGUUGCUAGAGAACAUAUCUUGUGCUAUUGUGCUUGCCAUAAUUUUUGACAGGAGUUAUAGGGAGAGAAAGAACACCGGUUGUGCUUUCGCUUUGUUUCGAUUGUUCGGUUUCUUCCCAACAAAACUUACCAGUCGAUGGAGCGUAUAGUGUUAGCAAUCAAUCAUGGAAGAUGGGAUUCGCAGCACUUUCUGAAUAAACCAACAAGUCCUCAGCUAUACUCUUAGAAGAUUUUGUUAAAUUUCACUUGUUAUAAAUUGCAUGGUCGGAUUUUAUCAAUACUAUUUGUUUUGUUGUUCAAAUGAGCAAAUUAAGUUCAUCUUCUAAUCCAGGCGGAAAUUAAUUCAUCUGGUGAAGAGAAAAUUCAAGCACUCAAAAGUGUAAAAAUUAAUUCUCUAAAUAAUAUAACAGUACUAAAAAACUAUAUUACCCCAGUAAAUAAUUUAUUUUAUAAAUUCCUUCAGGAAUUUACAACUUUUUUUUUUCUAAAUUUCAAAUGAUUUUUUCCGAAUAAAUUAAAUAAUCUUUUAAAAGAUGAUAACUUACCAGUGGGGUUAACUUACCAGUCGAUGGAGGCUAUUGUCUUAGCAAUCAGUCAUAGAAGAUGGGAUUCGCAACAGUUUUUGAAUAAAUCAACAAGUCCUCAACUUUACUCUUUGAACAAUGUUUUGUUAAAUAAGGAAAGUAAAACUUAAUCCAAAAAUUACUUAUUGUUCAAAUGAGUAAAUUAAUUUCAUUUUCUAAUUUAAGGUGGACAAUGAUUAAUCUGGUCAAGAGAAGAUUUAAGCACCCAAAAUCAUAAGAAUUUGUUAGAAUUUAAAUUUAAAUAAUUUUAUAUUUUUUAUACAAAGCAAAUAAUUUUCUUAAGACAUUACACCAAUAACUAUAUUUUUACUCAUAGAGAAAGGAAUAUACAUUUUCCUAAAAAUGUGAUGUGUGAAAUUUAGGGAAACGAGAAAUUUGAAAGAGUUGGGAGAAAAUAGAAGGAGAAAUUGAGAGGAAAAGGAGAGAGGAAAUUCACAAUCAUUCCAUGACGGUCCCUUUACACCCUUCCAGCUAGAAAUAGUAGUGCAUAACGGCCAAGGGGUUGGUUGCCACGAGUUGUUAUUGACACCAUUUCAAUUAACUAACAUGAGCAAACUGCACCAUUUCACUUAAAAGUGGUGCGCAGCACCAAUGAUCAUUAAAAGUAAAAUAAAACAUAAAUUAACAGAAACAUUUUCAUGCCAUAACAAUACUGCAUUCCUCGAAACAUCCUUAUCCUCAAUGAUUGAAGUGGGGCUAUUUUUGCUGCAAGUCGUGGAGCACCUCCCAAGUUGAGUCCUCAGGGAAAGUUAAGCGGUACACAGUAGUUAUCCAUGUAUAAAGAGAGGCACCGUAAAGGCUCUGCCUUAGGGUUAUAGUUGGCUGUAUAUGUUCUUGAAUUCCCAUCCUGGAUUUGUACAUAAAUUGUUGGAAAUAGAGCUCCUAAGAGUGACAACAGCUAUGUACAAGACGUACUAGCAAAUUAAAUUAAAAAAUCCGAAUUGUUAAUGAUGUACUUAUAUUGGAAACAGAAAGCUUAUUAAGUCCUUCGGGUUAAUGUAGUAUUUGGUACCCGGACCCAACGAUCGGGUUAGGUAAAGGGUGUUAUAAGUAAAGACUUGAAAUUGAUGCUCAAGUUAAAUUAGCCUUAGUGUUCGAAUGUGGUAUCUCUUGCUCAUGAUGUAUUAAUUUAUUCUAGAUGAGGGGAGUUUCAUAUUCAGUCGACAAUUUCAUAAUUUUAUUUUGUCUAUAUUUUUCAUGGUUUUUGGUUUGUUCACUCUGUGUUCUUUGAAAAUAGAGGUGGUUUUAUUUUUAUUUUUAAUUUUUAGUCAUGUUUUGGCAUAUAUGUGAGAUUUGUCAAUAUAAGGGUGUCGCUAUAUCUAUUAGGAACUAUUCUCGAAAGGCUUUAUCAUGAUAGAUCUUAAUGAUGGUAAUAAAUUUGAGAUGAUGAGGAGAACAUAAGCAAUCUGAGACUUAGGCUUCGUUUGGAUGGGCGAUUGACUGCGGUGCGGUGCGUUUAACUUACUUUUUGUCUCUCGCUACAGUAUCGCUACAGUAUCUAAUCUCACCGCCACCGCUGUUUUUACACUAACCGCAGCUAAACGCACCGCCCAUCCAAACUCACCCUUAGUCUUUUAUGCAUCAUUGAUGUUGUGGGUCUCUUAGGGUUUUUGGCUGUCUCCAAGUACGGAAAGCUCGAUAUCAUGUUCAACAAUGCCGGCACUCUUGGUGACAACGAAGCAAGAGUGACACACGCCAGCACGGAGGACUUCAAGAGAGUGUUUGAUAUCAAUGUGUUGGGUGGUUUCUUGGGUGCCAAGUAUGCUGCCAGGGUCAUGGUUCCGGCCAAGAAAGGUUGCAUACUAUUCACUUCAAGUCUUGCUUCAAAAAUCAGCUUCGGUAGCCCCCAUGCAUACAAGGCAUCGAAGCAUGCCGUUGCAGGGUUGACGAAGAGCUUGGCCGUGGAGUUAGGUGAGCAUGGAAUUAGAGUCAACUCUAUUUCACCUCAUGCAAUUUCGACUCCAAUGUUCCAAAAAUCAAUUGGGAUACCCGAUAAGAAGAAGGGAGAGGAGAUGAUUGCGGCUUCAGCAGUGUUGAAAGGCACUGUAUUGGAGCCUGAAGAUUUUGCACAUGCAGCACUGUAUUUGGCAAGUGAUGAGGCUAAAUUUAUUAGUGGUGUCAACUUACCAAUCGAUGGAGGGUAUAGUCUCAGCAAUCAAUCAUGGAAGCUGGGAUUCGCAGCACUUUUUGGAUAAACCACCAAGUCCUCUGCUUCACUCUUUGAAUUAUACUCUUAAAUAAGGAAAAUAAAACUUAUCCAAAAUUACACACAUGAAAAUUUGUAUUGUCGGAUUUGAUCAGUCUCCUGUAAUGCUUUUGAAGUGUCCUUUCUUUAUCAAUACCACUUGUUUUGCUGUUCAAAUGAAAAACUUACUUUCAUUUUCUAAUCUACUUAUUCUCUAAAUAAGAUAACAUUACUAAAAAAAAUAAACAAUAUACACGAUAAACCGGUGUAUCAUAUCAUUAACUCAUUUCCAGCAAAAACGAUGAACAACGUAUAUAUUAACUGGUUACAAAAAAAAAAAAGGGAUUAUACCCAGUGAUAGAUUGUGCCAUCUUCGAAAAGAAUUUAGCAUUUCCGUCGUGCAGUUCUCUGAUCAACAGCCCUGCUUCUUGGGUUACUGGUAACGGAUGAUAGUUAUGCGCUUCUCAUUCAGGUCUCCGCUUUUCUUUGUGCCGUGGGAUCCUUUCCCCUUUCUUUUUAAACCGUGAGUCUUUUCUUUUUAUAUUAGGGUAAUCUACAAAAAUAGUCACUUUUAUUUGACUCAGGUUACAUUUUAGUCACUUAUGUUUGAAAUGUUACGUUUUAGUCACUUAUGUUAUUGUUAAGUUCCGUUAUCUCUCUAACGGCAAUCCUACGUGGCAGUCCAACUAGAUUUUAAAUGCCAACUUGGAUUUCUAAAUGAGAUAAAAAUAGAUUUUUAAUUAAAAAAUUUAAAUAAUUAAAAUUUUUAAACCUAAACUUUAACUAAAAAAAACUGUUCCUAUCCUCUUUUUAAUUUUUCUUCCAUCUCUUCUUUUUUUCAAUGGGUUUUUUUUCUCAUUUGAUUGGAAAAACUAUUAUUAAGAUCAAAAUAGUUGAAAUCAAAUUGACUACUUCAUAAAGAUGGAUUCAAUAGAAGGUUCAGGUAUGUCUUCUAUAUAUUCAUCGAUCUCUUUAUUCAAUACUGAAAAACAAAAGAUUAGAUUUUUUAUUGUUCAAUGAAAACCCUAAAUUAAAAUUCUUGAUAUUUUCUUCUACUUUUUGAAAUUAUUUGUAAACAUGCAUUUUAUUUUGCGUCAAUAGACAUCCCAUAAAAUGGACCAGAAACAUGUUUCAUUCAAGCUAGUUUUAAAAUUUUCAGAAAAGGGCUGUUACUUUCACUGUUCUUGUUCCUAAUUAUUAUAGUUUCUAGUUCUUUCACAGUUAUUGAAUAAUUGGUUUCUCAAUCAAUUUUUUUCUGAUCUGAAUCAACUUGUAUGUUCACAAUCUCUUUGUGAGUAUUCUAGAUUAUUCUUUCUUAUUGCUGAUUUCAACUAUUUUGAUCUUAAUAAUAGUUUUUCCAGCCGAAUGAAAAAAAAAUCAUUGAAAAAAAAUAAGAGACAGAAGAAAAAUUAAAAAGAAGGGAUGAACAGUUUUUUUAGUUAAGGUUUAGGUUUGAAAAUUUUAAUUAAUUAAAAUUUUAUUUUCAUCCCAUUUAGAAAUCUAAGUUGGCACCUAAAAUCUAGUUGGACUGCCACCUACGAUUACCGUUAAAGAGAUAACGGAACUUAACGGCAGAGUGAUCACUUCGUAACAAAAUAAUAACAUAAGUGACUAAAACGUAACAUUUUAAACAUAAGUGACUAAAAUAUAACCUGAGACAAACAAAAGUGACUAUUUUUAUAGAUUACCCUUUAUAUUAUACACCAUCGGCAACCCAAAUCCAGUAACCGACCCCGAACUAUCGCGUCGGCCGCCGUUACUGAUAAUUUGAUUAAAUGGGUUCAUUUGAAGGUGAUGGCUGGUGAUGAAGCUUGGGAAAAAUAGAUAUUAAUUAAUUUUUUGGUGUUGGAAUCCCGUCCAAAUGAAGAACAUGAUAUGUAACUAUUUUCUCCCUUCCCCAAAUUUCUCCUUAGAAAUUAGAAGUAACAACUGAUUUUUUUUAAAACUCGAUGGAUGGUGGAAUCCAUAUGUACAGUUCAUCCAUCCAACCAGUUUAAUUAAAAAUUAUUAAGAUUUUAAAAAUUUUAAAAAUUUAAUCAUCUAUUCAAUCGAAUUUUUAUCCGGUUCAACUAGUUCUGAUCCAAUCGAUUCAAAAUUAUUUUUCGAACUGAUCCCCCGAUUAGUUCUAAAUCCAACUAAUCUGACCAAUCAAUUCGGUCUGGUUCAAACAACAUUUGUCACAACCGUUCCCCUAUUGUCUUUUUUUUUUUAAAUUUAAAUUAUUUUCCCUUUUUCUUUGCCUACGAUUCAAUCAGACACCAACUUAAUUAGAAAAAUUAUAGAAAUAUUUUUCUGUAAUUAAAAUAAGUCAUAUUACUGGAGGUUACUUUAGUUAUUUUUUAAAGAAAAAUAUGCAUAUGGUGUGAUUUAACUCACACAAAUUAAAUUAGUAAAAUUUUAAAUUUAUUACUCAAACCAAAGCUUCAUUUUAAUAUUUUCUUUAUACAUUUUUAUUUUAAUAUGCACAAUUUAUUAUCUUCAUCAUUUGCAUAAUAUAUAUUAAUUAAUAAUAUUGUUGAAUGAAUUGGUGUCACAAGUUAACUCGACACCAAGACAAGAUUGAUGACAACACCAUUCUAAACAAUUGUACUCAUCUAGCUAGUAUUCUUAAUCGGACAUAUCUAUGUGUUUAAAUUUUGUUUUGCUCACAAUUUAAUCCAUUUUUUUAUGUUUUAAUAUAGUACAUAUUUAAUGUGUUAUUAUUAAUUAAUUUCAAAUCAUACAUUUCAUAAUAUAUUGUAUGUUAUUUUCAAACACACAUUUAUGUUCUAAAUAUGCGUACGUGUGUGAUAAAAUCUCUAGUAUUAGUAAUGUUGUUGAUUGAGUUGAUGUUACAAGUUAAGUUAACAACAGUUCAAGAUUUAUAACAACACUAUGAUAAAUAAUUGUACUAAUUUAGUAUUCUUAAUCUGAUGUAUUUAUGUGUUUAAAUUUUGUUUUACUCACAAUUUAGUCUCUCUCUUUUUUAUUUGUAAUAUCGUACAUGUUUUAUUUAUUAUUAUUAAUUAAUUUCGAAUCAUAUAUUUUAUUAUUUAUUAUAUGUUAUUUUCAAAUACUUUUAUGUUCUAAAUACAUGAUUCUUACAUGCUUACGCAUGUAUAGAAUUUCUUGUACUAAUUAUAAUUAUAAUAAAACAAUAAAGUAUAAUAAUAUAUAUAUAUAUAUAUAUAUAAUUUGAUCUUGUCUCGGUUGUAACCCAGAAAAAAUAGUUACUACGAAUGUAAUUCUAGAACCAAGUUAAAUUUUUUACUUUGGUUUUAGAAUUAAGGUUAAAGUUUAGUUUUAAGUGAGGGGCUAAAUUGAGUGUUUCAAAUUUUUUGAGGAUAAAACAGUAUUUUGAACUGAGUUAAGGGUCAAAUCAAACCUCAUUUCAAAUUUUGAGGACUAAGAGUAAAACUUUCUGAACUAAUAAUAGGGGAACCAAAUUGAACCAUGUUGGAUUAAACCAAGUUUUCGUAAUUUAAAGAUCAAAUUGAAGUUUUGGAAAUAAUUGAUGGCCAAUUUUAAAAAUGGAAAUUAAUAAUUCCGUAAUUUAGUCCAAUUUUAUGUAUUUUAAAAAUAAUGAAAAUAAGGUAGAAAUCAACUAUAUUGAAAUAUUAAGUAAUUACAUAAAAUUAAAAUAGUUAAAAUUUUUAAAUAUAUAAAAUAAAACCAUUAAUUUAAUUUAUUCAUAUCAAUCGACAGAUUAUUAAAUGAAUAAGAUUAUUCAACGUUAAUAAUAAAAAAAUGUACAAAUUAAAAAAUAAUUAAUUCCAAUUAAAAAUAGUUAAAAAAUUUUUUUAAAGAAACAAAAUUAUUAAGCUAAACAAGUUGUUUCAUUAGCGGUGUAGAAAGUACAAUUCAAGUUUACUAUGAGUAUUAAUAAACUUAUUAAAAAAUUCACUACAUCUUUUCAUUGUGCAAAAUAAUUUUAAAUAAAAUAAUGUAAAAUUAAUAUUUAACUAAACAUUGAAUUCGAACAUAAAAGUAUUAAAAAUAAUAUAGAAGUUUUGAAUUAAUAUUCAAAUUGUAAAUUCAAAUAUCAAAUUUUUUACAAAUAUAUAUAUUUAAUAUUUAAUAUUCAAAUUCUAUACCAAACUUUUAACUAAUUAAUAUUAUAUAUUUAAAUAAAUAAAUAAUAAUAAUUAUUCUUUAUUCAAUUUUACAAAAUUUUUUUACCUAUCUACAAGUGGUCACACAUGUGGUUGGUGAUUCACUGAUGACAGAAAUUACAUCAUGUACAAAGCCUAGGGUUGCAGCAAUAUCAGAUAUCUGCAUAUAUAUUGUGUGUCAUGCUUUGUCACCCGACAAAGCUCAAUAUACAACGUCACCAAUAUCGCUAAACCCCAACUGUUGGAACAAGCCCGAUACAAAUCGGCCAAUAGAGGCAAGUACAUAAUGUGGACCUUAUUACUAUUUGCAUUUGGCAUAAGUACCCCACUAUCAGUUGCAAUAUAUAUGCUCAAUCAGCGCACAUCAGAUUUGACUCAGUGGCAUUGCUCAAUAAGGUUUGGAAAUUUUCAUUCAACCAGGAAAAUUUCAAACUAGUAAAUCUAGUUUCCCCAUCAUCGGGUGAGCUUCCAAGCAACUGGUAGCAGAGGGCUGAAGGUUUGACCAUUUAACUUGAACCUGUGACCGCAUCACUGUCAAUUGGGAGCCCGAGUUGCAUUGCGACGUCUUCCAGGGUGAUGGUGCACUUCCCACAUGGCAGAUCAAAAAUGUGGGUCUUCGGGCGUCACCACUCAAACAAGGCAAAUAUUAAGUUUACUCUUAAGUCAAACAUCCGGACCAAUGCCGCUGUUCCAAAUCUGGCGGCAUCCAAGUAUAGCAUAAUCCAUUCGUCCAAACGGUAUCUUGAAAUAUGAACUCACAACCUCAACCGGUACUCAUCUUGUCUAUAUCAUAUAACCAUAUUUGUUAAAUCGACUAAGUAAAUAUAAGUUAAAUCACAACUCUAUAAAUAUAUUUGUGUAAUAAAUAUCAAAAUAUUUUACCAGCUCGUUCAUCAUCAGUGCAGUGUGAUCGGAUGCUCGGAGAAGAGAACUCAUAGUGAUAUUUGCAUAAUCAAUAAAAAAUUAAUCACCAACUCAAAAAACUAAAUACGGUUAAACAUUAUAUUAUAAUAUAUAAAUUAUUGCAAUUAAAAAAUCUUAAAUCUAAUAAGAUUUUCCCUCAAAAUACCAAUACAACAAUCUCAAAACUUCAAACACCAAAAGAAAUACAAAAUUUUCAAUUUCUCCAUUUUCUUUCCCAAAUUUCGACUAGUGGGGUGAAUGGGGGACCAUUGGGAUUUAUAGAGGAAGAGGGGGAGAAGAAGAAGAAAAAGGUCUGACUUGCGCUACACAACCUGGCGACACGAAAAUAAAAAAUAAAUAAAAUUUUUUGACAUAAGUGUCGCCAAGAAGAACGACGACACCAAAAAGUAUAUAAAUUUUUUUCUUUUCUCUGAUACAUUUUUUUUAUCUGGCACCUUUUUUUUUUAAAUUUUCCGAUGCCUCUAAAGGGAAUGGCAGCACCCAUCAAAAUAUUUUUUUUCCCCCCAAAAUACCAAUAUUUUUAACGGGUAUGUAGAAAAAUAUAUACUAGUGUUGCCAAUGGGAAUGACAACACCAAAGAAAUUUAUUUAUUUUUUAAAUUUGGCAGUCAUUGGAUAAUGAUGAGGGGUGGUGCCGCCAUUCUCAUUGGCAGCACCAAUAAUCACCAUAGAAAAUGGGUCAUUUUCGUACAAGAUUUUACACCUAGAUUAGUUUUGCAAUUAAUCAUUUUUUUAGGUUAGUUUUAAAAAAAAGCCAAAUAGUGACAAUCCUAUUAUUAUCGUUUUUUUAUUGUAAUUUUCGUUUUGCACAACAUUUUUAAUACUAUUAGCAUAAGAAACUACUUAAAUUGUUUGCUUAAGAUUAAAAUAUUAUUCUUUUAUAAUCAAUAUUUUCAUCUAGAUGGUAGGUUUUGGGUUAUUUUUUUUAUAUAUGCCAUAAUUAUUGUAAACAAAAGGGGUUAAUUCAAUAUUAAACGUUUCAUUCCAUUCCGUUUCUCCAAAUUAAAAAUAAAGAUUUAAAUUAUAUUAAGGUAUUUUUUCCAAAUUUAGCCCAAUACUAUAAUAUAAUCUCUAUUAAAGCCUUUUUUUUUCCUACAUGUCAUAAUAUGAUAAACAAUUAUAUCAAUGGCCAUCCUUGAAUACUAUAAUAUAACUUUUCAUUUGAAGAUAUCUAGAAACAACAAGAUAAUAUUUUCCUACAUGUCAUAAUAUGAUAAACAAUUAAUUCAAGAGUUGUUUAUUUUUUAAAAUAAUCAAUUAAAGAACUUAUACUCCAUUAUUUAAAAUAAAAUAAAUGAAACAUCUUACCAGUUGGUGGGUGCGAAAAUUUGUAUUUUGGAUCUCAAAUUGCAUCAAGAAAUAUUCUAGUGUCAUGUGCCAAUCGUUCCCAUCCAACCAUAACAAAUAUGAAACACAUAUUAAAAUCACAAACUACUAUAAUAUUCUGAGUCGAGGCACCUUUUUCCUAAUGUAAGGAGUUUGUUUAUUUGGUGGAAGAAUGACGGUAAUAUGUGUACUAUCAAUUGCACCUAUGCAAUCCUAAACAAAUAAUUGUAUUAGCCUCAUGCAUAUUUUUAGUUAAAAAUAUUAAAAUAUAAUGAUAUAAUUUAAAAUUUUAACCUUAAAAUGUGGCAUAUAUUUAGAAUCAUUAUGUAUUUGUUUAAGUAUUGAGCUAUGAUGGUUGUGAAACUAACUAAUAAUUCGACUUAAGGCAAGCGCACCUAUCGAACAGUAGUAUAGUUAUGGUGAGACUGGAAUAUCGUAUCCACGAGGACCAAAAGUACUAGUAGUUACUCUCUUUGUAUUAUCUACCCUAAGAAUUUGAGGGUGUUUUUAAACUAAACUAAUUUUCUAAUUUAUCUAAGAUCAUGACAGAGGUGAAAGUUGGAAAAUACUUUAGGAAAACCGAUUGAGAAAACAAUACCCAAGAAAGAAUCCACCUAGACUUCACUUAUUACCUUUGACUUAGACGAUUUAUUCACUUGACUUAUCCCGUAGAAAUCCCUAGUUUAUGUUAAUAUCUCUCUCGAGACUAAGAACAACUGACUCUAGGUUGAUUAAUUGAAAUCUCUUUCUAAUUAAAACCUCUAUUGUCACAUUAACUCGAUCUAUGGAUUCCCUUAUUAGAUUUGACUUUAAUCCGGUAGAUUUAUGUCGCCCUAUCUCUAGGAUUGUAUUCAAAGCUACUUAAUUAUGAAUGAUCUACUCUUAAACAGAGACAUUUUCUCCACUGAAUAAGCACAUCAAAAACCUGGAUUAAUAUCCUGAAAUAUUAAAGCAAGAAUUAAAAAUCAUAAUUAAGAAUAAUAACAAGUAUCUAUCAUAUAAAUCAAAGCAUAAUAAGAUUCUUCAUAGGGUUCAUCUCUCUUAGGUAUUUAGGGAGUUUAGUUCAUAAUAAUAAUGGAAAACAUCUCAAAGUUUAGAAAACAACAAAACAUAAAGAAAUCCAAGAACUUCUAGAAAAUUGGAUGGAAAUCUUCAGUCUUGAUGUAGAUCCUGGCUCCGAGGUGAUUCCGAUGGCUAGUCGCGGGUAUUUUCUACCUCCAACUCUGUGUGUGUCUCUCAUCCUCUUCUCGGGUCUUUAUAUAGACUUUUGAAUGCCCAAAUUAGCCCAAAAUAAGCCUUUUCCGAGUAGAACUAGACUUGGGCUCGACAGGGACACGACCGUGGGCCACGCCCGUGUGCAGAUGCUCAAGCCGUGUGCAAUUUUGACUUGGAUUAAUGUCGACAUGGCCAUGACACACGGGUGUGUGGUCUACCCGUGUGUCACACAUGGGCGUGUGGAUUACCCAUGUGGAACUGCCUAGGUCAUGCGAAACAUUGAUUUAGGCCUAAUUUGUCCAUUUUUGGCUCGUUUCUUGCUCUUUUUGUUAUCCUAAGCUUGCCUGAGUAUAACACAUGAAUUCAAAGGAUUAGGAGUAUCGAAUUCAAUAAAAUCAAGGAAAAAAAUCAUCCAUAAAUAUGUCAAGCAUAGGAUAAAAAUAUGUAUCUAUUACGGUUUAUCAAAUAUCUCCACACUUAAGCAUUUGCUUGUCCUCAAGCAAAAUCCUUAACUCACAAUUAAACUAAAUCCUUCUCAACUUAUAAUUCUCAUCAAUAAUGUUCGAAAUAAUCCAUAAGUAAUCAUACAUUAAGAGCUUAACCAUAAGAACAUCAAAGUUUCAAACAAUCCAAAUUGAGCAUUUUAAUCCUAAAAUCAUAGGCAUCCCCCUUUAUCUAAGUAGUUAUCUUUAAUUCCAAUUUGACAAGAGUUGACAUCCUCACUAAAGGUUCACUCAAAUCACUCAAAGUGUUUAAGGUUUAACAAUUAAGCACUCAAUAGUCAAACAUGAAAAGUUAUUACCAUAAGCUUGCAUAAAAAUCAAAACUCCACCACUAUAAAUGAGAUGAUACACAAAUCAAAAGGUCUUUAGCAGGGUUGUAAUGGGGCUUGGGUUAAAGGUGUGGAUAAAUGAUGAAAAAGAGGGUUAGAAUCAAGAUUAAUUUAAAUAAAUAACCAAACUUAAAAAAAUGAAGCUCAUUGCUGAAUUACAAGAAGGUGCCAGAAUUCAAACUAUCUAAAGCAAAUGAUGUGAGCUUUUUCUCAAUAUAACAAUUUUAACUUAUCCAAGCUCCUUAGAACAAUAUGUAACAGAAUUAAUAAAUAUACGGGUUUUUUUUUUAGAAUAAGAACACAUAAUGGAGAAUACGGGUUCUCCAUAAUAAAACUUCGUAACUUAGAAACUGAUCGUGAAUCGAUACCUUUGUAAAUGCAAAAUGACAUGCAAACAAAAGAAAAGAAAUAGCCAGUAUCACAUGAUAUCAAUAAAUCUCAACGAUAACUUAUAAGGGUAAUGUCUAAAUUUUAAACCUAAAUAAUUUGGGCUCUUACGAUUUUUUGAUAUGAGGUUGGUUCUAAAGUUUGAGGUACCCGAACCAGCAGAUUCCUCGAUUCUCACCCAUUAUAGGCUCAUUUGAAAUGAGUUCAGUUCAGGGGAAUACAUUUCCCUAUGGCUACACGGAGAUGAAAAUCUCACGAAACCAUAGGUACGGAUGUAUCCCGAAAGUGAUCCACUAUCCUACACGGAGGCAAAAACCUCACGAAGGUGUAGUUUCUCACUCCCACUUAAGGGUGUGACCACAACGAUCAUGUAAAUGUAAUGUGUACCAAAAUAUAACAAACAUAUGCAGUAAUUCAAACACAUGUAAUGCAAAGAGGAUUAGAUUUUAAAAUUUUUAAUUUCCGACAUUAAGACAAGAGAUAAUCAAUUACACGGCUUGACUCUCUUAUGGAGUCCCCAGCGGACUCGCCAAGCUGUCGAGACCAUUUUUAAAUCGAUUUUUGGAAAAUGGGUAUCGACUUUAAAAAUGAAAACAGGAGUCGCCACUAAUCUUUUUAGGUGUGAUUGGAUCACAUUUAAAACAUUUUGUUUUAAAAUCGUUGGUUUUGGUCUACGAAAUCAAAAGAACGGGUUCGGGAGCCAGUUACAUACGAGGAAUGAUUAGCACCCUCGUAACGCCCAAAAAUUGGUACCUAAUUGAUUAUCAAGUGUCUUUAAUGUUGGAAAUUUUAAAAUUUUAAGAUGUAAUUCUCUUUAAAACAUUUUAAUUUUGUAAAUUUGGGCUCACUCGUAUCAAAGUAUCGACACUAAGUUAACUUUUUGGAAAUCCCUAUCUUGAAACAACAAAACGUUAUAUCCAGUCGGUUAGGACAUAUUGCUUUGAAAUUCCAAGACAAUUACUCGCAUUUUGAAACCUUAAAAAACUUAGAAGGGUACUUGAUUAUUCGAACUCAACGAGAAAAGUCGCAACCCAAUAAGUUAGGGCACUAUUUUUCUCGAAAUUUCCAAACACCAAGCAUUGCCUCUAUAUUUGUUGAAAACUUUGGAAUUUUAUUUUUAAUUAAUGUAUGAGAAAUCACAUUAUCAUUAAGGAACAGAAUAUUGCAACAGUAAGUGAAUAAAACAUGCAUUUAAACGAAACAGUAGCAAUAACACAAAAAUCAUAUACUAGAUACAUACAUAUAAGAAUAAUAUAUAUAGCAAAUCUUAACAACAUGCAUGUAAAGAUAUACAUAGUAUAUAUUGAAAAUGAAUAAACAAAGCAUACGAACAUACAAAGUAGUAAUUAACAAUAAUGCAUGAGAUACAAAAAAAAAGUAAUACAAUAUCUAUGUACAUGUUCAUAAAACGUAAUAUCAAAUAAUAAAUAUAAACUAACAUUUAACACAUGAUAUAUGCAAUAUAAAAAAUGCAUAAAAGAAUUAUAAUAUAAAGUGAAUAAUUAUUAACAAAAUAUACAUAUAAUACAAAUAAAAAUAUGAUAUUUAAUAACAAUUUUAAAAUAGUAUUUAAUUAUACAAUAUGUAAUAUAUGAUGAUAGAAUUUAAAAAUAUAUCGUCUUAGAAAAAAAAUAAUGUAUAAGAAUUUAUAUUUAUAAUAAAAUAAUUAUAAUUUAAAUUUAGCAUAAUAUAAAAUAAGUAAUUAAUGAUGAAAUAUACAUGCAAAUAAAAAUAAAAAUGACAUAAUAAUAUAAAAUAAUAUAUAUAAUAUGUAUAUAAAAAUAAUGUAUAGUAUAUAUAUUAAUAUAUAAUAUAAGCACAAAUAUAAUAACCAUAUAUAAAUAAUAAUGUAAAAUAAUAAUAAUAUAAAAUAAUAUAUUUAAAACGUAAGAUAAUAUAAAGAUAAAGAUAUUUAAACAUUAAGUGAUAAAAUAUAGUAUAGAUAUAUAUAGGAAAAUAAUAUAUGAUAAAAAUAUAAGUAGUAUUUUUUAAUAAUAAUAUAUGUAUAGUUUUUUAUAAAUAGAUUAUAUAAAAUAAAAUAAAAUAAUUUAAAAAUGGUAAAACAAAGGUUAAAAUUGAAUUUAAAUAGAAUUAUAAGGCUAAUUUGCAAAAUAGUAUAAGUUCUGGGCCUGAUUUGCGAGAAUUAAAACGGCAAAGGACUCACUGGGCAGUUUGCCCUAAUCCUAAACGACGCCGUCUCCAGGAUGUAAUAACCGUUGGGAUUAAAUUAAAACUAAAACAAAAUAAUAAGGCCAAAUCAUAAAUAAAAUAAAGUGUAAUUAUAAACUAAAAAAGGGUGGAAGGACUGAUCGGGUAAUUAACCCAAUUCUGAAAAUGCGCGGAUCCUCCCCGGGUAAUCGAGUCAACGCGCGGAUCCUGGGGGUCUAAAACGUCGUCGUUUCGCUGGGGCUAUAUAAACCAAAGCUUUAGCCCAAAAAUCAUUUUACACUGGGUUUUAAAAAAAAACCUUAAAAUUCUCUCUGAAAUGAGAGGAGAGAGAGAGAGAGCUUGGCUCCGGUCUCCGUCGAGCCGAGCCUCGGUCCUCGGCUUCACGCGCCCAUGCGCCGUCACCGACUCCUCCCCGUUCGGUGGCCGAAGACCCGAAACCCCGAUUUUUCUACGCAAAUAAAGGGUUCGACCUUUUUCUUUUCAUUAUUUACAGUAUAUAAGUACAUAUAUGUAAAAUAUUUUACCUUUGUGUAUCUCAAUUAACUGUAGUAUCCUACUUUGUGUACGUAUGUAAAAAUAAGAUUUUUAUUGCAUCUAUGUAUGUAUUUCAGAAACCUCAAAAUCAUCCCUUUACAUCCUCUCAAUUUGGGCUUUUUAUAGCCACUGAAAAAGAAAAAGAAAGAAUCUUUACAAUCUGUGGUUUAUUUCUUGCCAUAUUUGUUCUGUUUCUGUCGUUUUCUUUCUAUUUUUGCAGGUAUUUGCGAGAAAUCCAGCGGUGGCGAAGGCUUCGAUGAUGGCGGUGACGGUCCCGGCCUUGACUGCAUUGAUGGCCUCGAUUCGGGGAACUAGACAGACACUCCCCAAAGCUUCCAGAAUCCUUUACGGCGCGAGGAAAAAAAAGAGAAUUAGGAAGAAACCCUAAGGUUUGAUGUGUGUUUGGGGCUCAUUGGGCCUGCUAAGAAUUUGGGCCAUGACUGUAUUGGUGUAUUGGGUCACUGUAACGUGCUAUGGGGUUAUUGGGUUUGAUUUAGGCUAACGGGAUGUUGGGUUAUUUUUUUUGGGGUGUAUUUGGGUUGUUGGGUAGUAACAGUGGGCCUGCUGGGUAGGGUCUUGUAAUUGGACUUUUUAAAUGGACAUUUUAAAUAAAUAAAUACUUAUUUAUUUAAUUUUUAUAUUCUACUUUCAGCCCGAUCAAAUUUGGGUUAUUACACAUGGUAUAGAUUGUUUGAAUUAAGUAAUUUGUAGAAUUUACAUUGAUGAUUAUUGGUUAUAUGAACUUCUAUGAAUGGUAAGGUUUGUAGUGUUAAGGAUUUAUGUUGAAUUGAUGGUCUGUGAGGUGAACGAGUUUUUUCCCUUACUAUUUGCUUAAUUAGUCAGGAAUUUUGUGUAAUGAGUAAUGGAGAAUUGGAUGUAUAGUCAAAUAAGGAACUGUAUCCUAAUGGUGUUAAGUGCAGAACACUUUGCAAGGAGAAGAUUCCAAUAAAAAUGUAGAAAAUCUUGAAACCGGAAAUUCAAGUUGCAAAGUCAAGAAAGAUGCCUCUGAUUCUCUGGUGAGAGUUCAUCUUUUUACUUUUUCUGUUAGUGUUUUUAUAGACCAUUUUCAAUGUUUUGAUGGUAGUGAUCACUACAUGAUGUGAAGUAAAAAUAGUUGUUAUAGCAUUUUAGGUAUGGGGUUGGCAUUUCAUGGACAAUUGAGCAGGAUUAUUAUGUAUGUCAAAUAAGACUUCAAUUUUACAGCAUGAUAAAUUAGAUUUUGUGAUGACAUUCACAUGAAUGCUUUCUUGUCCUUUAUUUAUAUGGUUUUCCAAUUUCACAAUGGAAUAUACGUAAAUAGUAAUGAAACCUUGGUCUUAAAAUUUUAUUUUAGGAAACUGGUUUGCUUAAAAUUAUAUCUUGAUAAAUUACACUUUGUAAUGACAUUCAAAUUGGAUGUUUUCUUUGUACUGGCAGCUCGAUAGAUUCAUGCCAAAUCGUUCAGCAAUGGACUAUGAUUAUGCACAUUACAUGCUGACUGAAGGGAGGAAGAUCAAAGAGAACCAGACAGUUUUCUCACCAGCCAGGGAGGCCUAUAGGAUGCAGCUAGCCGAGGUCUUGAACAUGAAUAGGACUUGAAUCUUGGCUUUCAAGAACAAGCCACCAACACCUGUUGAAUUCUUCCAUUGGCUUGAACAAUUCUGAAGUACAGUUAUGGGAUUUUGCUUCAAAUAGGCAGGUUUGUAUAAGCUCUAAAUAUUAGCAAUUUCUUUUUGUUUCCCAGUUCUGUUAUUUAUUCCGACUCAAUCCUUUAUUUUCUAAUGCUUGCAGUUGCACACUCUGAGAGGUUGUCACUGAUCAAUAGUGGGUUCAAUGGCAUGGAAUAGUCACUUUCUUACAACUGGAGGAAUGGAUGGUAUGAUAGUUAACAAUAAUGUAAGGAUUAGAUCCCAUGUUGUUAAAACCUACAGAGGAUAUCGGCAAAAAGUUUGUGGGCUGAAAUGGUCAGCUUCUGGACAACAACUGGCCAGUGGAGGCAUGAUAGUCUUGUUCACAUAUGGGAUAUGCCCAAGGCAUCUUCAAAUUCACCAACACAAUGGAUACACAGGCUAGAGGAUCAUACAUAUGGGAUAUGGGAUAUGUCCAAGGCACAACAGUUGGCAAAAGAGAAAGCUGAUAUUACAAUCAAGAGUCUCCAAUGUCUUCCUCAAAGUCUUCAAAUUAUACAUUUGUCUGAGAAAAAAUAAUUUCUCUGUUAAAUUAAAUUGAUGAACAAUAAAGUUUUUGUGGUCAUCAAUAUUAAGCUAAUAAACUUCCAUUAUGUAUACAAGGAAAACCUAUGUUACAGGGGUUUCUCUUUUUCUUCUUUAAAGUAUUUGUGUUUGACGUUAUCUGAAAAAGUGUGAAUAGACUUUGGUUGUUUUUAAUUUAUGAGGGUUAAUAUUCUAGCUUAAUAAUUGAGUAUUAUUAUAUAUUAAAUUUGAUUUAUUUAUUUAUAAAUAAAUUAUUGCAAUAUAUGUAAAAAUAAUUUAAAAUAUAAAUUUAUUAAUAUAUAUAAAUUUAUUAAUAUAUGUAAAAACAGCUUUUCCGGAAAAUAUUUUCAAGAAACCUGCCAAACAACAGAAAAUAUUUUACACAGAUUCAUCCAAACACUUGGAAAAGUAAAUCAUUUUCAGAAAAGUAAAUCAUUUUCUAGAAAUUAUUUUCCGGAAAACAUUUUACUGGCAAACAAACGGAGCCUUAUUUUAUUUUUACUUGGUUUGGUUUGGGCCCGGGCAAAAAUGACCUAUUAUAGUUUUGAUAAGAAAUAAUACUUCAUGUAAAAUCGCAAGUAUUGGCACGAUCAAAAUUAAUAUGUUCGAUAGAGUCGUCCAAACACUUAGUGGUGUACAACAUGUAUAAGAAUUGAAGAGGAAUUUGAUUUUGUUAAGUACUCUUGAUUAAAGGGCACAAGUACACAACUGAAAAUGGGGCUUUGAAGAUUAGCAAGGGCUCCCUCGUUGUGAUAAGGGCACAGAAAGAUUGUCAAGUUAUAUGUUUUGCAAUGUUCAACUGUUAUUGGUGAUGUAAUUGUCGCUUCCUCUUUUACUUGUCAGAUGAUGAUGUUACUUGACUUUGACAUAUGCCUCUAGGGUAUAUGAGUGAGAACGACAUGACAAAAUUGACCAAAAGAGAACUUCUUGAUGAACAAGGCAGUAGCAAAUUGAAGUUCGGUGAGCACCGCGUUUUUGGGAAGCAAAAGAGAGUUUGAUUCACCAGAGAAAUCCAUAACACUAAGAGAACACUGUAUUAUAUUCAUUCUGAUCUUUUGGGACCAUCUAAAGUGCCUUCGAAGGGUGGCGCUAAUUAUAUGUUGAUGAUCAUUGAUGAGUUUUCCAGCAAAGUUUGGGCAUUCUUCCUGAAACAGAAAAGUAAUGUGUUUUCCACAUGAAAAACAUGUGAAGCAUGAUAGAAUAUAAUGACUUAUGUUACGUGAAGUUAUGUCAUGAAACUGGAUUUUCAUGCAAGAGCUUGAAGAUGUUUAUUGUGUAUGAUGAUACGAGAUUUCAUGCAAACACUAAGAGUUAAUCUAUGCUUAUUGUGGAUCGAGUUGGCUUACUUUCAUGUGGUUGCAUAUAUAUAAAGUUUCAUGUCUUGAAUAUAUAUGUAUAUGGUCCUAGAUAACUGUAUUUAUAGUUAUAUUGUUGUGCGGGUAGGGAAACGUGUAUAUAUAUAUACUUUGAAAUAAGGCGAUAUAUAUAUGUAUUUUUUAGUAAUAUAUAUAAAUCUUAAAAACUCAUAAAAAUCAAACGAUUCUUUGGUUGAAAUGGAAAAGGUAAAUGACUAAUAUGCAUGUGUCCUAAAUUCAAAUUUUAUUAUAGUAUUAAUUUAUUAAAAAAUAAAAAGAUAAAAAAUACCCUCCUAUUAACACUUAUUAUUUUGUAUAUAAAAAGGUAUUUUAAUAAUAUCAUAAUUAAAUUGGUGCUCAAUUAACUUGUAAGAUCAAGCUAGUAAUAGGCUUAAUACAAGUAUAAACAAGUAACUAGUAUGGUUCUCAACUCAUGCUUUACUUUGGUUUAAUUAUUUUGGGGAUAAAUUAUGAAGUUAAAAUAUAAAGGUUAUAAUAUGGUCCAAGUUUAUGUACUUUCUAUAUAUUUGUAUUCAAUUCCAAUAUUUUUGUGUUUGAGAAUUUAAUCUCUUUAGUUUUUGGAUUUAAAUGAUUAGAUCUAAUUGUUAACAUCGUAAAAUUGUUCUAUUAAAUUCACUGGUGUAACAUUCUAUUUUUUAUUAAAUUCUCACUUGGUAGACACAUGACAAAAAAUGGUACUGUAAUGGACAUAUAUUUAACAUAUAAUUUUAAUAGUUAAAAAUUCUUAAAAUUCACAUAAUUAUUUUUAAUAAAAAUAAAGUAUUCAAACUAACCAAUAAAACUAAAAUAUUUGAAAUGUAAUUAAAAUGUUUUGAAAUUUAAAACCAAUUUAAAAUAAACAUAAUAAUUUGAAGAUAUUUUUGUUUACUAUUUAUAUUAAUAAGCAUAAAAUAUGACACAUAAGCAUUGUGAGUUUUUUCUUGACAAUCCAAGAAAAUGUUUUAAAAUUUAUUUCCUUCUUGAAGCAUAAAGAGUUAAUUCCCCCCCUCCGUACAUUUUUUAAUAAAAAUAUAUAGUUCUUGGGUAUAAUAUCUUAAGAAAAUUAUUUGAUUUUUAGGAAAAGGAAAAAGGAAAAUCGUUUAAAUUUAAGAAAAUGGUCGUAAACUCUAAUCAGUUCUUAUGAUUUUGGGUGCUUAAAUUUUCUCUUGACUAGAUCAAUUAUUGUCUACCCUAAAUUAAAAAAAGAAAUUAAUUUGCUCAUGUGAACAACAUAACAAGUAGGAUUGAUCAAAUUCAAUGAUACAAUUUAUUACAAGUUUAAUUUUUGGAUUUACUUUCCUUAUUUAAGAAAACCUGUUGAAAGAGUAAAGUUGAGGACUUCUUGAUUUAUUCCAAAAGUGCUGCGAAUCCCAUUUUCCAUGACUGAUUGCUAAGACUAUACCCUCCGUCGACUGGUAAGUUAACACCACUAAUAAAUUUAGCGUCAUCACUUGCCAAAUACAGUGCCGCAUUGGCAAAAUCUUCAGCCUCCAGUACGGGGCCUUUCAACACUGCUGAAACCGCAAGCAUCUCCUCUCCCUUCUUCUUAUCAAUAUUCCCAAUUGAUUUUUGGAACAAUGGGGUCAAAAUUGCGUUAGGCGAAAUGCAGUUAACUCUAAUUCCAUGCUCACCUAACUCCACGCUCAAGCUCUUCGUCAGCCCUGCGACGGCAUGCUUUGAUGCCUUGUAUGCAUGGGGGAGACCCACACUGAUUUUUGAAACAAUACUUGAUGUGAAGAGUAUGCAGCCUUUCUUAGCCGGGACCAUGGCCCUGGCAGCAUACUUGGCACCCAAGAAACCACCCAAUACAUUGACAUCGAACACUCUCUUGAAGUCCUCAGCGCCGGCGUCUGUCACUCUUACUUCAUUGUCACCAGUAAUGCCUGCAUUGUUGAACAUGAUAUCUAGCUUUCCGUACUUGGAGACAACCAAGUUUACAGCAUUUUCAACAUCGGAUUCGCAUGUUACAUCGCAGUGGACAUAGCUGAUGUUAUCCGUUCCAAGCUCUUGACAAAGGGAGUUGCCCAAUUCGUCUUGAAUAUCAGCAAUCAGAACCUUGGCUCCAUGUUUGACAAAUAGUCUGACUGUACACUCUCCUAAGCCACUGGCACCACCAGUUAUCAGUGCCACCUUGCCAUCCAGUCUGUAUCAAACAAAGAAGAAAUAAGGUUUAGAUACUAAAAGUUGGACCCAAACCUAUUCAAUAUCAUGUCUUCAGGACUAAUUAUAUGAACCCAAUUAAGCUUCGAGUUCGACCAUUUUCACUUUAAAAACACAUUGGUAAGCCUAUUUUAAAGAAGAAAUUUCUAAAUGUGAAAUAUGAAUUUGUGGAAUCGUAAGAUUUAAUUACCUUUUGGUUACUGAGGACCCGAAACUCAUUGUUUUAACGAAGAAAAUAGAAAUUCGCCUUUGGUUUUUCUUUUGAUUGAAUGCUUGGGAUGCUGUGGCUUCAACUCAAUGUUAUUCUGGUCUUUUAUAGCUUCAGGGAAGGUAACAAUGUUCUGAAAAUUCAACGAUGUCAUCAUCCUAGCUUGUAGACUUUUCUAAUCAUCACUCUUAUUUAAACAUGUGGAGACACUUUAGUCAAAUUAUAUUUUCUAAAAAAAAAUAUUUUUUUAGGGUAAAUUACAUAAUUUUCAUAAACUUUCAUUUUAGAUAUUUAAAUUUUUAUUACAAAAUAAACAUUGAAUUAAUUUACAUGGUACAUUAAUUUUAAGCACUCUUAUUAAGAUGUUUAACGGAAACCCGUGCAGAAUUUAAUAUAAGAUUUUGAUAUUAUUGAUAUUUUCCACGUAUAAUCAGUGAUGGAGCUAAAAAAUUUUUUUGAGAGGGCAAUAAUUAAAUUAUAUAUUUUUAAAAUAGAAAAAAUAAAAUUUUAUCAUUUUAAUAGCUUUAUAUGUUUAUAAUUUUUAAAGAGUUAAAUUAAAUUUUUAUCAUUUUUAAGAAGGCUAAAGUGUAAUUUUAUCAUUACUAAUUUAAAAUUUUAUAAAUUAUAAAAAGUCUAAAUUAAAAAUUUAUGAUUUUAGGGUGCCAUGUGUCUCUAGUAAGCUCCAACAAAUCAUAUAACUAAACUAUUAUCAAUUUAAUUACAACCUUCUUUUAUUUACAAUAUAAUACUAAAGAGUAGACAAUAUCAUUUUUAAUUGAUGAUAUAAUACUUUUUUAAAAUUUCUUUUUGUAAUAAUUUGGUUAUCUUGUGCCGAGCCUUCUUAAUUUAAAAAAAAAGAGUUUAUUUUCAACAAUUAUUUCCUUUUCUGUAAUAACUAUUAUUGAAUGUAUUUAUUAAUUUAGUGUAAAUAUCUUUUUUAUUUAUCAUAAAUCAUUAGCAUAAUUAUUGCGUCUUACUUCACCAACUUUUUGUUAUUUUUAAUUUAGUAUUUUAACUUACUUCCAUACUUAUUAGUUUUUUCCCUGUGCAUUGCACGGGUUGAUUACUAAUAUUAAUUUAAAUAUAUUGUAUUUAUUAAAUAAUAUUUUAAUAUAUUAUUUGAAUAUUUAAAUUCAAAUAUAUCAUAUUUCUUAUCAAAAGUUUGGUACAUAGUUUGAAUAUUCAACAUUAAUAUUUGCAUUUAAAUAUAUUAUAUUUUUUUGUCAAAAAUUAUGUAAACAGUCUGAAUAUAUAAUUUGAAUAUUCAAAAUUUUGAUAUUAUUUGUAAUGAUUUUAUGCUCUAAUGCAAUGUUUAAUCAAUAUUAUUUUAGUUAAAUAUUAAUUUUACAUUGGAUUUACAGGAAUAUAAAUUUAAGUAGUGGAUUUUUUUCAAAGUCUAAAUAAGGGUGUGUUAGAAUUAGGUUCAUCAGUUAUAAUUAUUGAAAAAUAGUGAAUUCUUGUCACUGAAUUAAGAUACAUAAACGUAGGGAAAUUAAACUGCAUAAACAAACUUUUUCCCUUGUUAAACUUUUGUUUUCGCAAUACUUGUAGAAAUGUUUACUUCCGCGGUCAUUUUUACUCGUAUAUUGCUUUUUACUUUGCAAUUAUUUCAAGUCAACAAAAAUUAUUCUUAAAAAAUCAAUAAUCUUAAUCUGUACAACUUAAACAUAAAAAUACUUCAAAUAGAAAAUUAUCUAAAUUUAAAUUACUUAAAUAUAAAAUGACACGAAUAUAUAACUUGAAAUAAUUUAAAUAUGAUAUGAUUUUGUCAACAUAUCCAAAAUGACUGACAAGAAAAUAAACCCUCGCUUUUGAAUUUUCUUCUGAUAGCAAUGCUUGGGAUGUUGUGUUUCAAUUGAAUAUUGUUAUUCUGGUCUUUUUUAGCUUCAGGGUGCCCUGCAAUGUUCCAAAAAAUCAACAAUGGCAUCCUCAUGGUUUGUACGCAUUCAUUGUAUAUAUAUUAUAUAACUUUCAAGUCAAUGAUCCAAUUCUCGAUUAUGACUUUUCUAAGUAAUCACCCUUGACUCGAAAUAUUUAUAUAUAUCAUUAGCCAAGUAUUUUGACUCGGUUAGGUCUCAUAAAUUAAAUGAUAUUGAUUUAAAGUACUUAAGCUCAAGGCACCACUAAUCAAUCAGUGCGACAUAGUAGUAGGGACUUGGUUAUACAUUGUCAAGUUUAUGUUUAUUUAUUUCAGUCAGUUAGUUUAUUUUGAUCUAUUUUUUUUAUAUUGGAAAAAAAUAUUAAAUUAAAAAUAAUUAUAAAAAAUUUAAAAGUAAAAAAAAAAACUCAUCAAGAAUUAAAUAAACUUUCAUCGAAUUUUUUCAGAAAUUGUUAUAUUAUUAUAAAAGUUAUUGAAAACUUUUGCCAUGUAGCAUGCUAUGGCCCGCACAUGGUAAACUCAAUUCUGUCCGGGCCCAAACCAAACAAAUCAAGCCUAAUAAAAAAUAAACAAAAACAGUCCAGCCGAUUUACAAUAUCAAAUCUAAUGGCCCAAAUCAAAACAAAAAUUUAAUGACUUAAAUGGCCCAAAAGCCUAAAUUUAAAAAAAAAAAAAAACUCUAGCACGCGCCACACCUUAGCCUAGCCGCUGCCGCUUCUAGCGCUUGCCACCAACUGCUCUGUCAACCACUAUGCAAAAAAGAAGAAACAACACACGCAAUUACCAGUGGCAAGAACAGUAAAAAGAAAUUAUAUAAAAAUUGAAUGAAAUGGCUAUAAAAGCCAUUGAGCAAAUCUAUAUGAAAAUGUUUUUUUUUUGGGAAUAGAAAUCGAAAUAGAAAACGAAGCAAUCAAAAAAUUCAAAGGUGAUCUUUUUUAUUUAUUUGUCCUUUAUUUUUUUUCUUUUUUAAUCUGUUAUUAUCUAUAUAUAAAAAAAUAAAAUAAAAAAAUUACCUGGCAUUCGAUAUUUUGUCGUUGGAAAUCGAACCGUCCUCCGCAUUUUUGCAGCCACCGGUGGGUCUCCGGUGAGCACCGACCCUAGAUCUAGAUUUUGGGAGUCGAAAAGCCCAAAGUGGGUUUUUUUGGUUUUUUCAACCACCAGGAACAAUGGAGUCAUCGCCGGCGACUGGUGGCUGUCGCAGCGAAAACUCGCCAAACCUAGGCCUGACACAGGGAAGGGAAAAAAAAAGGGUUUUAGGAUUUUUUUUAAAAGAAUAGGCUGAAAUGAUUUUUUUUAAAGUUUUUUUUUUACUUAUAUAGGGUGCCAAUAUGGCACCGUUUUAGAAGGGUCUAAAAGGCCCCAAAACGACGUCGUUUUGGGGGCCAACCCGACCUGACCUAGCAGGAUCAACAUGUUUUUUAAAGGGGGUCUAAUUGUUAUUUUGUCCCUUCUAUUUUUUUGCUACUUUUCAAUUUAGUCCUAUUCAUUUUUAUUUGUUUUUAUUUUUGCCCCAUUAUUUAAAUCCCUGUACAAUUUAGUCCCCUGACCCAUUGUGAACCCCUUGGGGAAUGACACAUGUUAAUGUGAGGGGAAUAAUUUCCAUUUGACCCCUUAAAUUUUUAUCUUAUUUUAAUUUAAUCCUUCAGUUUCUUUUUCUUUAUAAUUUAGACUGUUAGUUUUGUUAUAUUUUAAAUUUAGUCCUUUAUUCCUUUUCUUUGUUUAUUUUGCAAUUUAUGCUUCAAGUUUUUCUUAAAUUUCAAUUUAUCCCUUAUUUGGUUAAUUUUACCUCUUUAUUUAUUAUGUUAUUUAUUUUAGUAUUUAAAAUUUAGGUUAUUUAUAUUUUCUUUUAUUUAUACAUUUUAUUUUUUAUAUUAUCCUUGCUAUUAUUCCAUUAUUUAUUUUUUACCUUUUUAUACUUUCAAAAAAAAAUUAGAUUGUUUAUUUUUUUUGCACAUUUUGUUAUUAUCAUUAUUAUUAUCUUAUUAUGCAUAUUAGUAUCAUGAUUUAUUAUUACUAUUAACUUUUAUAUUUUAUUAUGCAUAUUACGCCAUUAUUACUACAAAUUGAUGUCGCACUAUCAUUAUUCGCGAAGCAUGGCAUUUUUAUCUUACUUUUAGCUGGUUUUUUUUAUAUAUUCAUUCAUUUAUUAUCCUGGUAUCAUCUCAUUUUACUUAUCACUACUUUGUUUUAUUUCAUUAAUUACUAUGUAUUUAUAUAUUAAUUCAUUUUUAUGCUAUACCCGAAUAAACUAAAUACAUAUUACUUUAAAUAUUGCAUUCGUCUUUGCAUGAUGCCCAAAAAGGAUUUUUUUUAAAAAUCAAGGUAAUUAUUAUUAUUAUUUUAGAAUUAGAAAAGUCAUGUUCUUAACUUACGAGAUAUGGCUUCUUUCUAAAAUCGAGAUAGUCGGAUAUUUACUUUAAAAUAGAUGAAAAAGAGAUUUAAGUGAUGAUCAAAUGACGUUAAAAAUGACGUUAAUUCUUGUUCUCGGGGAUAUAAGGCAUUGUGUCCUACCUUACGGAAUAUGAUCCUUUCUUCUCGAUUAACUUGAAAUAAGCCCCUUUUCGUGAAAAUUAAUUUAGUUAAGCAAUGUCUUAAUAAGGGAUUGUAUUUUAAAUUCUCUUCAAAUUUUUAAUUUUCGACACCAAAGACAUCAAGUAAUUAAUUAGGUACUAAUUUUGGGCGUAACGAAAGUGCUAAUCCUUCCUCGUGUGUAACCGACUCCCGAACCUAUUUUCUGGAUUUUUGUAGAUCGAAAAACAUUAUUUUAAUAAAUCAAACCUCUUAUUGAAGCGAUCAAAUUGCGAGGUGACUCGAUCACGCCUCCAAAAAGUGAUUGGUGGCGACUCCUAUUUUCGUUUUUUUAAUAAAAAGUCAAUUUCAAAAAAAAAAGAUUUCGACAGCUUAGCGACUCCACUGGGGACAAAAUAAGAGAGCCAAGCCGCGAGUUGAUUACUUUUUGGUCUUUUUGUCGAAAAUUGAUAAUUUGGUUUAAAUUUAUGAUCCCUUUAUUACAUUUCAUCCUUCAUGUUUUGACACCUCGAGUUAUAUAGCGAUCUAGUAUAUCUGUUUUAUUGGUUCGAAAGUUUCUUUUUGUGUGUUUUUCGUAUAUUGCAUUUGCAUAACUGUUCAAUUUUGCCCUUCUUAAGUAGGAGAGAAACUAUUCCUUCGUGAGGUCUUCACCUCCGUAUAGGAUAGUGGAUUGCUUUUGGGAUACAUCCAUACCUAUGUCUUCAUAAGGUCUUCAUCUCCGUAUACCCAUAGGGAAGUGUAUUCCCCUAAACUGAACUCGGUUUGUAUGAGCUUAUAAUGGGUGAGGAUCAAGAAAUUUUUCAGUUCAAGUAUCCUUACUUUAAAAUCGAGCCGCAUAUAAUGAGCCUUAAGAACUUACCCUAGGUAGAGCCACACCAAACCCCUAGUGGUUGAUAAACCGUAAUUUAUACAUAUUUUCCCCCAUGUUUAACGUAUUUUAUGGAUGAUUUUCCAUUAGAAUUGGUGAAUUCGAUGCUCCUACUACUUAGGAGAGUAUAGGAGAGAGAAAGGAACGAGAAACGGGCCAAAAAUGGAGAAAAUAGGCCAAAGUACGAAAUCAACAUAGCCUGAACCUCCUCACAAGGGCAGACCACAUGGCCGUGCCCUGGUAGAAUUGGAGCACGACUCGCACGGGCAUAGCACACGCCCGUGCCAUUCUAACAGGCUCGAACACAGCCUGAAGUAAUCGCACAUGGGCGUGUCACAUGGGCGUGUCCUUACUGAGCCCAAGUUAAGUCCAAUUCGGAAAAGGCCACUUUUGAAGGCUCCUAGGCAUUCCAAAGCCUAUAAAUACACCCUAGAAGAGGAGAAAAAGGGAGACGGAGAAUAGGGGGUAAGGAAUUACUCCGAGGAAGCCGAUUGAUCCAUCUCAGAAGCCAUAUUCAUCAUCAAGACUGAAGAUCUCUCCUCAAUUUCCCUUCAGGAGUUUUGGGUUUUCUUUAUGUUUUGUAUUUUUUAUUCUUCUGAGAUGUUUUCUUAUUUAGUUAUAAACUAAAACCCCUAAAUACCUAAGGAGAAUGAAACCUAAGACGAAUCUUGUUAUUAUUUUCUGAAUCAUAUGAUAAAUAUUUAACUUGUUUUUAAUUAUGUGUUCUUAAUUCUUGUUUUGAUAUCCCAGGAUAUUGAUUUAAGACAUGCUCUUAUUCAGAGGAGGAAUAGACCCUGUCUAAGAGUACAUUUGUCAUAAUUAAGCGGAGUUGAUUGCGCGCCUAGAAAUAGGGUGACAAGAUUUUGCCGGAUUAGGGUGAAACCUAAUAAGGGGAUCUAUAGAUCGAGUUAAUGUAACCCUAGAGUGUUAAUUAGAGAAAAGUCUCAGUUAUUCAAUCUAGGGAUUAGACGUUAUUAGUCUUGAAUAGGGAUAAUAACAUAACUUAGGGAUCUCUACGGAACAAGUUGAAUGAAUAAAUCGUCCGGUUCGGAGCCAGAAUAACAAGUAAAGUCUAGGUGGAUUUUUCCUUAGGUAUUGUCUUAAGUCAAUCGAUUUUCCUCGAAAGCAAUUCCCCAAUUAUUUUCUUUGUGAGUUCUUAGUUUAGAUAAUUAGUUAAUUAAAACAAAACCUCUUUUUAUUCUUAGGCUACAUAGUAAAAAGACAGUCAUUACUAGUGCUUUUAGUUCCAUUGGGUUCGUCAAUCCGGUCUUGCUAAAACUAUACUACUGUUCGAUAGGUACACUUGCCUACAUCGCGAUAUUAGUUAGUUCAAGAACGAGUAAUUAUAAAUAUUUAAAACCUAUCACGAAACCUCGCGAUCAAGUUUUUGGUACCGUUGCUGGGGAACUAAAAUAUUAGGAACGCUCAAUUUUUAUUACUUUAGCCAUUUAUUUUUCUUGCAAUUUAAUUUAAUUUAAUUAUUAUUAUUAUAUUUAUUAAUUUAAUUUUUCUUUUUCUUGGCAGAUUUUUAUAGUUUAUGACUAGAAGAAACCCGUCGGGACCAUUACUUUUUGACAAAGAAAUCGAUCGUACAGUUCGCAGAAACCAAAGAGAAAUAAGGCGCAACUUAAGAUACACGAAGAACGAGCAAGAAGACGAUACUCAACCCCCAACCGAAGAGAUGGCUAAAAACCAAGGCAAUCAGCUUCCUCCUACAAUUGCGGCUAAUCAAAAUCUUGCUCCACGCACUAUGUAUGAUUAUGCUAAACCUUCUUUAAUAGGAAUUGAAUCUAGCAUAGUUAGACCUGCUGUAGCUGCAAAUACUUUUGAACUGAAACCUAACACAAUUCAAAUGAUACAACAUUUUAUUCAGUUUGAUGGUUUGGAGGAUGAAGAUCCCAACGCUCACUUAGCAAACUUUCUAGAAUUUUGCGAUACAUUUAAAAUCAAUGGCGUUUCUGAUGAUGCCAUUCAUCUUCGGUUGUUCCCUUUUUCACUGAGAAACAAAGCUAAACAGUGGUUGAACUCAUUACCACGAGGGUCUAUCACUACUUGGGAACAAAUGACCGAAAAUUUUUUACUAAAAUACUUUCCGUCGGCUAAAACGGCUAAAUUACAUAAUGAUAUCUCUUCUUUUGUGCAGAUGGAUUUAGAAACACUUUAUGAUGCUUGGGAAAGAUACAAGGACUUACUAAGAAGGUGCCCUCACCAUGGGUUACCGCUUUGGCUUCAAGCACAAACAUUCCAUAAUGGUUUGAAUCCCUCGACUCGUUAAAUGGUUGACGCAGCUGCUGGCGGAACCAUCAACAAUAAAACACUGGAAGAUACCUAUGAGUUUAUAGAGGAGAUGUCACUGAAUAACUAUUUGUGACAAGUUAUGAGGACAAAGCCAACGAAAACAGCCGGCGUUUAUAAUGUCAAUUCAGUCAUCAUGCUCUUUAAUCAGGUAGAACUUAUUAAUAAAAAGAUUGAUGGUUUUCUUAGUUCUACGCGGGUACAUCCAGUAAUGAGGUGUGACUCAAGCGGAGGAGGUGUGCAUACAGAAUAUCAAUCCUUCAAUCUUACAACUGAGGAGGAACAAGUCAACUAUAUGGGUAAUAAUAACUUUAGAUAUCAAAAUAACACAUACAGUAAUACUUAUAAUACAGGUUGGACGAACCACCCAAAUUUCUCCUGGGGUGGUCAAGGGAAUCAAAAGCCACAAAAUCCUCAUGGUUUUCAACAGCCACCUUAUCAACAAGAAAAGAAGCCAAACCUUGAAGAGAUGCUCUCAAAGUUUAUUUCGGUAUCAAAAACUCGUUUUCAGAAUACUGAGACAGCACUUAAGAAUCAACAAGCAUCGAUCUAAGGACUCGAAACUCAAAUAAGCCAGUUUUCUAAACUAAUCUCGGAAAGGCCACUAGGUACUUAGUAAUACCAAAUCAAGAGAGCAUGUCAAAGCAGUUACACUAAGGAGUGGGAAAGUGUUAGCAGAAUCUAAAAAGAAGUUAGCACAAGAAGCCGUGGAAAGCGAAAGGAGGGAAGAAAAACCCAAAAAUAGUGAAAAAACCAGUGCUGGAGGAAUAUACACCACCGGUUACAUAUCCAGCAAAAUUAAAAAAAGAUCGCAUUGGUGCACAAUUUGGUAAGUUUCUUGAACUUUUUAAGCAAUAACAUAUCAACUUACCUUUUGUUGAAGCCAUCUCGCAGAUGCCUACCUACGCAAAAUUUUUGAAAGAGUUUCUAACAAAUAAAAGGAAGUUCGAGGACUUAUCUACAGUAGAACUCAACGAGGAGUGCUCCGCCAUACUCUAAAACAAGCUGCCAACCAAACUAAAAGAUCCAAGAAGUUUUACUAUCCCUUGCUUAAUUGGUAAUCUGAAUGUUGAAAAAACACUAGCUGAUUUAGGCACUAGUACUAAUUUGAAGCCAUAUAAAAUGUUCAAACAACUUGGUCUUGGGGAACCUAAACCUACUAGGAUGAGUAUUCAAGUAACCGAUAGAUCUAUUAAAUAUCCUAGGGGUAUUAUAGAAGACGUACUCAUAAAAGUAGAUAAAUUUAUAUUCCCUGUUAAUUUUAUUGUGCUUGACAUGGAUAAAGAUGUGGAAGUACCCUUAAUUUUAGGGCGCCCAUUCCUAGCCACUGCUAGAGCUGUGAUUGACGUGGGUGACGGUAAAUUGGUACUUAGAGUAGGUGACGAGGAGAUGAUCUUUGAAAUUUACGAUGCUAUAAGAUUCUCUAGGGAACAGGAUGAUUCAUGUUAUUUCAUUGACUCUAUUGAUCAUAUUACUCAAGACUCUUUUCAGGAAAUUGUACAAGAGAAGACGACAGAACCGUAUCCAGCUCAAGACGAGGAGACAGGUGAGAAACCUAAUGACCAUUCAUCAAGACAAGUAGAAUAUGAGGGUAUUAAGAUAAACGAUGAACUUAAGCAAAAACCCUCUAUUGAGAAGUCUCCCAAACUGGAACUUAAACAAUUACCAAACCAUUUAGAAUAAGCAUUCUUUGGAAAUAAUUCUACAUUACCAGUUAUUAUUACUUCUAAUUUGCAACCCAAAAAGAAAGAGGAAUUAAUCCAAGUAUUAAAACAACAUAAGAAUGCCAUAGCAUGGAAAAUUUCUGACAUUAAAGGAAUCAGCCCCUUUUUUGCACCUACAAAAAUUUGAUGGAAGAUGAAUACAAUCCGUGUGUGCAAGUUCAAAGACGUCUGAACCCCAACAUGAAGGCAGUUGUAAAAGCCGAGGUAAUUAAACUUCUAGAUACUGGAAUUAUUUAUCCUAUUUCUGACAGUUCUUGGGUAAGUCCAAUGCAGGUUGUCCCCAAGAAAGAAGGCAUGACGGUUGUGACCAACGAGAAGAAUGAAUUAAUCCCAGCAAGAACAGUUACAGGGUGGAGAGUUUGCAUAGACUACAGGAAACUGAAUGACGCCACAAGAAAAGAUCACUUCCCCUUGCCAUUCAUUAACCAAAUGUUAGAAAGAUUAUCUGAACACAUGUAUUACUGCUUUCUAAAUGGACUCUCUGGUUACUUCCAAAUCCCAAUAGCUCCUAAAGAUCAAGAAAAGACGACAUUCACAUGCCCAUAUAGUACGUUCACUUAUCGUAGAAUGCCUUUUGGAUUAUGUAAUGCUUCUGCCAUUUUCAGCGCUGUAUGAUAGCCAUAUUCGAUGAACUCGUGGAAGAUAUCAUGGAAGUCUUCAUGGAUGAUUUUUUGGUAUUUGGUAACUCUUUCCAUCUCUACCUUAAAAAUUUAAAAUGAGUUUUAAUAAGAUGUGAGGAAACAAACCUUGUGCUUAACUGGGAAAAAUGUCACUUCAUGGUUCAAGAAGGUAUUGUAUUAGGGCAUAAAAUUUCUAGUAAAGGGAUUGAGGUGGAUAAAUCUAAAAUAGAAACAAUCAAAAAAUGACCACCUCCUAGUUCAGUUAAGGCUAUUAGAAGCUUUUUAGGACAUGCUGUUUUUUAUAGAAGAUUUAUUAAGGAUUUUUCUAAAAUAGCUAAGCCUUUGAUUAAAUUGCUAGAAAAAGAUAUACCUUUUAACUUCGAUCAGGAAUGUUUAGAAGUAUUUAAUACUUUAAAGGAUAAAUUAAUUAAUGCUCCAAUCACAAUUGCACCUGAUUGGAACUUUCCAUUUGAACUAAUGUGUGAUGCGAGUGAUUUUGCAGUAGGUGCAGUAUUGGGACAGUGAAGAGACAAGUAUUUUCAACCUAUCUAUUACGCCAGCAAAACCUUAACGGCUGCACAAGAAAACUAUACUACUACGGAAAAAGAGUUGCUAGCUGUGGUUUUUUCAUUUGAUAAAUUUUAAUCAUAUCUCAUAUUGUCUAAAGUUGUUGUUUACACUGACCAUUUCGCCUUUCGCUACCUUUUAACUAAAACCGAUGCAAAACCUCGACUCAUUCGAUGGAUUCUCCUAUUGCAGGAAUUCGAUUUGGAAAUUCAAGACAAGAAAAGAGCUGAAAACCUCAUGGCUGAUCAUCUAUCCAGGCUCUAGAAAUCCAAUACCAGAGAACUAGAUGACGUGGAAAUAAAUGAUUCAUUCCCUGAAGAAUAAUUUUUUGCUAUAUCUAACUCCGAGGUACCUUGGUUUGCGGACAUCGCGAAUUUUUUAGCUGCUAACAUUAUCCCAAAAGGGUUAACACACCAGCAAAAGAAGCGAUUCUUUAAUGAUGUGAAAAACUACUUUUGGGAUGAUCCAUUUCUAUUUUGUAGAUGUGCAAAUCAAGUCAUUAGAAGAUGCGUUACAGGCUCAGAAAUAUAAAAAAUAUUGGAACACUGCCACUCAGGGCCAACCGGAGGACACUAUAGUGGAACUAAGACCGCACACAAAAUACUUGAAUCAGGUUUUUAUUGGCCUUCGUUAUUCAAAGACGCUAUCAGGUAUGUUACUUUAUGUGACAAAUGCCAACGGACAGGUAACAUAACUAAACGUGAUGAAAUGCCUCAAAGCUAUAUGGUUUCUUGUGAAAUAUUUGACGUUUGGGGUAUCGAUUUCAUGGGCCCAUUCCCCAGUUCAUUUGGAAAUAAAUACAUCUUAGUAUCAGUUGAAUACAUGUCCAAAUGGGUAGAAGCCCAAGCUCUACCUACUAAUGAUGCUAGAGUGGUAGUACGUUUCCUUAAAAAACUCUUCUCGAGAUUCAGAACACCUAGAGCAAUUAUCAGUGACAGGGGCACUCAUUUUUGUAAUACUCAAUUUGAAAAAACCCUUAAGAAAUACGGAGUUCAUUAUAGAACAGCCACCCUAUACCAUCCUCAAACUAAUGGACAAGUUGAAAUAGCAAACCGAGAACUCAAACGAAUCCUUGAAAAAAUAGUAGAAUCAAACAGAAAAGACUGGGCAACAAAAGUAGACGGUGCCUUAUGGGCCUACAGAACUGCUUUUAAGACUCCUAUAGGGACAUCACUUUACAGACUUGUUUAUGGAAAAAGUUGUCAUCUACUAUUCGAACUAAAGCAUAAAGCUUUUUGGGCUAUUAAAUUUCUAAACCUUGAUCCCGAACUUGCAGGAAAAAAAUAGGUUGAUACAGCUGAACGAGCUAGAUGAAUGGUGAGCCAAUGCAUACGAAAAUUCACGCCUAUACAAGGAAGCAACAAAGCGGCUCCAUGACGUUCGUUUAAAGCAACAGAAACAAUUUGAAGUUGGAGAUCUCGUCUUACUAUACAACCCAAGACUCAAAAUGUUUCCCGAGAAACUAAAAUCACGAUGGUCAGGACCCUUCGUAAUUCAAUCUGUUCAUCCAUAUGGCACAAUAGCGGUAAGUCACCCAUCAUACAGUACUUUCAAAGUAAAUGGACACCAUCCCAAACUUUAUAAUGGUGAGAAUUUUAAAGUCGAUGGAGAGGAGCAACGACUCCACAAACCGCCCUGAAUAUAUCAACAAGGUAACAGUCGAGCUUAGACUAUAAACAAGUGCUUCUCGGGAGGCAACCCGAGUACUAACGAUUUUAAAUUAUUUUAAAUUCAAGUUUUAAACAUUUAGGUCACUAACAGGGUAUUUGAGGUACAGGUUCCCAACUCCACACGGCCGAUCACACAGCCAUGUGACCAACACGGAGGGAAAAACGGUUGUGCGAUAUGGCCGUGCAAAAACAAGGUAAAAGAUUUCCCCAAACACGGGCUGCGAUAAAACGCCAUGACCGGGCGACAUGGCCGUGGUCGAAUCUUCCGAAUAAACACGGACGUGCGAAAACCUACACGACCGUAGAAGAAGCGAAUCACGCCAGACAUGGUUGCGCAAUACGAUCACGUAGCGACACGGCCUAUACACAUGGGCGUACGAGAAGACCGUGUGGCGACAUCUUAAUUCGCGACAAACACGACCAAGCCACGGCACACACGGGUGUGUGCUACGGCCGUGCCAGUUGAAAAAUUAGAAUAAUUAUCUUAUUUUAUUUUUCCUUUAUUAAGUUUUUAAUAUUCAUUUGUUUUCCUUUUCAAAAAAAAAAGCAAAACGGCUUACCUUUAGAGUCCAGCUUGCCAUCCAAAGUAUCUCCAAUACUCGAUCUCGCCAAUCCAAGGAUAUCAUCCGUUCUUAAUACAGGAAGUUUCACUCCUCCCCCUAUCUUAUUUUUAUACUAUAAUAUCUAUCUUUGUACAUUGAGGGCAAUGUACAUCUUAAGUGUAAGGGGUAUUUAUUUCAUUAUCAGAAAAAUCCCUGAAUAAACAUCUUGUUCUCUUGAAAAACUCUCAUAUCAUAUUUAGGAUAAAUUUUAAUUAAUUUAUGAUUUUGAUUGAUAUAUCUUGAAUUAAAACAUAGGGAUUUAUGCAUUGAUUAUUUAAACUUUAAGAUAUUAGAGAAUCAAGCAUGAUAAGUUGAUUUUUAAGAAUUUUAAAUUAGAGGUUGUUUCCCCUAGUUUAGGUAUUAAUUUGAAUUGGAAUUCAAGAGUCUAAACAUCAAAAAGCCAUAAUUUUUGUGAGAUUUUUGAGCCUUUUGAGCCUUUUGAGCAUCUAUUCAUCCUUUCAUGCUCACUUUUAUUAUUGCUUUGAGUGCGUCGUAUUGAACUGUUAUUCUAGAACUUGCUUGAUUAUGCAUGUCGAGACCACACCAUUUGAUUUGAUAUAUCAAAAUGAUUAAGGCACUUGCCAUGAAAAGCCUACCUCCACGAUUAACCUCUAGUAAACCCCAUUGAGCCUAACAAGCCAUUCCUUGUAUUAACCUUAAUAUUAACCCUUAACCCAUUAUUGUUGAAAUCCCUUAAAUUAAUCCCUAUUUUUGUCGAGAUUUGAAUUGAAUAAAUUGUUUAGCUAUGUCUUGUUCUUAAUAGCUAGUCUAUGUUAUUUAACUUCUUCUUAAAAAAAAACUAUUGUAAUUUCAUAUUCUGAGAGAGGCUCUGUUGUACGUAAGUGAAGAUUAACUCUUUUUCUAGUUAGACAAUUUUUCAAUUCAAUCUCGAUUCUAACCCUUUCUUUCAGCUUGUGACCACACCUAUAACCAAGCCUCAUUAAAACCCUUUAAAGACCUUUUGAUUAAUGUAUCAUCUUAAAUUAUAGUGGUGUAGAUUUAAUUUUCAUGCAAGCCUAUGGUAAUGACUUUUCAUUAUUGACUAUUGAGUGCUUCAUUUAUUGUCCUUAAACAGCUCGAGUGAUUUGAGUGAAUAUUUAGUGAGGAUGUAAAACUCUGUGAUAUUUUGAAUUAAAGGUAAUUACUUAGAUGAGGGAAGACACCUAUGUUUUCGGAAUAAAAUGCUCAACUUGAAAUGCUUGACACUUUUAUGUUCUUUUAGUUGAAUUCUCAAUGUAUGAUUACCUAUGGAUUAUUUUGAGAUAUUAUUGAUAAGAAUUAUAAGUUGAGGAGAAAUUAGUUUGAUUAUGAGUUGAGAAUUUUGCUUGAGGACAAGCAAAUGCUUAAGUGUGGGGGUAUUUGAUAAAUCGUAAUUUAUUCAUAUUUUUCCCCCACGUUUAACGCAUUUUAUGGAUGAUUUUCCAUUAGAAUUGGUGAAUUCGAUGCUCCUAAUGCUUUAAUUUAAUGUUUUACACUUAGGAGAGCAUAAGGGAGCGAAAGGAAUGAGAAACGGGCCAAAAACGGAGAAAAUGGGUCAAAGUACGAAAUCAACACGGCCUGAACCUCCUUACACGGGAGCACGACUCACAAGGGCAUAGCACACGCCCGUGCCAUUCUAACAGACUCGAACACGGCCUGAUAGCUCAAGGAAAGUCCAAUUUGGAAAAGUCCACUUUUGAGGGCUCCUAUGUAUUCCAAAGCCUAUAAAUACACCCUAGAAGAGGAGAAAAAGGGAGACGGAGAAUAGGGGGUAAGAAACUACUCCAAGGAAGCCGAUUGAUCCAUCUCAAAAGCCGAAUUCAUCAUCAAGACUGAAGAUUUCUCCUCAAUUUCCCUUCAGGAGUUUUGGGUUUUCUUUAUGUUGUGUAUUCUUUAUUCUUCUGAGAUGUUUUCUUAUUUAGUUAUGAACUAAAACCCCUAAAUACCUAAGGGGAAUGAAACCUAAGACGAAUCUUGUUAUUAUUUUCUGAAUCGUAUGAUAAAUAUUUAACUUGUUCUUAAUUAUGUGUUCUUAAUUCUUGUUUUGAUAUCCUAGGAUACUGAUUCAAGACAUGCUCUUAUUCAGAGGAGGAAUAGACCCUGUCUAAGAGUACAUUUGUCAUAAUUAAGUGAAGUUUAUUGCGUACCUAGAAAUAGGGUGACAAGAUUUUGCUGGAUGAGGGUGAAACCUAAUAAGGGGAUCCAUAGAUCGAGUUAAUGCAACCCUAGAGUGUUAAUUAGAGAAAAGUCUCAGUUAUUCAAUCUAGGGAUUAGACGUUAUUAGUCUUGAAUAGGGAUAAUAACAUAACUUAGGGAUCUCUACGGAACAAGUUGAAUGAAUAAAUCGUCCGGUUCGGAGCCAGAAUAACAAGUAAAGUCUAGGUGGAUUUUUCCUUAGGUAUUGUCUUAAGUCAAUCGAUUUUCCUCGAAAGCAAUUCCCCAAUUAUUUUCUCUUGUGAGUUCUUAGUUUAGAUAAUUAGUUAAUUAAAACAAAACCUCUUUUUAUUCUUAGGCUACAUAGUAAAAAGACAGUCAUUACUAGUGCUUUUAGUUCCUUUGGGUUCGACAAUUCGGUCUUGCUAAAACUAUACUUCUGUUCGAUAGGUACACUUGCCUACAUCGUGAUAUUAGUUAGUUCAGGAAUGAGUAAUUAUAAAUAUUUAAAACCUAUCACGAAACCUCGCGAUCAGUGGUCACCCGAAUAGGUGAUCUAUUUAUUAUCUCUUUUUUCUUUAAAUUAUAACUUUGUAUGAAAUGUAUUGACUUGUUUCGUCUUGUUUUGUUUGUAAUUGCAUUGCAUUUUCAUCAUAGAAAAGGGUUUUGAUUCACGUUUAGUUGCUAAAUAGAGAGCUUGCCAUGGAAAAGGGAUUUCUUGAUAAAGUGGAAGACAAUACGGCCGUCCGAAUAUGGUCUGAGAAAACACAACAAGAGAAGGGUGACAACCUGACAGAGGGGUACGUGUCAGAAUUAUGGGAUUUCAUUUGCAUUAGUAUGACUCAGAAUAAUCUCCAAGAGUUGAAAGAGGUAUAGGACCAAUGGGAUGAUGAAACCUAGCAAUUAUUCUACUCUAACUAUAGUAAUUUGCCUUAUUUAAUCGAUGUCAAAGUGGAUAAGCACUUAUUCCUAGCUUUAGCUCAGUAUUGGAACCUCGCCUAUAGCUACUUUAGUUUUGGAAAGUGGAUUUGGUGCCUACAGUAGAGGAAUACACAACUUUGCUUCGUUGCCCGAGGAUUCAAGCUGACAAAGCUUAUUCUAGUGCCACCAACAUCCCAGCUUUCCUAAAGAAGCUAAUGAGCAUCACGGGGAUGAGCGAGCAAUGGGUCGCGGCUUGGAUUAAACAAAAGGGAGGUAGUAAAUGUAUCCCUUGGAAAAGUUUGCAGGAUUUGAUCUUGGCACAUCUAGAUACGAGAAAAGGGUCGAUGUCUUUGCUUUGAGUAUUUACAGGUUGAUUAUUUUCCCCAAAGCACCAGGGCACAUAAAUGAGGCAAUUUCGGAACUAUCUGACCGGCUUGACAAAAGAGUCACGCCCAUCCCGAUAAUUUUGGCUGAAACUUUUAGAUCUUUAAAUGCAUGCCGAAGAGCGGAUGAAGAAAGAUUCAUCGGGUGUGUGCAACUCUUGUUAGCAUGGACCCACAGCCACUUUUGGAAGGUAGAAAAGGUAUCUAUCGAGUAUUCUCCAAGAACUACUCUCUGUUGAAAGAAUCUGUGGCCGCGCCAAGGCCCGACGACAUUUCGGAGAAGAAAUGGAUGGCAAUUCUUUAGAGUCUCCAAGAUGAAUACAUUGAAUAGGGGGCCCCUUGAAUGAUCCCUGAUGAUAUUUUGUAUCGAUGUGGAGACUUCGAUUGGGUUUCUCUACUCAGGAUAUAGGGAGCUAUUGGAUAUGCCCCUUUACUUGUAUUGAGGCAAUAUAAGUCGAGGUUUAUACCAGCAACGCAAGGGUCGGAUCAGUGUUUGUUUGUGUACAAAGGUGAUAAUUACAAGAAAAGGGUUCGUGAAAUAUCGAACGCUUGGAAUCAAAUUCAUAGAAUGAAAAUGUAAAUCAAAUUCAUAGAAUAAAAAUGUAACACCCCUAACCCCACGCCGUCAACGAAAUAGGGAUACGAGAUAUUACCGGACUUAAACACUAACGUUUAUACAAAACCUAGUCAUACACUUUACAUUUUGGAUCAAUAUUCAUCAAAUUUCAACAUAAAGUCCCUAUUAUGGGCCUACGAGGCCUAAUAUAUGUCUUAGAAGUGAUUUGGGACUAAACUGUAACUUUAGAAAAAAUUUUCUUGAAGAUAGGGGCACACGCCCGUGUGGCCUGGAACAUGCCCGUGUGCUACAGCCGUGUGGUACAUGGCUAGCUACUAACUUAAGCCCACGGCCAAAUGACACGCCCGUGUGUCAAGGCCUUGUAAUAUUUAGGAGGUUACUGAGUUUCUCACAUGGCCAUAAGGCACGCCCGUGUCCCCUGACCAUGUGGCACUAUAUAGGCUUGAUUUAAGCCAAUUUACCACCCCUUUUUCAUUUCGAUUAAGGAAAUUUUCACAUGCCAAAUAUAUCUAUUUCAUGCCCAAACAUUUACUAAUAGUACCUAAAUCAAAUAUCAUUCAUUAUACCAUUCAAACUUAGCAAAUAUUCAUUCCUUCAUUCAUUACCUCUUAAGAAUAUUAUACCACAAUUCAUAUCAAAAUUAUACAACAUUAUCAUACUAGUCAAACUCAUAUAAGUUUAACUUUCAAAAUAUGCAUAUUUCAUACCAUACUUCAACAACUUUCAUGUUUAUACACUAUCAUAUACAAAAUAACACCUUAACAACUUAGGUACAUGCCAUUUUACCAAAAGAAAAGUAUUCACCACUUUAAAUCCGGAAUUGGCUUGGAUGCUGAGUCCUUAACUUUCUUUCAUACCUAAACCUGUGCACGGAAACAUACUGUACGCUGAGUAUACACUCAGUGGUAUUUCUAUAAACUAAUACUUAAAACAAUAAUAUGCUAUGUAUAUACAUUGUAGCAUAACUUUUAUUUCAUAAUCUUAUUAACUUCAUCACUUACCUUUAACUUAUAGCUCUUAAAUGUAUUUAAAACAAUUUUUUAUUCUUUUCAUAUCAUUCAAUAUCUUUCAAUACUUGUAUAGCAGUCACAGUAACAUAAUCAAUAGCAGUCAGUCUUUGUCUUUAGUACUUUCAAUUACCCCUAUUAGCAUAACUCGGACCUGGACGGAUACACGGAUCCAACCCACACACUGGGGAUAAUGUACAGUGUUUCAUCGGCCGAAACUGGAAUACACCGUAGGGUAACAGUAACAGUAGCAGUAACAGUCAUAGUCAGGUACAGAGUACCUCUUCAGAACGAAUCUGAAACAGUCACAGUAGUCGACACUUAUAGUGUCUCAUCGACACACAGUCGGAAUAUCCUUGAACACUUCCAAUCCUAUGGCCUGCCAAUUAUAUCCGACUAACCCGACACUGUUAAUAGUGUAUUCAAAUCAUAUCAUUAUAAUUAGAAACAGUAACAUUUUCCAUCAUAUCAUUCAUUAUACAUUCUAACUACUAAGGAUAGCAAUUACAUUGUAUUAAAUCAUUAAGCAUAGUUUAUAGAAAUACAAACCGAAUUUCUCGAGUUUACUCGGUAUCCUCGUUCACUUUCUCCUUUCCCUUUUUCGAUGAUGUUUCCGGUGCUGCGUUGGCUACAUAAAAUUUAACAUUUAAAAUUAUCAAUAUAUGUUAUUUAAUAAUAUACUCUUGUAUUUCUAUGUAUCUUUUAUUUAAAUUCCAAUUUAGUCCUUCCACCAUAAUUAUUCUUUUUCUUUAAAAUAAAUCCUAUAUUUUCAUUCAAUUAUCAUUUUAAACUAUUCCAACUCUUAAAUUUUCAGCAUAAAAUACUAAUUAUAACAUCUUCUCAAUUCAAUCCCUAUUAUUGCAAGACGCAUAUUUUCUUUUACAAUUUAAUCCUUCUCCUACUUCUAACUUGAAUUUGCAUCAAAUUAACACUUAAUUCUUCCAUUUAUUCAACUUAAUCAACAUCUAAAAAUUCAAUAACUUUCUAAAUUUCAACAUAACUCAAGUAGUAUUCUUUCCUAGGAUUCCAUAGACAUCAAAAUUGUAAGAAAAGGGAUCAAAUUAACUUACCAAUCAAGCUUGGAACUCCAAAACUCUAAAUUUCCCUUUUCUUUUUCUUUCCCUUUUUCUUUCUUUCUUUCCCUGCUUUGUUUCGUUUUUCAUUCUUUCUUUUAUUUCUUUUAUUCAUUCAUUCUUUAUUUUAUUAUAUUAUUAUAUUUAGUAAUAAUUGUUUAUUUACUUAUAUAAUAAGUAAAUACAUAUAUACUCACACAUUUGUACUAAUUAAAUUAAUACAAAUGUAUUUAUACUUACCAUACACUUGUCACCUUAUGGUAAAAUUUCUAAUUUAAUCCCUUGAAUUUUCUAUAGUUUAUAAUUAAACUUUUACACUAUAUUCAGUCUAGUCCUUUCACUAAAUUAGCCUUGAUUAAGUUAAAUUUACUUAAUAAAAAUCUAAUUAACCUCUCACUUAACUUCGUAAAUAUUUCUAAUAAAUAUUUACGAAUCUAAUUUUACGAAAAUUAUAACCUGAAAAUUCAAUUUUUCGAUGACCUUAAAAUUUGGGUCGUUACAUUUCUCCCCCUUAAUAAAUUUCGUCCUCGAAAUUUACCUAUAAAGAGAUGGGGGUAUUGUGAUCUCAUUAUAUCUUCCAGUUCCCAUGUUGCUUCUUCAAUAUUGUGACUUCUCCACAACACAUUUACUAGAGGAACUCAUUUAUUACGUAAUUCCUUUACCUCAUGUGCCAGUAUUUUAACCGGUUCUUCUUCAUAUGACAAAUCUGGUCGAAUCUCUAUAUCUUCAGUUGAAAUCACAUGAGAUGGGUCUGACCGGUAUCUUCUUAACAUAGAAACAUGGAAAACAUCAUGAAUCUUCUGUAAUUUAGGAGGUAGAGCUAAACGAUAUGCCACUGGUCCAAUUCUUUCUAUAAUUUCAUACGGUCCAAUGUAUCGUGGACUCAAUUUACCCUUCCGACCGAAUCUCAAAAUUUUCUUCCAAGGAGAGACUUUAAGAAAUAUUUUGUCUCCAACUGAGUACUCAAUGUCCCGUCGUUUUAGAUCUGCGUACGAUUUCUGCCUAUCGAAAGCUACUUUUAAUCGUUCUUGAAUAUUUCUAACAGCAUUUUCUAUUUCUUGAAUUAACUCUGGACCAACUACUUUUCUUUCAUUUAGUUCUGUCCAACACACUGGUGAUCGACAUCUUCGACCAUACAAAACUUCAUAUGGUGCCAUCUGAAUACUUGAUUGGAAACUAUUGUUAUAUACAAACUCAGCCAAUGGUAGAUAACGUUCACAACCUGAUUCAAAAUCAAUAAUACAAGCUCGGAGCAUGUCUUCCAAAAUCUGAAUAACUCGUUCUGAUUGUCAAUCGGUCUGUGGAUGAAAAGUUGUACUAAAAUGAAGUUGAGUACUGAGAGACUCAUGUAACUGUUUCCAGAACCUUGAUGUAAACUGUGGAUCCUGGUCAGAGAUUAUUGAUACAAGAAUAUCAUGUAAUCUUACAAUUUCUCGAAUAUACACCUCUGUAAGUUUCUGUAGCGACCAGUCAGUUCUGACGGCUAUAAAAUGAGCUGAUUUUGUAAGCCGAUCAACAAUCACCCAAAUAGCAUUUUUCUUACUAGUUGACAUCGGUAACCUGGUUACAAAGUCCAUCGUUAUCUGGUCCCAUUUCUAUUCAAGAAUACUAAUAGGCUGAAGCAACCCUGUCGGAACUUGAUGUUUUGCCUUUACCCAUUGACAAGUCAAACAUUUAGCUACAGAUUCCACUAUAUCUUUCUUCAUACUCGGCCACUAAUACAGUUCCCGUAAAUCACGAUACAUCUUUGUUCCUCUGGGAUGUAAUGCAAACUGACUGUUAUGAGUUUCUCGAAGAAUCAAUUCCUUAAUUUCAGAAGUAGUUGGGAUGCAAAGUCGAUUCUGAAAUCUCAAAGAGUCAUUUUCAUCAAUACUAAAGUUCUCUAUUGUACCAUUCUGUACCAUUUUCCUCUUUUUUGUUAACUUUUCAUAUUCUAACUGUGCUGUUCUGAUUUUAUCAAACAUUACUGAUUUUACUCUCAAUUCAGCCAGAAUACUUCCAUCAUCAACAAUACUGAGCUGUGCAAACAUUGCUCUUAACUCAAUUGCAGCCUUCCUACUUAACGCGUCAGCUAUCACAUUAGCUUUACCCGGAUGAUAGUCAAUAACACAAUCAUAAUCUUUAAAAGUUCUAUCCACCGACGCUGUCUCAAAUUCAACUCUUUCUAUGAUAGAAGAUACUUGAGACUUUUAUGAUCAGUGCAAAUAUAACACUUUUCGCCGUAUAAAUAAUGUCUCCAAAUCUUCAAAGCAAAUAUCACUGCAGCUAAUUUUAGAUCAUGUGUCGGAUAAUUGCGUUCAUGCGGUUUCAAUUGUCGUGAAGCAUAAGCAAUUACCUUUCCGUUUUGCAUUAGAACACACCCGAGACCAUUUAAAGAAGCAUCACUAUACACAACGAAAUCUUUUCCCGACUCUGGCAAAGUCAAUACUGGUGCUUCUGUCAACAUUUGCUUCAACAUUUCAAAUCUUUUCUAACACUGUUCACUUCAAACAAACGAAACAUUCUUUUGCAGUAACUUUGUCAUCGAUAAAGCUAUUUUUGAAAAUCAAUUCCAAAACCUUCGAUAAUAUUCGGCCAACCCAAGAAAACUUUGUACCUCUGACACAUUUCUGGGAACUUUCCACUGAAGUAUUACUUUAAUCUUCUUUGGAUCUACUCUUAUCCCAUCUGCUGAUACUAUAUGACCAAGGAAUACAACCUCCGUUAACCAGAACUCACACUUGCUCAAUUUCCCAUAUAGUUGCUUCUCUCGUAAUAUUUGCAAAGCAAUUCGAAGAUGCUGUUCAUGUUUAGUUUCAGCCUUCGAAUAUACCAAGAUGUCAUCAAUAAAAACCACUACAAACUGAUCCAAAUACGGUUGAAAAAUUCGAUUCAUAAGAUCCAUAAAAGCAGCCGCAGUAUUUGUUAACCCAAAUGGCAUAACCAAAAAUUCAUAAUGUCUAUACCGUGUACAGAAUGCUGUCUUCGAUACAUCACUCUCCUUUACCUUUAGCUGAUAAUAUCCCAAUCUCAAAUCAAUUUUUGAAAAUACAAAAGCUCCCUUUAGUUGAUCAAAUAAAUCAUCAAUGCGAGGUAACGGGUAUUUAUUCUUAACAAUGACUUUAGUCAACUGUCAGUAAUCAAUACACAACCGCAUCGAACCAUCUUUCUUUUUAACGAAUAACACUGGAGCUCUCCACGGUGAUGUACUAGGUCGUAUAAACUCUCGGUCCAAUAAAUCUUGUAAUUGUACCUUCAGUUCCUUCAACUCAGUAGGUGACAUUCGAUAUGGAGGUAUUGACACUGGAUCUGUACUCGGGUAUACUUCAAUCACAAAUUCAACUUCUCGAUCAGGAGGUAAUCCAGGAAAUUCUUCGAGAAAAACAUCAGGGAAUUCACAUACAGUCCAAAUUUUACUGCACUAACUCUCAGCUGAAUCGAAGUUAACAACAUAUACUAAGAAAGCAGCACAUCCUUGGUAAAGAAGCUUACUAGCUUUAACUGCAGAAAUGAUUCGAGCUGAACCACUAGUCCUUAAACCAUUUACUUCAAUCCGUUUACCAUCUUUAUUUUGGACAGUAAAUUUCUUUUUAUAACAGUCCAAAAUUACUCCAUGUUCUGACAACCAGUCCAUACCCAGUAUAAUGUCAAAAUCGCCGAAUGGCAUAAUCAACAGAUCAAUAGAAAAAAUUCUAUCUUGAAUCAUCAACGGACAUUUUCGACAUAUUUAAUUUACUAACACAGUUUGCCCCAAUGGACUAGACACUUCUAUCGUUAUUCUAAACAGUUCAGAUUUUAAAUUUCCCGUCUCAACUAGUUUUGUAUUAACAUAGGAUUGUGACGAUCCUGGAUCUAUUAAAGCAUAUACGGGUUGUGAAUAUAAUAAGAAUAUACCUGUCACUACAUCAUGAGCAUCCCCCUUGUCUCGAGUUCUUACAACAUAUGCUCGGGCCGGAGCUCCUACUUCAGAUUGUUGAGUAGCAUUUUCACUAGUUCUUCUAGUACCUCCUCUAGCAACUGGACCACUUUGGCCUGAUCCCCGACCUCUAGAAGCAAGUUCAGAUCUUUGGGAUACCAUUGGUGCUGGUGCUGACUUACCAAUCUUCGGACAAUCCUUAACAAAAUGAUCAGUGGAUCCACAUUGGAAACAACUCCCAGUUAACUUUCUACAUUAUUCUCUAUGUCUGUUUCCACAAUACUUACAUUCUGGAAUUUUAGUGUUUUGAGCUGGGCUUCUGAUACUGCCAACAGAUAUAGUAGUUUGUCUCUUUCAACUUCUGUCUCCUCUUUCUGAUCUUGAACUAAAUCUUCCACUACCACGAGAUUUCCUCGAUCGUUUGAAUUGCAAACUUGAACUAGCAGUUCCAGGACGUUUUCCAGCUGAACUAACAGUUUUAAACUUUUUACUCUUCCCCAGUAUUUGCUCAAUCAUUUUAGCUCUUUCAACUAGAUCUGCAAAUUCUGUAAUCCGUAGAGGCAUCAAUUGCAGUUGAAAUUUGAUCGCAGUGAUUCGUAACAAGUAAUAAAUAUUUAUAAUGAAGAUCAAACCUAGACUAACUAUUAUCACGACAAAAAGGCAAGCGCACCUAUCAAACAAUAGUACAGUAAUGGCAAGACCGAGAUAUCGUACCCAAGGGAACCAAAAGUACUAGUAAUAACUAUCUUUUUAUUAUCUAGCCUAGGAAUAAAAGGGUUUGUUUUAAUUAACUAAUCAUUUAAACUAAGAACGCACAGAGAAAAUAAUUGGGGAAUUACUUUUGGCAAAAUCGAUUGACUUGAGACAAUACCUAAGGAAAAAUCCACCUAGACUUUACUUGUUAUUCUGGCUCCGAAUCGGACGAUUUAUUCAUUCAACUUAUUCUGUAGAGAUCCCUAAGUUAUGUUAUUAUCCCUAUUCAAGACUAAUAACGUCUAAUCCCUAGAUUGAAUACCGAGACUUUUCUCUAAUUAACGCUCUAGGGUUGCAAUAACUCGAUCUAUAGAUCCCCUUAUUAGGUUUCACCCUAAUCCGGUAAAAUCUUGUCACCCUAUUUCUAGGCGCGCAACCAACUCCGCUUAAUUCUGGCAAAUGUACUCUUAAACAGGGUCUAUUCCUCCUCUGAAUAAGAGCGUGUCUUGAAUCAAUAUCUUGGGAUAUCAAAAGAAGAAUUAAGAACACAUAAUUAAGAACAAGUUAAAUAUUUAUCAUAUGAUUCAGAAAAUAAUAACAAGAUUCGUCUUAGGUUUCAUUCCCCUUAGGUAUUUAGGGGAUUUAGUUCAUAACUAAAUAAGAAAACAUCUCAAAAGAAUAAAGAAUACAAAACAUAAAGAAAACCAAAAACUCUUGAAGGGAAAUUGAGGAGAGAUCUUCAGUCUUGAUGAUGAAUUUGACUUUUUAGAUGGAUCAAUCGGCUUCCUUGGGGUAAUUCCUUACCCGUUUUCUCCGUCUCCCUUUUUUUCCUCCUCUCGUACGUAUUUAUAGGCUUUGGAAUGCCUCAAAACCCUCCAAAGUGGCUUUUUUCGAAUUGGACUUAACUUGGGCUCAGCAGGGACACGCCCGAGUGACACGGCCGUGUGACGUGAUUGCCAGGCCGUGUUCGAUCCGUUAAAUUGCACACGGUCGUAUGGGUCAAUGGCCAGGCCGCGUAAAUCAUGAAAGCCUUGGUCGACACCUUCGAAAGACACGGGCAUGUGAGCUACCUGUAUGGCAAGGCUUAAGCCGUGUCAUCUUCUCGAUUUGGUCUGUUUUUUUUCCAUUUUUGGCUUGUUUUUGGUUCCUUUUGACUCUUGGUGCUCUCCUGAGUAAAAAACAUGAAAUUAAAGCAUUAGGAGCAUUGAAUUCACCAAUUCUAAUGAGAAAUCAUCUAUAAAAUACAUUAAACAUGGGGUAAAAAUAUGUAUAAUUUACAGUUUAUCAAAUACCCUCGCACUUAAGCAUUUUCUUGUCCUCAAGCAAAAUUCUAAACUCAUAAUCAGAAUGAAUCGUUCUCAACUUAUAAUUUCUAUCAAUAAUAUCUCAAAUUAAUCCAUAGGUAAUCAUACAUUGAGAAUUUAACAAAAAGAACACAAAAGUUUCAAUCAUUCUAAGUUGAGCAUUUUAUCCCAAAAAUAUAAGUGUCCUCUCUCAUCUAAGUAAUUACCUUUAAUUCAGAAUAUCACAGAGUUUAACAUCCUCACUAAAGAUUUACUCAAAUCACUCGAGGUGUUUUAAGGACAAUAAAAGAAGCACUCAAUAGUCAAUAAUGGAAAGCCAUUACCAUAGGCUUGCAUGAAAAUCAAAUCUCCACCACUUUAAUUUUAAGAUGAUACAUCAAUCAAAAGGUCUUUAAAGGGGUGUAAUGAGGCUUGGUUAGGGGGUGUGGUCACAAGCAGAAAGAAAGGGUUAGAAUCGAGAUUGAAUUGGAAAGUUGCCUAACUACAAAAAGAGUUAAUAUUCACUUGAGUACAACAGAGCUUCUCUCAGAAUAUGAAAUUACAUAUAUGAAUACAUAGUUGUGUUUUUUUUUUGAGAAUAAGGUAAAUAAUGUAGGCUAAAUAUCAAGAACAAAACAUAGCUAGACAAUCCAUUCAACUCAAAUCUCGACAAAAAUAGGGAUUAACUUAGAGGAUUUCAACAAUAAUGGGAUAAAGGUUAAUAUUAAGGGUAAUACAAGAAUUUGUUUGUUGGGCUCAAGGGGGUUUACUAAGGGUUAAUCGUGGAGGUAGGUUUUUCAUGGCAUGAGUGGGUUAAUCCUAAGUGCCUUAAUCAUUUUGAUAUAUCAAAUCAAAUGAUGUGGUCUCGACAUGCAUAAUCAAGCAAGUUCUAGAAUAAUAGUUCAAUACUGACACACUCAAAGCAAUAAUAAAAGUGAGCAUGAAAGGAUGAAUAGAUGCUCAAAAGGCUAAAAAAUUUCACAAAAAAUUAUGGCUUUUUGAUGUUUAGACUCGUGAAUUCUAAUUCAAAGUAAUACCUCGACUUGGGGAAACAACCUAUAAUUUAAUUUCUUAAAAAUGAACUUAUCAUACUUGAUUCUCUAAUGUCUUAAAGUUUAAAAAAAUCAAUGCAUAAAUCCCUAUAUUUUAAUUCAAAAUAUAUCAAUCAAAAUCAUAAAUCAAUUAAAAUUUAUCCUAAAUAUGAUAUGAGAGUUUUUCAUGAGAACAAGGUGAUUAUUCAGGGAUUUUUCUGAUAGUGAAAUAAAUACCCCUACACUUAAGAUGUACAUUGCCCUCAAUGUACAAAGAUAGAUGUUAGAGAAAAAAUAAGAUAGGGAGAGAAGUGAAACUUCCUGUAUGAUGAAUUCCUCGAACUAGAGUUUUAGAGAGUGAUUGGUUUGAGAGUGGAAGAGGAUACUCCGGCGGUCGUAGAGGUUCAUUAGGCCAUAAGUCCUGCGCCAAAAGAAUAUUAUACCUAGUGGUAGCUAUGGUCGUGGUUGAGCAGGACAUGGAAGUCGUGAAGAACCUUUCCCGGUGGAGCUUUAGUUCCUAUGUGAUGAUGAGCUCAAGAGCUCUAUAUAAUUGGGAUAAAAUCAGGAACUUUUUAGGGGAUAUUAGGAAGGAUAAGUACUCAAAAAGAAAUAGUCGAAAUUAAUAAGAAAAAAUAAAAUAUCUAAAGUCUAAUAAAAAUAAUAGAAAUAGUUUCAAUUAUUAGUAAAAACAUAAAAUAAUAAAUAAAUAUUUCUAGAUAUCUUCAUUGCUGGAUGGUUCACGAGGUGGGACUGGCGAUGAGAUAGGAAGGUGCUGACAAAUCUGCUGUAGAGUAGCAUCAAUGUUGUCAAAUCGUUGAAAACACUGAAGCUUGAAUUGGAUGAGGUGCUCAGAGAUGUCAGCAUAUGAAGUUGCUGCAUGAACUGGACGAGAGGGUAGUGGUGACUGAGAAUAGGGAUCAGGGAGUGGAGAAGGGGAGAUUUCGGCUAGGGUUUUUUUUUUGAAAGGAAGAAAAAAUGAACAAUGAUUUGCUUAUAUAGGGGAGGGCCACACGGCCUAGGGCCACGCCCGUGUAUGUAUGAGGGUGAACCCGUGUGUUUCGAAUUUUGCAGUUUUAGGUCCUGAUUGGCUAUUCUACAACGCCCGCGUGUCUUUGGCGUAUGUGGUAGACGGCUAUAUCGCACGGCCGUUCCUAGCUUUGUUCGCUUCUCUCCCGCCUAUGUUAAGGUACCACGCCCGUGUAUUGUUGUCCACGGCUUAGCGGCACGGGCGUGUCUUAUGCCCGUGUCGAAGAAACAGAAUCGAGCCUUAUCCCUGGCAUGCCCAUGGUUUUCUAUCCCACGCUUGUGUUCUUCCUAUCAAGUUCACCCACAGCCAUGUCGCACGGCCGUGGGGAUUUAUCGCACCCUGUGUUUUGGGAAAUCAUGUCCUGCUUCAACACAGCCGUAUCGCACGGUCGUGUCUCUUCCCCUAUUUGGCCACGGCUUUAGGCACGCUCGUGAGCCCGGCCGUGUGUGCUGAAAAACUUUGCAAUUCAAAGAUAAAGUUAAUUAUUCGAAGUGUUAGAAAUUAAUUAAAAAUAAAGAAAUCAAAAUACGCUAGUGCUCGGGUUGCCUCUCGAGAAGCGCUUAUUUAUAGUCUAAGCUCGACUUACCUCUCUGUUGAAUGAUCAAGGUGGUUUGAGGAGUUCAUACUCCUCAUUCCUGUUGUUAUUUUUAAAAUAAGGUUUUAAACGGGUGCUGUUUACCUUAAAAGUGCCGAACUUGGGAUGACUCACCUCCACUGUAUUGAAUGGAAAAAUACUGAGUACUGUAAGAGGGAUUUCCUCAUUUGGUGUGGUAGUGACAAUGUGAGGAUCAACGACAUCUAGUAAGACUGUAUUGCCGACCUGAAGUUGAUUAGGAGAGGUAUCGGGCUUGUUUUUGCAUAGUUUCGGUUUAUCAUGUGUUCUCGGUUUGUGUUCUCGCCAUUCGUCUAGCUCCUCUAUCCCUAGUCUUCAUUCUUCAUGGACGUCUUUGUUCUCUUCAUGAUAGUAACAGACUGUCUCUGUUGUCUUUGUUCGAGGAGGUUCCUGCAAGGAUGAUUGAAUAUUAGUUUUAUCAUCGAUAGUUUUUGUAGCAUUAUCCUGAGUCUUAGGGGUUUUGACUGAGUCCAGUGCUUGGAGUGUUACUACGUCGUCACCUGUACGAAGUGUUAGCUCCCCUGUGACUACAUUAAUAAUGGUUCUGGCAGUUGCUAAAUAGGGUCGUCCUAAAAUUAAAGGUACCUCGUUAUCAUCAUUCAUAUCUAAGACAACAAAGUCUACUGGGUAAAUCAAUUUAUCAAUUUUAACGAGAACAUCUUCAAUAAUAACCUUAGGAAAUCUAACUGUUUUGUCAGCCAAUUGUAUGCUCAUCUUAGUCUGUUUGGGUUUACCAAGUCCUAGUCGUUUAAACAUUUUAUAGGGUAUAACAUUUAUACUUGCCCCUAAAUCAACUAAAGCAUUAUUCACAGAUAAAAUACCAAUUAUGCAAGGAAUUGUAAAACUCCCUGGAGCUUGCAAUUUUUUAGGUAGCUUAUUCUUUAGAAUAGCUGAGUAGACUGCAUUGAGUUCCACAUACGAUGUAGUGCCUAAUUUCCUUUUAUUGCUCAGAAGUUCCUUUAAGAAUUUUGCUAAGUUGGGCAUCUGUGAAAGAACUUCAAUAAAGGGUAAGUUAAUAUGUAAUUUUUUUAAGAGUUUGACAAACUUACUGAAUUGUUCUUCUGUUCUGUCUUUCGUUAUCGCUUUAGGAUAUGGGACACGAGGUUCAUGAUUCGUACUUACCUAUUUGGGAUCAUUAUUGUUUACCUCUUCUCGUCCUUUGUUCAUCGCGUUGUUUUGCUAUAUUUCUGGCUCGGGUAUAAUGAGUCCGUCCUUAUUUUGAGUGCUAAUUGCAUUGAGGUGUUCCUUCGGAUUAGGUUCAGUAUUACUUGGUAGGCUACCUUAUGGUCUUUCGGAGAUUAGUUUGGACAGCUGGCCUAUUUGAGUUUCGAGUCCUUGGAUCGAUGCUUGUUGAUUUUUAACUGCAGUCUCGGUAUUUUGAAAACGGGUUUCUGACACCGAGAUGAAUUUAGAGAGCAUCUCUUCAAGGUUCGUCUUCUUCUCUUGGUGAUAAGGUGGCUGAACCCUGAGGAUUUGUGGCUUUUGAUUCCCUUGACCUCCCCAGGAAAAAUUUGGGUGGUUCCUCCAACCUGCAUUAUAGGUAUUACUGUAUGGGUUAUUUUGAGAUCUAAAUUUAUUAUUACCCAUAUAGUUGACUUGUUCUUCUUUAGUUGUAGGAUUGAAGGAUUGGUAUUCUGUAUGCACACCUCCUCCGCUUGAGUCACACCUCAUUACUAGAUGUACCUGCGUAGAACCAAGAAAACUAUCAAUCUUUUAUUGAGAAGUUCCACUGAUUAGAGAGCAUGGUGACUGAAUCGAUGUUAUAAACGUCGACUGUUUUUGUUGGCUUAGUUCUCAUGACUUGACACUAAUAGUUGCUCAGUGACAUCUCCUCUAUAAAUUCGUAGGCAUCUUCCGGUGUUUUAUUGUUGAUAGUCCCGCCAGCAACAGCGUCAAUCAUUUGUCUUGUCGAGGGAUUCACACCAUUGUAGAACGUUUGAACUUGCAACCAUAGAGGUAAACCAUGGUGGGGGCACCUUCUCAAUAGAUCCUUGUAUCUCUCCCAUACAUUGUAAAGUGUUUCUAAGUCCAUCUGCACAAAAGAAGAGAUAUCAUUGCAUAAUUUAGCCGUUUUAGCCGGCGAAAAAUAUUUUAGUAAAAAUUUCUCGAUCAUUUGCUCCUAAGUAGUGAUAGACUCUCAUGGUAACGAGUUUAACCACUGUUUAGCUUUGUUUCUCACUGAGAAGGGAAAUAACAGAAGACGGAUGGCAUCAUCAGAAACGCCAUUGAUUUUGAAUGUAUCGUAAAAUUCCAGGAAAUUUGCUAAGUGAGUGUUGGGAUCUUCAUCCUGCAAACCAUCAGACUGAACAAACUGCUGUAUCAUCUGAAUAGUGUUAGGUUUUAAUUUAAAAUUAUUCGCAGCAAUAGCAGGUCUAACUAUACUUGAUUCAGUUUCUGUUAAAGAGGGUUUAACAUAGUCAUACAUAAUACGUGGAGCAGGAUUUUGAUUAGCUGCAAUUGUAAGAGGUAGCUGAUUGUCUUGGUUUUUAGCCAUCUCGUUGUUUGGAGGUUGAGUAUUGUCUUCUUGUUCGUUUUCUGUGUAUCGUAAACUACGCCUUAUUUCUCUUUGAUUUCUACGAACUAUUCGAUCGAUUUCUUCGUCAAAAAGUAAGGGUCUUGACGGGUUUCUUCUAGUCAUAAACUAUAAAAACCUGCCAAGAGAAAGAAAAAGUAAAUUAAUAAAUACUAAAAUUAAAAUAAAUUAAAUUAAAUUGCAAGAAAAAUAAAUGGCUAAAGUAAUAAAAAUUUAGUGUUCCUAAUAUUUCAGUUCCCCGGUAACGGCACCAAAAACUUGAUCCCAGUGGUUCGUAACAAGUAAUAAAUAUUUAUAAUGAAGAUCAAACCUAGACUAACUAUUAUCACGAUGAAAAGGCAAGCGUACCUAUCGAACAAUAGUAUAGUAAUGGCAAGACCGGGAUAUCGUACCCAAGGGAACCAAUAGUACUAGUAAUAACUAUAUUUUUAUUAUCUAGCCUAGGAAUAAAAGGGUUUGUUUUAAUUAACUAAUUAUUUAAACUAAGAAUGCAUAGAGAAAAUAAUUGGGGAAUUGCUUUUGGCAAAAUCGAUUGACUUGAGACAAUACCUAAGGAAAAAUCCACUUAGACUUUACUUGUUAUUCUAGCUCCGAAUCAGAUGAUUUAUUCAUUCAACUUGCUCCGUAGAGAUCCCUAAGUUAUGUUAUUAUCCCUAUUCAAGACUAAUAACAUCUAAUCCCUAGAUUGAAUACCGAGACUUUUCUCUAAUUAACGCUCUAGGGUUGAAUUAACUCGAUCUAUGGAUCCUCUUAUUAGGUUCCACCCUAAUCCGGCAAAAUCUUGUCACCCUAUUUCUAGGCGCUCAAUCAACUCCGCUUAAUUAUGGAAAAUGUACUCUUAGACAGGGUCUAUUCCUCCUCUGAAUAAGAGCGUGUCUUGAAUCAAUAUCCUGGGAUAUCAAAACAAGAAUUAAGAACACAUAAUUAAGAACAAGUUAAAUAUUUAUCAUACGAUUCAAAAAAUAAUAACAAAAUUCGUCUUAGGUUUCAUUCCCCUUAGGUAUUUAGGGGAUUUAGUUCAUAACUAAAUAAGAAAACAUCUCAGAAGAAAAAAGAAUACAACACAUAAAGAAAACCCAAAACUUCUGAAGGGAAAUUGAGAAGAGAUCUUCAGUCUUGAUGAUGAAUCCGACUUCUAAGAUGGAUCAAUCGGCUUCCUUCGGGUAAUUCCUUACCCUUCUUCUUUGUCUCCCCUUUUCUCCUCCUCUCGUGCAUAUUUAUAGGCUUUGGAAUGCCUCAAAACCCUCCAAAGUGGCCUUUUUCGAAUUGGACUUAACUUGGGCUCAGCAGGGACACGCCCGUGUGACACGACCGUGUGACGUGAUUUACCUUUUUCGAUCCGUUAAAUUGCACACGAUCGUGUGAAUCAUGAAAGCCUUGGUCGACACCCUCGAAAGACACGGGCGUGUGAGCUACCCGUGUGGUAAGGCUUAAGCCGUGUCAUUUUCUCAAUUUGGUCCAUUUUUUCCCUUUUUGGCUCGUUUUUGGUUCCUUUUGGCUCUUGCUGCUCUCCUGAGUACAAAACAUGAAAUUAAAGCAUUAGGAGCAUCGAAUUCACCAAUUCUAAUGAGAAAUCAUCUAUAAAAUGCAUUAAACAUGGGGUAAAAAUAUGUAUAAUUUACGGUUUAUCAAAAUUCAUCUCGCAGUCCUCUUAGAAAUCGCUUGCAUCUGUCAGCUUCAGUCAGUACAAAUUCAAUGGCAUAUCUGCUCAGUCUCAGAAAUUCCCAUUCAUAAUCUACUACGGACAUAUCUAUCUAUUUCAACAUCAAAAACUCUUGUUUUCGGUCUUCCAUAUAUGUCUCUCCCAAAUACUUUUUCUGAAAUUCUCGUUGAAAGAAUUCCCAGUUUACCUGUUCUUCUGGUAUAUUCUGAAUCACUAAUUCCCACCAUAUAUAAGCCUCCUCUUGUAACAGAGAAACAAAACAUACCAAACUUUCCUGAGGCAUGUAUUCUAAUUGCUUCAAAAUUCUCUUGGUAGUCUCUAACCAAUUUUCAGCUGUUACUGAAUCAGUUCCCUUUGAUCCCAACAGUUUUGUAGCUCUAUACUUUCGCAGUUCUUUAAUAGAGGCUCUUCAGGUAGUAGGGGUAGAAGUAGUAGCAGGCAUACUUUCUACCGCUCUUUGAAGAGCUUCGGCAAUCAUUCUAAAUACUUCUGUAUUAUCCCUUCCAGUAUUCGGUGGUUGGUUACCUACUGUACAUUUCUUGAUCGAUACCCUCGAUACUUUAAUUUAUUCACUAUAAAACAGAGUUAAUUUAUCAGUAUAUAAAUCAGCAUCCAAUCCCGACUCAAAGUUAACAUAAUAAUGACAUGUACCUCUAGACUCUAUUUUAUGCUCGACUUAAUCCUAGAAUUGGCUAAACCCAAUUAGCUCUGAUACCACUAAAUGUAACACCCCCUAACCCCAUGCCGUCACUGGAAUAGGGCUAUAAGAUAUUACCGGACUUAAACACUAACAUUUAUAUAAAACCUAGUCAUACACUUUACAUUCUGGAUCAAUAUUCAUCAAAUUUCAACAUAAAGUCCCUAUUAUGAGCCUACGAGGCCUAAUAUAUGUCUUAGAAGUGAUUUGGGACUAAACUGUAACUUUAGAAAAAAAUUUCUUGGAGAUAGGGGCACACGCCCGUGUGGCUUGGGACAAGCCCGUGUGGCCUGGAACAUGCCCGUGUGCUGCAGCCACGUGGUACAUGGCUAGCUACUGACUUAAGCCCACGGCCAAAUGACACGCCCGUGUGUCAAGGCUGUGAAAUAUUUAGGAGGUUACUGAGUUUCUCACACGGCCAUAAGGCACGCCCGUGUCCCCUGACCGUGUGGCACCAUAUAGGCUUGAUUUAAGCCAAUUUACCACCCCUUUUUCAUUUCGAUUAAGGAAAUUUUCACAUGCCAAAUAUAUCUAUUUCAUGCCCAAAUAUUUACUAAUAGUACCUAAAUAAAAUAUCAUUCAUUAUACCAUUCAAACUUAGCAAAUAUUCAUUCUUACAUUCAUUACCUCUUAAGAAUAUUUUACCACAAUUCAUAUCAAAAUUAUACAACAUUAUCAUACUAGUCAAACUCAUAUAAGUUUAACUUUCAAAAUAUGCAUAUUUCAUACCAUACUUCAACAACUUUCAUGUUUAUACACUAUCAUAUACAUAAGAACACCUUAACAACUUAGGAACAUGCCAUUUUACCAAAAGAAAAGUAUUCACCACUUUGAGUCCAGAAUUGGCUUGGAUGCUGAGUUAUUAACUUUCUUUCGUGCCUAAACUUGCGCACGGAAACAUACCGUACGCUGAGUAUACACUCAGUGGUAUUUCUAUAAACUAAUACUUAAAACAAUAAUAUGCUAUGUAUAUAAAUUGUAGCAUAACUUUUAUUUCAUAAUCUUAUUAACUUCACCACUUACCUUUAACUUAUAGCUCUUAAAUGUAUUUAAAACAAUUCUUUUUAUUCUUUUCAUAUAAUUCAAUAUCUUUCAAUACUUGUAUAACAGUCACAGUCACAUAAUCAAUAGUAGUCAGUCUUUGUCUUUAGUACUUUCAAUUACGCAUAUUAACAUAACUCAGACCUGAACGGAUACACGGAUCCAACCCACAAACCGAGGAUAAUGUAUAGUGCUUCAUCGGUCGAAACCAGAAUACACCGUAGGGUAACAGUAACAGUAGCAGUAACAGUCAUAGUCAGGUACAGAGUACCUCUUCGGAACGAAUCCGAAACAGUCACAGUAGUGGACACUUAUAGUGUCUCAUCGACACACAGUCGGAAUAUCCUUGAACACUUCCAAUCCUAUGGCACGCCAAUUAUAUCCGACUAGCCCGACACUGUUAAUAGGGUAUUCAAAUCAUAUCAUUAUAAUAUAGAAACAGUAACAUUUUCCAUCAUAUCAUUCAUUAUACAUUCUAACAGUAAAAUUUCUAAUUUAAUCCCUUGAAUUUUCUAUAGUUUAUAAUUAAACUUUUACACUAUAUUCAGUCUAGCCCUUUCACUAAAUUAGCCUUGAUUAAGCUAAAUUUACUUAAUAAAAAUCUAAUUAACCUCUCACUUAACUUCGUAAAUAUUUCUAAUAAAUAUUUACGAAUCUAAUUUUACGAAAAUUAUAACCUGAAAAUUCAAUUUUCUGAUGACCUUAAAAUUUGGAUCAUUACAGAAAAGGUUUACUGCAAAUCCCAUGACAACCCCCGAAUAUGAUUGGUGGUAGGGCAAAAGAGUCAAUGACAAUGUCCCUUUGUCAAAUCAAGAAAAAACUCGGCUGAUAGAAGAACACUUACAAGUAAUCCCGUCUGAUUUGGAAAUCAUAAAACAAUACUUUGAAAAGAGGAGUUUCGAGUUGAAAAAAAUAGAACAACUAGAAGAGGAAAAGAUGCAGCUAGGAUUAGACGUCGACGUCCAGAAGUUAGAAGCUGAGAAAAUGAGAAAAUAAAAGAACAAGGAUGAUGAAGACUUAGACAGUCUAAAAACAUAUUAUAAGAAGCUAUCCUUGUUGAUAAGGACUGUCGGGUUGGGUAAAACAUCGGAGCAAUGGCGGUAAGAGAUCAAAAAAGAAAAGAUUAGAGCUGAUAAGUGGGAAAAGAAAUUCCAAGAUGCUUGAGUUCAAGAAGAUACUCUAGAAAGGGAUUUGUUAGAAAGUCAAAAUGAAAAGGUUGGAUUAAGAGCCUGGGUAGAAGAAUUAGAAAAUUCACUGCGUUAAUAUCGUAGUCGCAACUCCGCAAUUGAGUUGAAAGCAAGUCUAAAUAAGAUUGAAGAGUUGAAAAGAAAGAUAGAAGAGCUCGAGACCGCACUGCAAAACUAUAAACUUCGAGUUGAACUUCUAAAAACAAAUAAUGAACACUGGAAAGAGCAAUUCCAACGCUCUCAAUGUCAGAUUAGAGAUAGAGAUCACAUCAUGGGCGAAGCUAUGGCUUAAAUACAGGAAGUAGCUGAUAUUUGCAAACCCUAGUGGUUCAAGCCGACAUGCUAAGCUUAAAAUACGAAUCAGAAUCAGAUUGGGGCCGAGAAUUAGCUUGGCUUCUUAAGAAAGUCAAGGCUUUGAGUAUUAGGGCAAUGCCAUGCAUGUAAAAUAUAUCCGCUUUAUGUAAAAAGAUUCAUUUUCUAGUAAAGUUAUUCUAAUAGAAUUGAAUCAGAAUCAACGCCUCUUUGUGCAUUCAUCUUUUAUUCAUCAACAUUACAUUUCAUCACAUGCAUUAAGUUUCAUAAAAAGAACCUAAUUAAUUAAAAUUAUGACAGUUACCCUGGAAGCCAACAAGAAUUUGCCAAUCGAAUAUCGUUACGGUACUCGAGGCAAAACCAGAGCAACAGAUCAAAGGUUAGAGAGAUUGAAACAAAUUCAAAAAGACAUACAAGAUCAGUUGCAAGCGCAGCUGCAGGAACAAUUAGCUAAGGUACAAUAAGGUAUGAGAGAUCAAAUACAAGAGUCUCAAUGAAGCAUGAUAAGCCAGUUGACCCAGUUGCUGGCUGGAGGGACUGAAAAAGGGAAAAAUAAUAUGAAUAACCCUUGGAAUGAUAAUGAAGACCCUAUGUACCCUCAGGCUUUACCCAGUGAAUGUCCAAGCCCAACUAGAUACAUAUCCAAGAAGGGUACCAGUUACCAUAAUACCUCAACAAUAUCAAGGCGGUAUUUCAGCACCGGUGAAUUACCCUAAGAGUUUAGGUUCCAACCCCGGGGAUAAUCUGACCAAUCUAGUUGUUCCUGAUUUGGACAAUGUGGUUGAAAUGGAUAAAGCAAGAGUUGAAUUGCCAAAAUAGUUGAAAGAUCGGUGCAAGUGGUUAGAGGAGAAAUUUAGAGCUAUACAGAAAGCUGACGAUAUUUGAGGGGUUGAUGCUAAGGAUUUGAGCUUAGUCUCAGAUCUAGUACUCCUACCAAAAUUCAAAACUCUAGAAUUUGAAAAAUAUAAUGGGACUAGUUGUCCUGAAGCCCAUAUCACAAUGUUCUGCCAGAGGAUGACGAAAUACGUCAAUAAUGACCAAUUAUUAAUCCACUGUUUCUAGGAUAGUCUGACCAGGCCAACUGCCAAGUGGUACAACCAAUUAAACCGCGCCAAAAUGAACUAUUAGAAAGACUUGGCACAGACUUUCAUAAAACAAUACAGCCAUGUGACUAACAUGACACCCGACAGAAUUACACUACAAAACAUGGAAAAGAAGCAAAGUGAAAGCUUCAGGUAGGAUGCUUGGAGAUGGAAAGAGGUGGCAGCGCAAGUCCAACCACCUCUUUUGGGGAAUGAAAUGACGAUGCUUUUCAUAAAUACUCUGAAUGCCCCGAUUAUUAACCAUAUGUUAGGAAGCUCUACCAAGAGCUUUUCAGAUAUAGUAAUGUCUGGUGAGAUGAUUGAAAAUGCAGUAAGGAGUGGGAAAAUAAAUGCAUGGAAAAACACCAAAAGAUCAUCCCCAAGGAAGAAGGAAAAUGAAGUGAACAUCGCUAAUGUGUAUAACAAGAGCUAUUCAAAACAGGUCACUGUGAGCCAACCAAAGACCGUGACAACCAGUCAUCAAGGCUCUUUAAGGCUGAAACCUAACUCAAGGUCAAACACAUAAAAGCUCCAGUUCAUACCUAUCCUGAAGACAUAUAGGGAAUUAUAUAAGAAUUUAUUCGAUACACAUGUAGUAUCCUUGUUUUACUUGAAACCCAUGCAACCUCCGUUCCUAAAAUGAUAUGAUGUGAAUGCUCAAUGCGAGUACCACAAAGGAAUAAUGGGACACUCAAUUGAGAAUUGCACUGCAUUUAAAAAGUUGAUUAAAAUGUUCAUCAAUAUGGGGAUCGUAAGGUUCGAUAAUUCAUCGGAAAUCCGUUACCCUGUCAUUCAGAUCAAGGGGUAAACAUUAUAAUUGAGAGUGGAGGAAGGAGGACCAAAACUGAUGUUGCAGAAGUAAAAACCCCACUAAAAUGGGUUUGGAAAAAAUGAUAGAUGUAGGAUUAAUCGUUCAAGAUUCAGAGAAGGUACCUAAAGGAGUGAGGACAUAUUGUAAGUUUCACGUUGAGCAAAGUCAUGAAAUCUAAGUGUGCGCUGAUUUCAAAGCUUUGGUGCAAAGUCUGAUGGAUAAUAAGGAGUUGGAAUUUUUUUAAGAUGUCAAAGGCUCUGAAAGAGGAGACAUCUGCGCCUCAGAGGAAGGAUCAAUGGAGAAGGUCCACAAGGUUAACCACCCAGUGGUGAUUAUUUCAUGACCAAGAAAUAAUGAAGCUGGAACACAAGUUGCGCCAAGAGUCAUAAUUCAGAAACCCACAGCCUUUCCCUACAAUGACAGCAAAAUGGUUCCAUGAAAUUAUGGUUGUAACAUGAUAAUCCCAAAAGAGCAUAACUUAGUUAGCACUUCAGAAGAGAGCCAGGAUAUUGAUUUCUACACGCGCAGUGGGAAGCGCUAUGACCCUGAAAAUGCAAGAACCGAGUCUAUUAAAGGAAAAACCCUGGUAGUUGAGCAAAAGAGAGAAAAGACAGCUAGGCUUGAAUCAUAUGUUAAUGAGCCAGUAACUAAGAAUGAGGCUAUGGAAUUCCUGAAAUUAUUGAAGCAUAGUGAGUAUAAUGUUGUAGAAUAGCUACACAAACAACCAGCAUGCAUAUCAGUACUAGCCUUGCUCUUGAGCUCAGAGACAUAUCGUAGCACAUUGAUAAAAGUGCUGAAUGAAACUUAUGUUGCUAAUGAUAUCUCUGUGAACAAGAUAGUCCGUUUAGUUAAUAAUACAAAUAUCGACAAUUUUAUCUUUUCAAUGAUGAUAAAAUACCUCCGGGAGGGCAUGGGAUCUACGAAGGCCCUACAUAUCACUACUCGUUGCAAAGGAUAUAUACAGCCAAAGGUGUUAAUAAAUAAUGGAUCUGCGCUGAACGUCUUGCCUCUAUCCACACUUGAACAGAUUGCUAGUGGAUAGCUCUUAUAUGAAGAUGUGCCAAAAUAUAGUGAAAGCACUCGAUGGUACGAAAAAUAGGGUAAUGGGAAGGAUUGAAAUACCUUUCUUAAUUGGCCUAAACACAUAUGAGGUAGACUUUUUGGUGAUGGAUAUCAAGCCCCCUUAUAAUUGCGUGCUGGGUAGGCGUUGGAUUCAUUCGGUUAGGGCAGUGCUGUCGUCACUACACGAAAAAUUGAAGUUCGUAACGGAGGGUCGACUAGUAAUAAUAAACGCUAAAGAAGAUAUCAUUGCAUCCGUAACUAGUGACACACCAUACAUAGGAGCGGAUGAUGAGGCAAUAGAAUGUUCCUUUCAAUCACUAGAAUUUUUUAAUGCAACUUUUAUUGUUGAAAGAAGCAAGAUCCUAGUGCUUAAAAUAUCAAAAACUACGAGGAUGGGCUUGCAGUUGACAGUUGGAAAAAGAGCUUUACCCAGGAUGGGACUCAAAAAAUACCUAUAAGGGAGAGUCAAUGCACCUAUACUGAUGGACAAAUGAGACCACUUUGGCUUAGGAUACAAGCCAAAUACGAGGCAAAAGAAAAGGGAGUUGAAGAAGAAAAAAGAAAGAAGAAAAGCUCGAUUGAGUAGGGGAGAGGUCAAAUGGGAACCGAUGACCUUCCUCCAUAUAUCUAAAAUGUUCGUGUCAGGAGAAAUUAUUUAUCCUAAACAAAGAAAGUCAAAAAAAAGAAAUUGCGGAAGGAAUGUUGAGAAACCUAAGUAUUAAUGCCAUAUCCGAAGAAGGAAUUGGGGAGAACCUAUUAGGCAUUUGUCCUUAUAUCCCCGGAAGUGUUCUGAAUAAUUGGACUGCGGAAGAGAUCCCUGUAAUUUUUAGAACUAAUUUAUAUUAACGUUUAAAACACACUAAUUACUCUAAGCCUGGAAGCAAUAAGAAUCCUUUUGUGAAAAAAGGCAUACGUCCAUUGUUUUUAUUUCAAUAAAAUGCAUCUUUGUGUCUUAUUUUGGCAAAUAUUUUUUUAUUCUUUCCAUUUCAUUCAUACUUAUACCACAUAGAUAAUUAUUUUAGAUUCAUUUUUUCUUUCGGUCUUUCUUCAUUUAUAUAACAGGUCUUCAGAUAUCAAUGAUAUGAGCGACGCUGCUAUUGAAUCAGAAUCUCCUUUUGAGCAAGAUAUGUGUCUAGAUGAACCUCAGGACUUUGAAGAUGAUCAAAAUUUUAUCCUAUCUCUUGAUUUGUUAAGGAUGGUAGAACAAGAAGAGAAAUAGAUUCUACCUUACAAAGAGUCAGUAGAAAUUGUGAGCUUAGGAGACGAAAAAGAAAAGAAAGAGGUGAAGAUCGAAGCUUGCAUCACCGCAGAGACAAAGCGAGACCUUAUUGAAUUACUCCAAGAAUUCAAAGAUGUUUUCACAUGGUCGUAUCAAGACAUGUCUGGUCUAAGGUUUGAUAUCGUGGUACACUGGCUUCCCAUAAAGGAAGAAUGCAAGCCAGUUCAACAGAAACUCCGAAGGAUGAGGCCCGACGUCCUGUUAAAAAUAAAAGAAAUGAUCAAGAAGUAAUUUGAUGCUGGUUUCCUACAAGUGGUUAAAUACUCGGAAUAGGUAGCUAAUAUAGUCCCCAUUCCUAAGAAAAUGAGAAAGUACGAAUGUGUGUAGACUACAGGGAUUUAAACAAAUCAAGCCCAAAAGAUAAUUUCCUGUUGCCUCACAUCGACACCUUAGUGCACAACACAGUAGGUUAUUCACUGUUCUCUUUUACGGAUAGCUUCUCUGGUUACAACUAGAUAAAUAUGCAUCCUAAAGACAUGGAAAAGAUAACAUUCGUAGCUAUGUGGGGAACAUUUUGCUAUAAAAUGAUGCUAUUCGGACUGAAAAUGUGAGAGUGACGUAUCAAAGGGCCAUGGUAACUCUAUUUCAUGAUAUGAUGCACAAGGAAAUUGAGGUUUAUGUUGAUGAUAUGAUUGUAAAAUUCUGAACAGAAGAAUAGCAUAUACAAGUCUUGAGGAAAUUGUUUUUUAGGUUGAAAAAAUUCCAGCUAAAGUUAUUUUCUCAACCUCAAUCCAGCAAAAUAUACCUUCGAAGUUAGGUCGAGAAAGUUGCUAGGAUUCAUAGUCAGCGAAAAGGGGAUCGAGAUUGACCCAGGUAAAGUUAAAUCUAUACAGAAGUUUCUUCAGCUGUGCACUCAAAAAGAGGUCUGAAAUUUCUUAGGAAGACUAAAUUAUAUCGCCCGGUUCAUUUCACAAUUAAUCGAGAAAUACGACCCCAUAUUCCGUCUCCUUAAGAAACACAAUCCAGGUGUAUGGGAUGAGAAAUGCCAGAAAACCUUUGACAAGGUCAAACAUUACCUGUCCAAUUCCCUAGUGCUAAUACCACCUAGCCCAGAUAAGCUAUUGAUAUUGUACUUGGCAGUAUUUGAGAAUUCUAUAAGAUGUGUGUGAUCGCGAUUUUGUGUGAUAAGUUUUAUAAAUUUAUAUUUAAUCGUUCUUGAAACUAACUAUUAUCACGAUGUAGGCAAGUGUACCUAUCAAACAGUAGUAUAGUUUUAGCAAGACCGGAUUGUCGAACCCAAAGGAACUAAAAGUACUAGUAAUGACUGUCUUUUUAUUAUCUAGCCUAAGAAUAAGGGGGUUUGUUUUAACUAACUAAUUAACUAAACUAAGAAUUCACAGAAAAUAGAAUUGGGGGAUUACUUUUGGAAAACGACUGAAUUAAGACAAUACCUAAGGAAGAAUCCACCUAGACUUCACUUGUUAUUCUGACUCCGAAUCGGAUGAUUUAUUCAUUUACCUUGUCCCGUAGAGAUCCCUAAGUUAUGUUAUUAUCCCUAUUCAAGACUAAUAACGUCUAAUCCCUUGAUUAAAUAAUUGAGACUUUUCUCUAAUUAACACCCUAGGGUUGCAUUAACUCGAUCUAUGGAUCCCCUUAUUAGGUUUCACCCUAAUCCAGCAAAAUCUUGUCACCCUAUCUCUAGGCGCGCAAUCAACUUCGCUUAAUUAUGACAAUUGUACUCUUAGAUAAGGUCUAUUCUUCCUCUGAGUAAGAGCUUAACUUGAAUCAAUAUCCUGGAAUAUUAAAACAAGAAUUAAGAACAAAUAAUUAAGAACAAGUCAAAUAUUUAUCAUACAAUUUAGAAAAUAAUAACAAGAUUCGUCUUAGGUUUUAUUCCCCUUAGGUAUUUAGGGGAUUUAGUUCAUAACUAAAAAGGAAAACAUCUCAGAAGAAUAAUUAAUACAAAACAUAAAGAAAAACCUAAAACUCUUGAAGGGAAAUUAAGGGCAGAUCUUCAGUCUUGAUGAUGAAUCCGACUUCUGAGAUGGAUCGAUCAGCUUUCUUCGAGUAAUUCCUUUCUUCCUCUCUGUGCCUCUCUUUUUCAUAUUUAUAGGCUUUAGAAAGCCUAAAAGCCCUCAAAAUUAGCCUUUUUUGAAUUGGACUCAACUUGGGCUCGGCAGGGACACGCCUGUGUGACACGCCCGUGUGCGAUUACUUCAGGCCGUGCUCGAACCUGUUAGAAUGGCACUGGCGUGUGUUCUACCCAUGUGAGUCAUACUUCGAUUCUGCCAAAUUGACACGGCCGUGUGGUCUGCCCGUGUGAGGAAGUCCAGGCCAUGUUGAUUUCGUACUUUGGCCCAUUUUCUCCGUUUUUGCCCCGUUUCUCGUUCCUUUCGCUCUCCUAUGCUCGCCUAAGUAUAAAAUAUGAAAUUAAGGCAUUAGGAGCAUCGAAUUCACCAAUUAUAAGGAAAAUCAUCCAUAAAAUGUGUUAAGUAUGGGGUAAAAAUAUGUAUAAAUUACGGUUUAUCAAAUACCCCCACACUUAAGCAUUUGCUUGUCCUCAAGCAAAAUCCUCAACUCAUAAUCAAAAUAAAUUCUUUUCAACUUAUAAUUUCUAUCGAUAAUAUCUUAAAAUAAUCCAUAAGUAAUCAUACAUUGAGAAUUCAACUGAAAGAACAUCAAAGUUUCAAACAUUCCAAGCGGAGCAUUUCAUCAUGAAAACACAGGUAUCUCCCCUUAUCUAGGUGGUUACCCUUGAUUCGAUAUCUCACGGAGUUUAACAUCCUUACUAAAGAUUCACUCAAAUCACUCGAGGUGUUUAAGAACAAUGAAUGAAGCACUCAAUAGUCAAUAAUGAAAAGUUAUUACCAUAGCCUUGCAUGAAAAUCAAAUCUCUACCACUAUAAAUUGAGAUGAUACAUCAAUCAAAAGGUCUUUAGAAGGUUGUAACGAGGCUUGGUUAGGGGCUGUGGUCUCAAGCUGAAAGAAAAGGUUAGAAUAAAGAUUGAAUUGAAAAAUUGCCUAACUAGAAAAAUGGCUAGUCAUCAAUUGCGUACAAUAGAGCUUUUUCUUAGAAUAUAGAAUUUAAUUCAUUAGCUCAGAAGAUUACUACUACUAAAAUAUAUACAUGUUUUUUUUAAGAACAAGUCAAAUUACAAAGUAGAAUAAAACAUAGCUAAACAAUUAUUCCAACUCAAAUCUCGACAAAAAUAGGGAUCAAAUUAAUUUAGGAGAUUUCAACAAUAAUGAGUUAUAGGUUAAUAUUGAGGGUAAAUCGUAGUGCCUCCCGCUACGCGUAUAGGAACCAACAUCUUGGUCUUUUUUUGAAGCUUCAGCCAGGUUCUCCUUUCCAGAGAUCGUCACAUUACAGUCGUAAUUCUAUGGAACCCUCUUGUUGUCUUUAUAGGGAAAGACUGCAUGUUUUUGGAUUAUGACUUUCGGUGGAAUUCAUGCUCUUGCUUCAUUAUUUUUGGGUCGUGAAAUAAUGACUACUGGGCAGUUGACUUUUUGGAUUUACGCUGUCAAUUCUCCUUCUGACGCGUAUAUAUUUCCCUCUUUGAGAAUUUUGACCUCUUCGUAAAAUUCCAUUUCUUUGUUGUUUAUCAUGCCUGCACUAGGGCCCUAAACUCUCCACACUCUUGGACUUCAUGCCCCGCCUCAUUGUAGAACUCAUAGUAGUUCCUCUUUUCCUCAAAUUCUUUCGAAUCCAAUACAAUCAAUCAUCUCUUGACCAUCUCCUUCCAUACACUUCUCAAUAGGGUUUUGACUUCUGCAACCUCAUAUUUGACCUUCUUGUUCCCAUAUUCGUUUAUUCCGUUUACCUCUUGAUCAGUAUGAUUAGGUAAAGGGAUUCCCGCUACAUUUGGUGUAGAUGAGUCGUCAAACUUUACGAUUCCCAUUUUUAUAAACCUUUCGACUAACUUCUUGAACGCGGUGCAAUUUUUGAUCGAAUGCCCCGUGAUUCUCAAGUGGUAUUCUCAUUGAGCGUUUGUGUCAUACCACUUAGGAAACGGGGGUUGCAGCGGCUUUAAAUAGAAAAGGGACACUACCGAUGCAUCAAAUAGGUUCUGCUACAGUUCCCUAUACGUCAUGGGUAUAAGCGUGAACUGUAGUCUUUCUAUGUUCAUCCUCAUUUUGGAUUCUUAUCUUACGGUGCUCUGAUGGUUGGUGGUUACCAUCUUUGGUUGGUUUACAGUGAGUGACUUAGAAUGACCUUUGCUGUAUGUACUCAUGUUGUUCACCUCAUUCUAUCUUUUCCUUAGGGCUAACCUCUUGGUACUAUCCCCUGCCUCUAUUUUGCCACUCCUUAUCACGUUCUCAAUCAUUUCGCCAGUAAUCACUAUAUCUGAGAAGCUUUUAGUGACGCUUCCUAACAUAUGAGUGAUGAAUAGAGCCUUUAAGGUAUUGAUGAAUAGCAUGGUAGUCUCUUUUUCUAAGAGAGGUGGCUGGACUUGUAUAGCAACCUCCCUCCACCUUUGGGCGUAUUGUCAAAAGCUUUCAUUCGAUUUCUUUUCCAUGUUCUGUAAGGUGAUCCUAUCCAGGGUCAUGUCCAUCACGUGACUAUACUGUUUCAUGAAAGCUUGAGCUAGGUCCUUUUAUGAGUUAAUCUUGGUACGGCUCAAUUGGUUGUACCAAUUGGAUGCUGCCCCAACCAGACUGUCUUGGAAGCAGUGAAUCAAUAACUAAUCAUUGUUGAUGUACCCAGUCAUUCGUCUACAAAACAUGGUAAUAUGAGCUUCGGGGCAGCUAGUCCCGUUAUACUUCAUGAACUCGGGAGUUUUGAACUUGGGGGAAGCACUAGGUCCGAGACCAAGCUCAAAUCUUUAGCAUUGAUUCCACAGUGAUAAUCAGCACUUUCUAUUGCUUUGAACUUCUCCUCUAACCAGCUACAUCGGUCUUCCAAUUGUUUCGGGAGCUCUACUCUUGUUCUUUCAGCUUCUACCAUGUCAUCCGAAUUAGGGACUACAAGAUUAACUGGGUUAUCCCCUGGAUUAGAGCCUGAGCCUGUGUGAUAGCUGAUUGGCAUCGAGGCACUGGCUUGAAAUUGUUGGGGCCUGAUUGUAACGGAUGGCCUUCGUGUGCACACCUUGGCUUAUGUCUGAGCAUUUGUUUGGGUAAAACCAGGAGGGUAAAGAGGAUCUUCAUUGUCAAUUCCAGUAUUGACCAUAGGGCCUUUUCCUUUCUCCUGUCCACCAGUCAGCAGCUGUGUUAGUUGGUUCAUCAUGUUCCUUUGUGAUUCCAGCAUUUGAUCCCUCAUAUCUUGCUGGAUUUUAGCCAAUUGCUUUUGCAAUUGUGCUUGCAUUUGUUCUUGCAUUUCCUUUUGUAUUUGUUCCAACCUUUUUAAUCUUUUUUCCAUUGUUUUAGUCUUUCUUCGUGUACCGUAAGGAUGCAUACUUGGUAGAUUUUUGUCUGUUUCCAGAUUACUGAAAUGACUUUUUUUAAUUAGGGUCUUUUUGUGAAAAUUAAUGUAUAUGAUGCGAUGAAAUGCAAAUGCAUGAAUGUAAGAAAAAGGUGUCGACUCUGAUUCAAUUCCAUUUAGAACAACUUUACUAGAAAAAAAUUCUUUACAUAGAAAUGGAUUACAGAUACGGCCUAGCCUUAAUGCUCAAAGUUUUAACUUUCCUAAGUAACCAAGCCAAUUCUCGGCCUCGGUUUGAUUCUAGUUCAUAUUUUACACUCAAUACAUCUGCUUGAAUUGCUAAAGUCUGUAGAUGGUCGGCCACCUCUCGAAUUCGGGCCACAGCCUCACCCAUAAUGUAGUAUCUAUCCCUAAUUUGACCUUGAGAUCGAUGGAGUUGCUCAUUACACCGGUCAUUACUUGCUUUGACCUUUCUUUUCAGCUUUUUAAUCUCAUCCAAGCUCGCCUUUAGCUCCAUUGCAGAGUUACGCCUACAAUGCUGAUGGAGCGAUUUUUCUAGUUCGGCUAUUUUGGCCUUUAACCUGAUCUUCUCGUUUUGGGCUUCCGACUGACUCUUUUCUAAGGCUUCUUUUCGACCCUAGGCGUCUUGAUAUUUUCUCUCCCACCGAUAAACUUUGGACUUCUCUUCUUAGAUCUCGUGUCACCAUUGUUCAGACGUUAAAAACCCAUGGUUCUCAUCGAUAGGCUCAACUUCUUGUAAUCUAUUUUCAGGCUAUCCAAAUCUUCCUCAGCUUUAUUCUUUCCUUUUCUCCAUUUCUCAGUCUCCAAUUUCUGAACAUCGACAUCUAGUCUCAGAUGCAUCUUUUCCUCUCCUAGUUGCUCUAUCAUAUUUCUGAGCUCUGAAUUCCUUCUCUCAAAGUCCUGCUUUAUGAUUUCUAACUCAGAGGGGACCACUUGUAGAUAUUCUUCCAUCGGCUGUACGCUCUAUUGAUUUGGCUCGGGAAUAUUAUCGUUGAUUCUUUUUAUAGUUAUCCGAGGUAAUAUGACACCUUGUCUACCUUCCAGAAAUGACUAUAGAACUAGGCUAGUAGCAGUUGUGCACAUCCUAUGAAUCGAUCCUCACCAUCUCUCCAGCAUGCAUUUAAGGACCUGAAUAUUUUGGCUAAAAUCGUGGGAACUGGUGUAACUCUUUUAUCUAGUCGGUCAAAUAGGAAACUAUCUCGUCUAUAUACCCCAGCGCCUUAGGGAAAACUGCUAACCCAUAGAUGCUUAAAGCCAAAACAUGCACUCUCUUCUUCAUGUCUAAGUGUGCCAAAAUCAGAUCUCGCAAACUUUUCAGGGAAUACAUUUGCUUUCUCCUUUCUGUUUGAUUCUAGCCGUAAUCCACUGCUCGCUCAUUUCGGUGAUAUUCAUCAAUUUCUUCACGAAGGUCGGAACAUUAGUGACUCUAGAAUAGGCCUUGUCAACCUGAACCCUUGGACAAUGAAUUAGGACGGUAUAUUCUUCCACUAUGGGCACCAAAUCUACACUCCCGAAGGUGAAACAACUAUAGGUCGAAUUCUAGAGUUGGGCCAAGGCUCGAAAUAGAUGCUUGUCUAUUUUGAUGUCGAGUAAGUAGGGAAAAUUACCGUAAUUGUCGUAAAAUAGCUGUUUGACUUCAUCACACCAUUGGGCCCACAUUUCCUUCAAUUCCUAAAGAUCAUUCUAUGUCACGCUGAUACGAGUGAAGUCUCAUAACUCUAACGUAUACCCCGCUAUCAAGUUAUCUCCCUUUUCCUAUUGCAUUUUCCCCGACUAUAUACGGACAGCCGCAUUAUCCUCUACUUUAUCAAGAAAUCUAUUCUCCAUGACAAGCUCUCUAUUUAGUAAUCGAACUCGAACUGACACCUUUUUUUAUGAUGAAAUGUCAUGCAACCACAAGUAAAACAACAUAAGUCAGUACAAUUCAUAUGAAAUUAAAGCAAGCAAUAAAUAAUAAGCAGAACGCCUAUUCGGACGACCAUUAAUGGUUUGGUGUGGCUCUACCUAAGGUGAGCUCCUAUAGGUCACUACAUGUGGUUCGGUUUAAAGACAAGGUACUUGAACCAAUAGAUUUUUCGAUCUUUACCCAUAUAGGCUCAUAUAGACCGAGUUUGAUUCAAGGGAAUACAUUUCCCUAUAGCUAUACGAAGAUGAAAAUCUCAUGAAGAAAUAUGUACGGAUGUAUCCCGGAAGUGAUCUACCAUCCUAUACGGAGGUGAAAACAUUGCGAAGGACUAGUUUCUCACUCCCACUUAUGGGUAAGACCGAGCGGUCAUGCAAUGCAAUAUGCAAAAAUAUUUAAAGACUCGAACCAACAAAGCAAGUAUCAUGACCAAGAUAACGAAGAUAACAGAUGGAAUGCAAUGAAAGGAUUGUAUUUUAAAUCGAAUUUUUAAUUUUCAAUGAAAAGACAUAAAUUAAUCAAUUUAUGGCUUGGCUCUCUCGUUUCCCCAAUGAAGUCGCCAAGCUAUCGACUUCUAUUUUUUCGUUUCCAUUUUUAAAAUAAAAUGUCGACCCAUUUUCAAAACGAAAAAAUGGUUUCGACAAUAGGAAGUGACUUAAUCAUUAUAUCUUCAGUCACUUUUAAAGAAUAAGCAACUAGAUUAGCCUCGGCAUACCUCUUUGGAGGUUUAAUUUCUCUUCUAGAUCUAUUUUUGGCAAUAGAAUAUUGUGGUGAAGAAGUAACUCUGGUCUGAGUUUCUGUACUAAUAUGAAGAGUGGACUCUGUUGUAGAUUCUGGAUCUAUCUGUAGCUUCACUUAUUUCACAUGUGUGCUUGGAUUUUGCUGGUUUUUAUUGGAAGAGUCUUUAAGAUAUAAGUUAGGCAGCAUAGUAGUUUCAUCAAAAAUAACAUCUCUGCUAAUCAGAACUUUUCUAUUUUCAGGACACUAUAACUUAUAUCCUUUAACACCAGCCUUAUAACCAAGAAAAACACAUUUGAUGAAUCUAAGUUCCAAUUUCCCAUUAUCAGCAUAAGCAUAUGCGGGACACCCAAAAAUUUCAAAUUAGAAUAAUUAACAAGAUUACCGGACCAUACCUCUUGUGGAGUCUUUUUCUCAAUGGAAAUGGACGGAGACCGGUUAAUAAAAAAAAUACAGUAGAGACCGCUUCAACCCAAAACGACUUCGGUAAACAAGCAUUCGACAACAUACAUCGAACCUUUUACAUGAUUGUUCUAUUUUGCUAUGGAGUAUGACGAACUGUCAAGUGUCUCACGAUUCUUUCUGAUUUACACAAUUUAUUAAACUCAUCAAAACAGGAUUCCAAGCCAUUAUCUGUGUGGAGGUGUUUUAUCUGUUUUCAUGUCUGCAUCUCGAUCAUAGUUUUCCUAUCUUUAAACAACAACAAAAAUGUACACUUUGAACCCGUAUAAGUGAUAACUCUAAAUUAUAUAGAUUUUUAAAGAACCUUUUUACUUAGAAUAUAUGUAAAUUCCGAGCAUUUUAAUAGCUGAUUAUAUAUUUUUAGUACAUAUUGAGAAUCUUGGCACAACUAAAGUAAGAUUAUAAUUUUUGAGUAAUUAGAUGUUAAUUUCACAUAAUUUUACUUUAUAUUAUUGCAUUUUGAAAAUUUCAUAAUUUGUUCUAAAAUUAUUGCAGCUUGGUAUACUGAUUUAUUUGAUGUUUGAGGCCAGUAUGGAUGACACAUGCAAAUGAGUUGAGUAUCAAUUAGCACGGGAUGACAAAGUUAAGACAUUGGACUCAAAGAAUUCAUUCUAACCCAGCUUGGAAAUGAGUUGUUGAAAAGAAUAAGUCUGCUUUUCACAUUGAAGCCCAAGCCGUCCAUUAAGGGGGAAAGAAACUCAAAUUCAACAAUGACUUGGUAGAACAACCCAAACAACUUUGGAACAACUAAUUAGGGGUCCUUACAUGUGUAAAAAAAUCACAAAUCAACUCCAGUCAAAUCCCAUAGAUGUUGUCCAACCCAUGCCUUAAAUCAAGCAAAAAUCAAGCUAGAAUCAUGACAUAAUCAACCCAUCUUUCCAUGAAAUAUGGCCAGCCUGAGAGAUUUCCAAUGGAUGUUCAUGUUAUUUUUAGCAAACUCUCAAGCCUUCCCUCAUGUAUAAACACCACUCUCGUUUACUUAACUUAUCAUUCACUCAUUCAACCCAUUCACCUCACUCUCAUUUCUCUUUCACACCUAAAGGCUUCCAUUUCCCUUCAUUUUUCUCAUUCUCUCUUUGAGAGUUCCCCUAGUAAGUAGUUCUUGGGAGAAAAGCUCUCUUUGUCGGCCAUCUUGAAGUGUAAUUUGCAUUGGAGCAAUGAUGAAAAUUGGAGGAAGCCACCACGGAUAGUUCUCAGGAGAUCACCGAAUUCAUCUUAGAGUUUCUUUUUCCUUUCUCUUUAAAUUGUUAUUAGUUUAUAAACAUGUUUGCAAAUUAUUUAAUUACUUUUUCAUUAAUGGUAAUGACUUAAAUUUUUUCAGGUAGGAUGAUUGCAAUUUCGUGAUUCAAUUUGUUCAAAUCAUGUUUAUGUUUUUUGCCUCAAUUAUUUUAUUCUUCUAAAUAAAAUCAUUUAUGUUGUUCACAUAUUAAAAUAUGUUUGACUACAUUAGAAUUAAUUGCUUAAUUUGAAUCGGAUGAUGAUUAAUGGAUACAAUAUUUGGAAGAAUAUGCUUAAAUUAUGUCCAAAGAAGAAUAAAUUAAAAGUUCAUAAUAAUUCCAAAAUAACACAAUUACCUUGCAUAACUUUAUAUUUAUGUGAUUAAAUUAUUUCAAACAGACCCUUCCCUGUUACUUCACAUAAAAUUUAAGGAAUCCUUAAUUAAAUAUUGACAUAGAAAUAUGCACAUUUUUCCAAGUGAUAAAUAUAAUAUCUCAAAAGAGCAUAUGAUUUUAGAUUCCAAGUUAAUAAAUAAUCGAGUUGCCAUGAAAAUUUUCCGGAAUAUUUGUUAAAGCAUGAUUGUGAAUAAAUUAAACCAAGAGUUGUAAUUAUUCUAACUUAUUCAUAUUAUUGUUGUUAAAUCUUGUGAAUUGUUGCUAGACAUUCAUUGCAUUUUAUUUUAUUUUAUCUCAUUUGUAUAUUAGUUGUUAAUUUAAUUAGGACAUCCAUCAUUUCCAAAUAAUUUAUUUUCUUAACCAACUUGUAAAUUAUUAAUUUUACAAUUGUUGAUUAAUAGAUACAGUCCCUAUAGAGACGAUACUUUUUUUACUCACUUAUUACUUAAUAACGAUUGUGUAUACCUACACACUAACAUAUCGCACUUACUAACCAAAGACAUACAUAGUGUUCAUGUUUUCGUAUUUUAACAUGAGCAUAACGUAGUGUUCAUGAGUUUCUUAAAUACAUGUAAAGUGAAAAUAUUUAUUAUAUAUAUGAAAUGUGAUAGUUAUAUAAUUUGAUUUUGACAUUAAGGUAUUUAUUAUUGAAUUUGUGUUAAUUAUGGCAUCUGAGUUAAUCAAAUAAUUGGAUAAUCAUGAUACAUAUGGAAUAAAAAAAUAUUACUUUUUAUUUUCUAAAUUUACAAGUCCAAGCAAAAGUCAUGGAAAACGUUUUGCUGUAUUUAUAAACGUUAAAAGCCUUUGUAAGAGGCCCAAUUUGCCCGGGCCCAACAACCAAAAACAAUCCAAAACAAAACAAAAAACAAAUAUUAGUCCAAUAAACAGUUCCAUAUAACCCAAAUACAAGCCCAAGUGGCCCAAACCCAAAACUGAUUGCCAGUAAACCCUAAACACUAAGAGCUUCAGCCGCACAGCCUCGUCAUGCCCACGUCUGCAACCUCCGUACGGCCAUUGAACCUGUGAGAAGAAAACUAAUAACCACAACGGAAUACAGCAAAUGCACAGCAACAAAGAAAUAACAGAAAAUAAAAAAAAUAAUAUUGUAACUUCGUUUUUCCUUUUUCUUCUUUGCUUUUGUUUCGACUAUUUAAGGCUGAUUGUAAACACUGUAAAGGGGAAGAAAAAUCAACAGAAAACAACCAAAGGAAUACACUUCAGAGGUGAUCUAUUAUCGCCGUUUCUAUUCUGUUUUUUUUAUUUUCAUUUGAAUCCACGAUACAAAUACUAAAAUAUAAGAGAGAGAGGAAGAGGCUCACCGAAGUCGCAUCGUGCUCGCGCCGUCGGAGGGUUCUACUCCGUUCAUCGUAAUCGGAUCUCGGGAGGGUCGAGCGCUUUCCUCUUUUGUUCUUUCGAGUCAAGAAGGCUAAGCCUUCAUUUCCCUUUUCGAAAGGGAGCUAAACACCCCCAUUUGUGGGGUUCGGGCCACCAUCUACGGCCGUGGUGCGUUGGAUAUCCGACGGAGUCGGCGCCGGCCGAAUAGGGGAGGGAUUUAAAAGAAAAAAUCCUUUAGGUUUUUCUUUUGAAACAGCAGCAAAAUGAAUUUUUGGAUGCAAAAUUAUGAUUUUAAAUGAUUAAUCAAAACGGCAGCGUUUUGGUUCAAAUUCCCCUAGACGAACAACGACGUUUUGAUGCGGUACGGGCAGACCCGAUUACUAGAUCCGGUGCCCUCAGGACCCGCGUGUUUUCUGCGGUAAAGGGCGUUUUCCGCGAUUGGUCCUUUCGCUACGCACUAGCGUUUGAUUAGGCCUGCUUCAGAUUUAUUUGUUUUUUUAAUUUUUCCCCAGAAUUUGGGCACUGUUUCGAUUUUGUCCACCCCUAAGCACCGCGUUUUGGGACUCAGGACAUUUUCAUUUGUAGUCCCUAUGUGUUUGUGCUCAUUUAAUUCAAGUCAUUGACUCUGUUUUAAUAAUUUGAUUUGUUUAAAAAUUAAUCUCUGGAUUUCGUUUUUGUUUCAAUUGAGUUUUUUUAGUUUAUGUAAUUCUUUUACUCUUUUUAAUUCAUUUAUCACUCAUUUUUUUAUGUUAAUGUGCUAUUUCAUUGAUUUUUGCAUUAGUUUAGUUUAUUAUUUGCAUAUUUUCAUGUGUAUAUUUUUUAAAAUUUGUUUUACUUUCUAAUUUGUCUAUUUUUAAAAUUAUUCUUUUAUAUUUUCUAUGUUUAAAGAUUUACACGAUAUUUAAUUUAAUGUUAUUAUACAUACUUUACUCAAUUAUUUUUACUCUAAGUAUACAUUAUUGAUUUCAUAUUAUUUUAUAUAAAUUUUUUCUUUUAAAUCUAUUUAUGUAUAUAUAUAUUUUUUCUUUUAAAUUUAUUUAUGUAUAUAAUUUGUUUCUUUUAAGGACCCUAUUUUAAAUUGCAUGUUUUAUUUAUUUUAAACCCUUUCAUAUAUUAAUAUCUUUGUAUAUACAUUAUUUAUAUUAAAUUUUCAUUUCAUAUAUAUCAUUAUUUUUAAAUCAAUAUAUUUUAUUUUAAAUUAUUUUGUAUAUUAUUUAUUUCAAAUUUCUUCUUACAUAAUAUCAAAUUUAAUAAUCAUUCAUAAAUUAUUAGUUUCAUUAUUUUUAUACAUGUAAACUAUUUCAAACCCUAGUAUGUAUUGUUCAUCCGUAAAUUUUCAUAUAUUUAAUAUUUUUUAAAUUAUUUUAUAUCACAUUGACUCCUGGUUUUCAUAUUGUUUUGUAUAUUAUGUGUUGUUUUUGGUUUUCAUAUUGUUUUAUAUAUUUUUGUUUCAUAUUGUUUAUUAGUCUUUUGUAUUAUUAUUUAAUUUUAAUCUUCUAUGUUUAAAAACUUGUUAUAUUUCAUUUUAAUCUGUUUUAGUUAGCCUUAUUUCUAGUUUUCAUUAUUUUGAUUAUUAAUGUUUGGAUGUGAGCUUAUUGUUAUUUUGUGUUUGUUAAUUUAUUUUUUUCAUUUUUACGUUUAUACUAUUUUCACUCAUUAGUAGAGUACUUUAUCCAUGUAUAUUGUUCCAUGUUUAUAGUUUCGCAUUUCAUUCAUGUGUGUCACAUUGUAAAUGAAAUUUUCAACUUAUCGAUCCAAAAUUAAUUAUUCCAUUUUAUUUCAAGUCAAACUAAUGCGUUUUGAGCCGGCUUUAUAAGACAAAGGUGAUGUUUGAUGUUUGGAAAUUUGGGAAAUCGUACCCUAACGUGCUGGGUUUCGAUUUUCCGUUUGACCAAAUAAUCAAAUAUCCCUUUAAGAUUUCGUCCAUGUUUUCUAAACUUCAAAAUAAGGCAAUGCUCUAUGUUUAGAAAUCCGAGAAAUCGUGCCCUAACGUAUUGGGUUUCAGUUUUUGUUGGACCAAACACUCAACUAUCCUUUUGGUAAUUUUCAAAUGUAUGAGCUUUUGGAAAUCAAGAAUUGAUCGUGGUUUCGGGGGUUAAAAAGAUCAUGUCCUAAUGUGCUGGAUGUGAUGUUGUAUUCCCUCAAAACAAGAGUUUUUUAACGUCUAAUUCGAGUUAUUCAAAUGUUUUAAGAGAAAUCGUAUUUCAAAAUCUUUUUAAAUCUUAGACAUAAGGAUAUUAUUUAAUCAAUUAGGUACCAAUUUUGGGCGUAACGAGGGUGCUAAUCCGUCCUCGUAUGUAACCGACUCCCGAACCUAUUUUCUCGAAUUUCGUAGGCCAAAAUUGAUAUUUUAAAAUAAAAUAUUUUAUUAAGUAAUUCAAUCACACCUAAAUAAAAAGUAUUGGUAGCGACUCCAUACUUUAUUUUAAAGUCGAUUCUCGUUUUUCAAAAAAAUAAAAAAUAGUUUCGACAGCCUUAAUAAUAGAGUUUAAUUAUUUUAAUAUAUUUUAAUGAAAGCGUUCAAAAAAGGUUGACGCCAUUGUUGACUAUUAAGAAAAAUGUCGCACUCGCUGAAGUUAUAAAGAGCAGAAUAACAUCGUGAAAAUACAGCAUCCCAAUCAUUGAAAUCAAAACAAAAAGGAAAGGAAGGGUCUAUUUUCUUCACAAAGACAAUGAGCUCCGAUUCUUCAAUAACCAAGAGGUAACCAAAUCCUAAGAUUCCAAAAAGUCAUAUUUUAGACAUUUCAAUUCCAUAAAGCAGGUGAAUUUUCGAGAAUGAUCACAAUUUAGGUCGUGCUAGGUUAACUAUAUCUAUAUUUUAAGUUUGAGUCAUUUUAUAUUUAAAUCAUUUUCAUUCAGGUCAAUUUUUAUUUGAAUCAUAUUCAAGUUCAAGUUGAAUAAAUCUGAGUUGCUGACUUUUUAAGAGUAAGUUUAAUUUAAUCGAGUCUCAAUGUAAAUUAUUUUAAUUGAAUUUUUAGAUUAGAAUCAAAUUUGAUUGAUCUAAUCCAAUCCAAUACAAAACAUUAGAAUCAAUAUUUUGUAUUUUUGUCAAAAAAGGACCUACUUGUCUUAAACAUGAUAAUGUGUUUUCAAAGUGGAAAAGUCAGAACCGAAAGUUUUGUUAAGAAUGCUCAUGUAAUCAAUCUUUUAAAAGAUAAUAUUGAAUUGGGUGAAUGUAACUACUAUGUCCUUUUAUUAUAGAGGUUAGAUCAAAUUAAUCUUUCUAUUAUUAAAUGGAUCAAAUUAGUCUAUAUACUAUUAAAAGGAAUCAAACAAUAAUAUAGGGACUAAGUUGAUCUAUUCAAUAAUAGAGGCACUAAUAUUUGAUAUGGUUCCUAUAAUUGAGGGAUCUUACAAGCACUUUUACCUAUCAAAUAGUAUCUCAACCUUGUUUCUUCUUUAUUUGGUAUAGGCCUGGAUAGCAAGGUGGCAUUGAUAACUGGUGGUGCCAGUGGCUUAGGAGAGUGUACAGCCAAACUAUUUAUCAAAAAACGAAGCCAAGGUUCUGAUCGCUGAUGUUCAAGACGAAUUGGGCCGCUCCGUUUGCCAAGAGCUUGGAAUUGAAAACAUUAGCUAUGUCCACUGCGAUGUAAACAUGCGAAUCAGACGUCGAAAAUGCCAUAAACUUGGCUGUCUCCAAGUACGGAAAGCUCGAUAUCAUGUUCAAUAAUGCAGGCAUUCCUGGUGACAAUGAAGUAAGAGUGACAAAUGUCGGUACUGAGGAUUUCAAGAGAGUGUUCGAUGUCAAUGUAUUGGGUUUCUUGGGUGCCAAGUAUGCUGCCAGGGUCAUGGUUCCGGUUAAGAAAGGUUGCAUACUCUUCACAGCAAGUCUUGCUUCAAAAAUCUCCUUCGGUCUCCCCCAUACAUACAAGGCAUCAAAGCAUGCCGUAGCAGGGUUAACGAAGAGCUUGAGCGUGGAGUUAGGUGAGCAUGGAAUUAGAGUUAACUGCAUUUCGCCUAAUGGAAUUGUGACCCCAAUGUUACAAAAAGCAAUUGGGAAUGUCGAUAAGAAGAAAGGAGAGGAGAUGAUUGCGGUUUCAGCCGUGUUGAAAGGCACCGUAUUGGAGCCUGAAGAUUUUUGCGCAUGCAGCACUCUAUUUGGCAAGUGAUGAGGCUAAAUUUAUCAGUGGUGUUAACUUAGCAGUUGAUGAAGCAUAUAGUGUUAGCAAUCAAUCAUGGAAGAUAGGAUUCGCAGCACUUUCUGAAUAAACCAACAAGUCCUCAGCUUUACUCUUUGAAUGUUUUCUUAAAUUCCACUUUUAAUAAAUUGUAUGGUCAGAUUUGAUUAAUACUAUUUGUUUUGUUGUUCAAAUGAGCAAAUUAAGUUCAUCUUCUAAUGCAGGCACUAUUUGCUAACAACUUUGGUUUAAUACCACCAUAACCAGAUCCACACACUACAUCAUUGAGAGGAAACGCUUGUCUUACAUAAUUUAUACAGGUAAAGGAUUUUAUAACACAAGGAAGUAAGAAGGAACUCACUAGAAAGUCUAAUACAAUAAUCUACUCAGCAUAUCAUUUGCCCUUGCUGCUUGGACCUUCAUUAGCUUCUUGAGCUAAAAAGAGAGGCAAUUAUAUCUAUCGGGUCAUUAAACUACUGAAAAUUAAUAUGCAUGCAUGAACGGUUGCAUGCAACCCACAUCAGGAAGUUUCCUUCCUAACAAACAGUUUCUAAAACCUAUGCAUGCGUUACUUUAAAUACAUAAAUUCCUCUGAUAAUAAUCUAAGGGUUUACCAAAAAUUAACAGUAAAUUGGUACUAACAAUGACGUCAGCUAGAUACUGGAACUCCUCGUUAACGGUUCCAAAUUAGAAAUUUCUAAAGGUUUAGCAAAAAAAUGCAAGGAAGAAGAAAAAGCAUAAGCAAAAAACGGAAAAAAAACAUGCUAACUAAAUAUCCUUAUAUAACAAACAUCCAAGAAAAUUGUCGGAAACAUUUGUUAAAGCAUGAUUGUGAAUGAUUAAACCAAGAAUUGUAAAGCAUGAUUGUGAACGAAUUAAAUCAAGAGUUGUAAUUGUUCUAGCUUAUUCAUAUUAUUGUUGUUAAAUCUUGUGAAUUGGUUCUAAACAUUCAUUUACAUUUUAUUUAUCUUUUUGCAUAUUAGUUGUUAAUAUAAUUAGGACAUCCAUUAUAGAUACAAAUUCAUGUGAAGACUCCCGUUUACCAACCAAGACAUACAUAGUGUUCAUGAGUUUUCUUUUAUUUUUUUAGAAUCACAAUAACAUGAUAAGAUUCAAACAAUCAACAUGACUAGUGGAACUCGAACCCAGUUACACUUGAGGUGGUGAACACCCUUGACCAUUGGAUCAUUACAUAGGGUUCAAUGUUAUGAGUUUCUUAAAUACAUGUAAAAUGAAAAUAUUUAUUUUUAUAUACGAAUUUUCAUAGGUAUAUAUUUGAUUUGAUAUUCCAGGCAAAAGUCAUGGGAAAUGUGUUGCCGUAUUUAUAGACGUGAAAGCCUUAAAAAUGGAAGAGUUCCGAUUUUUUGGAUGCAAGAUUAUUGGGACAUUAAAUAUAAUAUUCUUAAAGAUAUAUUAGAAAGUAAUGGUAGUGUUCAAUAAGGUCGACACCAUUGUUGAAUUUUAAGAACAAUGUCACACCCUGAAAUUAUAAAGAGAAAACGCAGCAUCCCAAUCAUUAAAUGAAAAGAAAAAGGAAAGGGGAGGGAAGGGUCUAUUUCGUCACGAGGUACAAUGAGCUCCGAUUCUUCCAUAACCAAGAGGUAGCUUAAAUCCUAAGAUUCCAAAAGGUCAUGUUAGAUAUUUCAAUUCAUAAAGCAGGUAAAUUUGGGAUGUUUGUCAUAGAAUCAUCACAAUUUAGGUCGUAUUAAGUUAACUAUCCCUUAUAUUUUUAGGUUGGAGUAAUUUCAUUAUUUAAAAUAAUUUUUAUUCAAAUUAAUUUUUAUUCAAGUUACAUUCAAGUUCAAAUUGAAUAGAUCUGAGUUGUUAACUUUUUAAAAAACAAGUUUGAUUUGAUCGAGUUUAAAUUUUGAUUAUUCGAAUCGAAUUUUUACAUUAGGAUCAAAUUUGACAGACCUAAUUGAAUUCAAUACAAAGCAUUAUUGUUUUUUGUCAAAAAGAACCUACUUGUCUUAAACAUGAUAGUCUUGAGAAUAGGCUUACCAAUGUGUUUUCAAAAUGAAAAAGUCUAACAAAAAGUUGUUAAGUAUGUUCAUGUAAUCAUCUUUUAAAAGAUGAUAUUGAAUUUGGUGAAUGUACUACGCCUUCUAUUAUAGAGGUUAGAUCAGAUUAAUCCUUCUAUUGUUAAAUGGAUCAAAUUAGUCUAUAUACUAUUACAAGGAAUCAAACAAUAAUAUAGGGACUAAGUUGAUCUAUUCAAUAAGUGGUACUAUUUUGAUAUGGUUUCUAUAAUUGAGGGACCUUACAAGCACUUUUACUUAUCAAAUAGUAUCUAAACCUUGUAUCUUCUUUAUUUGGUACAAGCUGGAUGGCAAGGUGGCAUUGAUAACUAGUGGUGCCUGUGGCUUAGGAGAGUAUACAUCCAAACUAUUGUCAAAACGGAGCCAAGGUUCCGAUUGCUGAUGUUGAGUAUGACUCAUAUUUCAAUCAAAUUUCAAAAAAUAAUUUCAGUUAAACUCUAUUAUUUGUUUCAAUCAAACUUUGAUUAGUCUAGUAUUUUAUUAUUAUUUGACCUAUGAAUUUAGCCUAUAAAUAAACUCUUUUACAACAUUAGAAAACACACCCAUUAGAGAUUAGAAUUUAUAACAUUUUUGAGAAUUUUUGUGUUUACGUUUUGAGGGUUCUUUGUUUUCGGGUGAUGGUCACUAAACUAACUAUAAAUACGAUUAAGGCAAGUGCACACAUCGAACAAUAGUAUAGUUAUGGUGAGUAGGGAAUAUCGUAUCCACGAGGACUAAAAGUACUAGUAAUUACCGUUUUCUAUUAUUUAGCCAAAAUUAGAGUGAUUGUUUUUAAUCUAAAUUUACUAAUCUAAUUUAUCUAAUAACUCAACAGAGAAUGAAAUAGGAAAAUAAUCAAAGAUAACAAAUGAGAUAGACAAUACUGAAGAAAGAAUCCACCUAGACUUCACCUAUUAUUAUGAAUCUGAAUUAAAUGAUUUAUUCACUUGUAUUUUGAUUCGUAGAAAUCUCUAUAUUAUGUUAAUAUCUCUUUCGAGAGUAAGAACAACUGACUUUAGGUUGAUUAAUUGAAAUCUCUUUCUAAUUAAACCUCAUCGUCACAUUAACUCGAUCUACAGAUUCCCUUAUUAUAUUUGAAUCAAUCCGGUAGAUUUUUCGUCCUAUUUCUAGGAUUGCAUGCAACUCCACUCAAUUAUGCUAGAUCUACUGUUAAACAGGCCUUUUGCUCCACUAAAAUAAGCACAUUAAACAUGAAUUAAUAUCCAAAAAUAUUAAAACACGAAAUAAACAUACAUAAUUGAGAAUAAGAAUCAAGUAUUUAUUGCGUAAAAACAGAAAUUAAUAAUAAGAUUCAUCAUAGGUUUCAUCCUCCCUAGGUAUCUAGGGAAUUUAGUUAAUCUUGAAUGAAAUAUCUCAAAGUCAGAAUAACCACAAGACAUAAAAAAACUCAAUAAUACUUCGAAAGAAAUUAAUGGAGAUCUUCGAUCUUGAGGGAGAUCCGCUUCUGAGUUGAUUUCGAUGGUGUUUUUCGAGUCUUUUCUUAAAUCUUCUCUGAGUGCCCCCUUAGAUCUUCUUCUAAUUGGUAUUUAUAGACUUUAGAAUGCUUAGAAAGCCUAAAAAUUGGGUUUUUCCGCGUAUUUGGGAAGCAGGGUACGAUAUCAACACAAGCUGGCACAUAGGCGUGUGGCCAACCCAUAUGGAAAUGCCCAGACCAUAUGGAUCCUAAAAAUAGCUCUAUUUGUCUGAUUUUGGCUCGUUCUUCACUACUUUACUCCCAAAGGCUCUAAGUAUAGAAACAUGAAUUUAAAGAAUUAGAAGCAUUAAAUUCACUAAUUUACAUAAUUAAUCAUCCCACAAUGCAUUAAGAAUAAGAUUAAAAUAUGUUACUUUUUAUAGCUUAUCAUUGGGUUUUCAGGGUUUAGUUUUUUAAUUAUCUCCAUAUUUUGUACUCUUCGUUCUGUUGCCAUUAUAGUAAAAUCAUCUUUGCCCUUGUUUUUUUUAUCUUCUUUGGAUGGGUUUUUCCACGUUAAAUUUUUGUGUUAAAUUUCUCAAUUUCUUUCGUUUUUUUUUUACUUGUUCGUUGCUUAAUCGGGUCAAUCCCCAAUAAGUGAUAUCAGAGCUAGUUUAAUUUUUGUAGAUCAGCCUAUUCAGAAAUGACAACAACAAGGUUUGAAAUUGAGAAGUUCGAUGGUGUUACAAAUUUCAAUCGACAACAAGUUCGGAUGAUUACAAUUCUAGUUUAAACUGACAUGAAAAAGGUUGUUACCGGGAAAAAAACUGAGAAUCUAAAUCAAACAAAAUGGGAAGAUCUUGAUGAAAAGGAAUUACCUAAAAUCCAAUUGUGCCUCACGAAUAUGGUAUUGCAGAAGGUAUUGAUAGAGAAGACAUCAUUCACCUUGUGGAAAAUGUUAGAAACUCUUUAUGCGACUAAGUCUCUGGCUACCCAUUUAGUGUUUAAACAAGUCUAUUUACGUUUCGCAUGUACGAAAGUUAGUUUCUUAGAGAUCACAUCAGUCAAUUCAUUACUCUUUUAAAUGAUUUAUAAUGUUGAGUUUCAGAUUGAUGAUGAAGAUCAGGCUAUGCUAUUAUUGUGCUCUUUACCUCAUUCAUACAGUCUUUCUGGGAGACCCUAAUUUAUGAUAGAGACAAACUCUCGUUCGAAUAUCUGAAUGGUCAUUUGUUGAGUAGAGACANNNNNNNNNNNNNNNNNNNNNNNNNNNNNNNNNNNNNNNNNNNNNNNNNNNNNNNNNNNNNNNNNNNNNNNNNNNNNNNNNNNNNNNNNNNNNNNNNNNNNNNNNNNNNNNNNNNNNNNNNNNNNNNNNNNNNNNNNNNNNNNNNNNNNNNNNNNNNNNNNNNNNNNNNNNNNNNNNNNNNNNNNNNNNNNNNNNNNNNNNNNNNNNNNNNNNNNNNNNNNNNNNNNNNNNNNNNNNNNNNNNNNNNNNNNNNNNNNNNNNNNNNNNNNNNNNNNNNNNNNNNNNNNNNNNNNNNNNNNNNNNNNNNNNNNNNNNNNNNNNNNNNNNNNNNNNNNNNNNNNNNNNNNNNNNNNNNNNNNNNNNNNNNNNNNNNNNNNNNNNNNNNNNNNNNNNNNNNNNNNNNNNNNNNNNNNNNNNNNNNNNNNNNNNNNNNNNNNNNNNNNNNNNNNNNNNNNNNNNNNNNNNNNNNNNNNNNNNNNNNNNNNNNNNNNNNNNNNNNNUUUUUUAAGAAUUAUAUAUAUUACUAAAAAAUACAUAUAUAUAUCGCCUUAUUUCAAAGUAUAUAUAUACACGUUUCCCUACCGCACAACAAUAUAACUAAAUACAGUUAUCUAGGACCAUAUACAUAUAUAUUCAAGACAUGAAACUUAUAUAUAUGCAACCCACAUGAAAGUAAGCCAACUCGAUCCACCAAUAAGCAUAGAUUAACUCUUAGUGUUUGCAUGAAAUCUCGUAUCACUCAUACACAAUAAAAAUCUUCAAGCUCUUGCAUGAAAAUCCAGUUUCAUGACAUAACUUCACGUAACAUAAGUCAUUAUAUUCUAUCAUGCUUCAAUGUUUUUCAUGUGGAAAACACAUUACUUUUCUGUUUCAGGAAGAAUGCCCAAACUUUGCUGGAAAACUCAUCAAUGAUCAUCAACAUAUAAUUAGCGCCACCCUUCGAAGGCACUUUAGAUGGUCCCAAAAGAUCAGAAUGAAUAUAAUACAGUGUUCUCUUAGUGUUAUGGAUUUCUCUCUGGUGAAUCAAACUCUCUUUUGCUUCCCAAAAACGCGGUGCUCACCGAACUCAAUUUGCUACUGCCUGUUCAUCAAGAAGUUCUCUUUUGGUCAAUUUUGUCAUGUCGUUCUCACUCAUAUACCCUAGAGGCAUAUGUCAAAGUCAAGUAACAUCAUCAUCUGACAAGUAAAAGAGGAAGCGACAAUUACAUCACCAAUAACAGUUGAACAUUGCAAAACAUAUAACUUGACAAUCUUUCUGUGCCCUUAUCACAACGAGGGAGCCCUUGCUAAUCUUCAAAGCCCCAUUUUCAGUUGUGUACUUGUGCCCUUUAAUCAAGAGUACUUAACAAAAUCAAAUUCCUCUUCAAUUCUUGUACAUGUUGUACACCACUAAGUGUUUGGACGACUCUAUCGAACAUAUUAAUUUUGAUCGUGCCAUACUUGCGAUUUUACAUGAAGUAUUAUUUCUUAUCAAAACUAUAAUAGGUCAUUUUUGCCCGGGCCCAAACCAAACCAAGUAAAAAUAAAAUAAGGCUCCGUUUGUUUGCCAGUAAAAUGUUUUCCGGAAAAUAAUUUCUAGAAAAUGAUUUACUUUUCUGAAAUGAUUUACUUUUCCAAUGUUUGGAUGAAUCUGUGUAAAAUAUUUUCUGUUGUUUGGCAGGUUUCUUGAAAAUAUUUUCCGGAAAAGCUUGUUUUUUACAUAUAUUAAUAAAUUUAUAUAUAUUAAUAAAUUUAUAUUUUAAAUUAUUUUUACAUAUAUUGCAAUAAUUUAUUUAUAAAUAAAUAAAUCAAAUUUAAUAUAUAAUAAUACUCAAUUAUUAAGCUAGAAUAUUAACCCUCAUAAAUUGAAAACAACCAAAGUCUAUUCACACUUUUUCAGAUAAACGUCAAACACAAAUACUUUAAAGAAGAAAAAGAGAAACCCCUGUAACAUAGGUUUUCCUUGUAUACAUAAUGGAAGUUUAUUAGCUUAAUAUUGAUGACCACAAAAACUUUAUUGUUCAUCAAUUUAAUUUAACAGAGAAAUUAUUUUUUCUCAGACAAAUGUAUAAUUUGAAGACUUUGAGGAAGACAUUGGAGACUCUUGAUUGUAAUAUCAGCUUUCUCUUUUGCCAACUGUUGUGCCUUGGACAUAUCCCAUAUCCCAUAUGUAUGAUCCUCUAGCCUGUGUAUCCAUUGUGUUGGUGAAUUUGAAGAUGCCUUGGGCAUAUCCCAUAUGUGAACAAGACUAUCAUGCCUCCACUGGCCAGUUGUUGUCCAGAAGCUGACCAUUUCAGCCCACAAACUUUUUGCCGAUAUCCUCUGUAGGUUUUAACAACAUGGGAUCUAAUCCUUACAUUAUUGUUAACUAUCAUACCAUCCAUUCCUCCAGUUGUAAGAAAGUGACUAUUCCAUGCCAUUGAACCCACUAUUGAUCAGUGACAACCUCUCAGAGUGUGCAACUGCAAGCAUUAGAAAAUAAAGGAUUGAGUCGGAAUAAAUGACAGAACUGGGAAACAAAAAGAAAUUGCUAAUAUUUAGAGCUUAUACAAACCUGCCUAUUUGAAGCAAAAUCCCAUAACUGUACUUCAGAAUUGUUCAAGCCAAUGGAAGAAUUCAACAGGUGUUGGUGGCUUGUUCUUGAAAGCCAAGAUUCAAGUCCUAUUCAUGUUCAAGACCUCGGCUAGCUGCAUCCUAUAGGCCUCCCUGGCUGGUGAGAAAACUGUCUGGUUCUCUUUGAUCUUCCUCCCUUCAGUCAGCAUGUAAUGUGCAUAAUCAUAGUCCAUUGCUGAACGAUUUGGCAUGAAUCUAUCGAGCUGCCAGUACAAAGAAAACAUCCAAUUUGAAUGUCAUUACAAAGUGUAAUUUAUCAAGAUAUAAUUUUAAGCAAACCAGUUUCCUAAAAUAAAAUUUUAAGACCAAGGUUUCAUUACUAUUUACGUAUAUUCCAUUGUGAAAUUGGAAAACCAUAUAAAUAAAGGACAAGAAAGCAUUCAUGUGAAUGUCAUCACAAAAUCUAAUUUAUCAUGCUGUAAAAUUGAAGUCUUAUUUGACAUACAUAAUAAUCCUGCUCAAUUGUCCAUGAAAUGCCAACCCCAUACCUAAAAUGCUAUAACAACUAUUUUUACUUCACAUCAUGUAGUGAUCACUACCAUCAAAACAUUGAAAAUGGUCUAUAAAAACACUAACAGAAAAAGUAAAAAGAUGAACUCUCACCAGAGAAUCAGAGGCAUCUUUCUUGACUUUGCAACUUGAAUUUCCGGUUUCAAGAUUUUCUACAUUUUUAUUGGAAUCUUCUCCUUGCAAAGUGUUCUGCACUUAACACCAUUAGGAUACAGUUCCUUAUUUGACUAUACAUCCAAUUCUCCAUUACUCAUUACACAAAAUUCCUGACUAAUUAAGCAAAUAGUAAGGGAAAAAACUCGUUCACCUCACAGACCAUCAAUUCAACAUAAAUCCUUAACACUACAAACCUUACCAUUCAUAGAAGUUCAUAUAACCAAUAAUCAUCAAUGUAAAUUCUACAAAUUACUUAAUUCAAACAAUCUAUACCAUGUGUAAUAACCCAAAUUUGAUCGGGCUGAAAGUAGAAUAUAAAAAUUAAAUAAAUAAGUAUUUAUUUAUUUAAAAUGUCCAUUUAAAAAGUCCAAUUACAAGACCCUACCCAGCAGGCCCACUGUUACUACCCAACAACCCAAAUACACCCCAAAAAAAAAUAACCCAACAUCCCGUUAGCCUAAAUCAAACCCAAUAACCCCAUAGCACGUUACAGUGACCCAAUACACCAAUACAGUCAUGGCCCAAAUUCUUAGCAGGCCCAAUGAGCCCCAAACACACAUCAAACCUUAGGGUUUCUUCCUAAUUCUCUUUUUUUUCCUCGCGCCGUAAAGGAUUCUGGAAGCUUUGGGGAGUGUCUGUCUAGUUCCCCGAAUCGAGGCCAUCAAUGCAGUCAAGGCCGGGACCGUCACCGCCAUCAUCGAAGCCUUCGCCACCGCUGGAUUUCUCGCAAAUACCUGCAAAAAUAGAAAGAAAACGACAGAAACAGAACAAAUAUGGCAAGAAAUAAACCACAGAUUGUAAAGAUUCUUUCUUUUUCUUUUUCAGUGGCUAUAAAAAGCCCAAAUUGAGAGGAUGUAAAGGGAUGAUUUUGAGGUUUCUGAAAUACAUACAUAGAUGCAAUAAAAAUCUUAUUUUUACAUACGUACACAAAGUAGGAUACUACAGUUAAUUGAGAUACACAAAGGUAAAAUAUUUUACAUAUAUGUACUUAUAUACUGUAAAUAAUGAAAAGAAAAAGGUCGAACCCUUUAUUUGCGUAGAAAAAUCGGGGUUUCGGGUCUUCGGCCACCGAACGGGGAGGAGUCGGUGACGGCGCAUGGGCGCGUGAAGCCGAGGACCGAGGCUCGGCUCGACGGAGACCGGAGCCAAGCUCUCUCUCUCUCUCCUCUCAUUUCAGAGAGAAUUUUAAGGUUUUUUUUUAAAACCCAGUGUAAAAUGAUUUUUGGGCUAAAGCUUUGGUUUAUAUAGCCCCAGCGAAACGACGACGUUUUAGACCCCCAGGAUCCGCGCGUUGACCCGAUUACCCGGGGAGGAUCCGCGCAUUUUCAGAAUUGGGUUAAUUACCCGAUCAGUACUUCCACCCUUUUUUAGUUUAUAAUUACACUUUAUUUUAUUUAUGAUUUGGCCUUAUUAUUUUGUUUUAGUUUUAAUUUAAUCCCAACGGUUAUUACAUCCUGGAGACGGCGUCGUUUAGGAUUAGGGCAAACUGCCCAGUGAGUCCUUUGCCGUUUUAAUUCUCGCAAAUCAGGCCCAGAACUUAUACUAUUUUGCAAAUUAGCCUUAUAAUUCUAUUUAAAUUCAAUUUUAACCUUUGUUUUACCAUUUUUAAAUUAUUUUAUUUUAUUUUAUAUAAUCUAUUUAUAAAAAACUAUACAUAUAUUAUUAUUAAAAAAUACUACUUAUAUUUUUAUCAUAUAUUAUUUUCCUAUAUAUAUCUAUACUAUAUUUUAUCACUUAAUGUUUAAAUAUCUUUAUCUUUAUAUUAUCUUACGUUUUAAAUAUAUUAUUUUAUAUUAUUAUUAUUUUACAUUAUUAUUUAUAUAUGGUUAUUAUAUUUGUGCUUAUAUUAUAUAUUAAUAUAUAUACUAUACAUUAUUUUUAUAUACAUAUUAUAUAUAUUAUUUUAUAUUAUUAUGUCAUUUUUAUUUUUAUUUGCAUGUAUAUUUCAUCAUUAAUUACUUAUUUUAUAUUAUGCUAAAUUUAAAUUAUAAUUAUUUUAUUAUAAAUAUAAAUUCUUAUACAUUAUUUUUUUUCUAAGACGAUAUAUUUUUAAAUUCUAUCAUCAUAUAUUACAUAUUGUAUAAUUAAAUACUAUUUUAAAAUUGUUAUUAAAUAUCAUAUUUUUAUUUGUAUUAUAUGUAUAUUUUGUUAAUAAUUAUUCACUUUAUAUUAUAAUUCUUUUAUGCAUUUUUUAUAUUGCAUAUAUCAUGUGUUAAAUGUUAGUUUAUAUUUAUUAUUUGAUAUUACGUUUUAUGAACAUGUACAUAGAUAUUGUAUUACUUUUUUUUUUGUAUCUCAUGCAUUAUUGUUAAUUACUACUUUGUAUGUUCGUAUGCUUUGUUUAUUCAUUUUCAAUAUAUACUAUGUAUAUCUUUACAUGCAUGUUGUUAAGAUUUGCUAUAUAUAUUAUUCUUAUAUGUAUGUAUCUAGUAUAUGAUUUUUGUGUUAUUGCUACUGUUUCGUUUAAAUGCAUGUUUUAUUCACUUACUGUUGCAAUAUUCUGUUCCUUAAUGAUAAUGUGAUUUCUCAUACAUUAAUUAAAAACAAAAUUCCAAAGUUUUCAACAAAUAUAGAGGCAAUGCUUGGUGUUUGGAAAUUUCGAGAAAAAUAGUGCCCUAACUUAUUGGGUUGCGACUUUUCUCGUUGAGUUCGAAUAAUCAAGUACCCUUCUAAGUUUUUUAAGGUUUCAAAAUGCGAGUAAUUGUCUUGGAAUUUCAAAGCAAUAUGUCCUAACCGACUGGAUAUAACGUUUUGUUGUUUCAAGAUAGGGAUUUCCAAAAAGCUAACUUAGUGUCGAUACUUUGAUACGAGUGAGCCCAAAUUUACAAAAUUAAAAUGUUUUAAAGAGAAUUACAUCUUAAAAUUUUAAAAUUUCCAACAUUAAAGACACUUGAUAAUCAAUUAGGUACCAAUUUUUGGGCGUUACGAGGGUGCUAAUCCUUCCUCGUAUGUAACUGGCUCCCGAACCCGUUCUUUUGAUUUCGUAGACCAAAACCAACGAUUUUAAAACAAAAUGUUUUAAAUGUGAUCCAAUCACACCUAAAAAGAUUAGUGGCGACUCCUGUUUUCAUUUUUAAAGUCGAUACCCAUUUUCCAAAAAUCGAUUUAAAAAUGGUCUCGACAGCUUGGCGAGUCCGCUGGGGACUCCAUAAGAGAGUCAAGCCGUGUAAUUGAUUAUCUCUUGUCUUAAUGUCGGAAAUUAAAAAUUUUAAAAUCUAAUCCUCUUUGCAUUACAUGUGUUUGAAUUACUGCAUAUGUUUGUUAUAUUUUGGUACACAUUACAUUUACAUGAUCGUUGUGGUCACACCCUUAAGUGGGAGUGAGAAACUACGCCUUCGUGAGGUUUUCGCCUCCGUGUAGGAUAGUGGAUCACUUUCGGGAUACAUCCGUACCUAUGGUUUCGUGAGAUUUUCAUCUCCGUGUAGCCAUAGGGAAAUGUAUUCCCCUGAACUGAACUCAUUUCAAAUGAGCCUAUAAUGGGUGAGAAUCGAGGAAUCUGCUGGUUCGGGUACCUCAAACUUUAGAACCAACCUCAUAUCAAAAAAUCGUAAGAGCCCAACUUAGUUAGGUUUAAAAUUUAGACAUUACCCUUAUAAGUUAUCGUUGAGAUUUAUUGAUAUCAUGUGAUACUGGCUAUUUCUUUUCUUUUGUUUGCAUGUCAUUUUGCAUUUACAAAGGUAUCGAUUCACGAUCAGUUUCUAAGUUAGGAAGUUUUAUUAUGGAGAACCCGUAUUCUCCAUUAUGUGUUCUUAUUCUAAAAAAAAAACCCGUAUAUUUAUUAAUUCUGUUACAUAUUGUUCUAAGGAGCUUGGAUAAGUUAAAAUUGUUAUAUUGAGAAAAAGCUCACAUCAUUUGCUUUAGAUAGUUUGAAUUCUGGCACCUUCUUGUAAUUCAGCAAUGAGCUUCAUUUUUUUAAGUUUGGUUAUUUAUUUAAAUUAAUCUUGAUUCUAACCCUCUUUUUCAUCAUUUAUCCACACCUUUAACCCAAGCCCCAUUACAACCCUGCUAAAGACCUUUUGAUUUGUGUAUCAUCUCAUUUAUAGUGGUGGAGAUUUGAUUUUUAUGCAAGCUUAUGGUAAUAACUUUUCAUGUUUAACUAUUGAGUGCUUAAUUGUUAAACCUUAAACACUUUGAGUGAUUUGAGUGAACCUUUAGUGAGGAUGUCAACUCUUGUCAAAUUGGAAUUAAAGAUAACUACUUAGAUAAAGGGGGAUGCCUAUGAUUUUAGGAUUAAAAUGCUCAAUUUGGAUUGUUUGAAACUUUGAUGUUCUUAUGGUUAAGCUCUUAAUGUAUGAUUACUUAUGGAUUAUUUCGAACAUUAUUGAUGAGAAUUAUAAGUUGAGAAGGAUUUAGUUUAAUUGUGAGUUAAGGAUUUUGCUUGAGGACAAGCAAAUGCUUAAGUGUGGAGAUAUUUGAUAAACCGUAAUAGAUACAUAUUUUUAUCCUAUGCUUGACAUAUUUAUGGAUGAUUUUUUUCCUUGAUUUUAUUGAAUUCGAUACUCCUAAUCCUUUGAAUUCAUGUGUUAUACUCAGGCAAGCUUAGGAUAACAAAAAGAGCAAGAAACGAGCCAAAAAUGGACAAUUUAGGCCUAAAUCAAUGUUUCGCAUGACCUAGGCAGUUCCACAUGGGUAAUCCACACGCCCAUGUGUGACACACGGGUAGACCACACACCCGUGUGUCAUGGCCAUGUCGACAUUAAUCCAAGUCAAAAUUGCACACGGCUUGAGCAUCUGCACACGGGCGUGGCCCACGGUCGUGUCCCUGUAGAGCCCAAGUCUAGUUCUACUCGGAAAAGGCUUAUUUUGGGCUAAUUUGGGCAUUCAAAAGUCUAUAUAAAGACCCUAGAAGAGGAUGAGAGACACACACAGAGUUGGAGGUAGAAAAUACCCGCGACUAGCCAUCGGAAUCACCUCGGAGCCAGGAUCUACAUCAAGACUGAAGAUUUCCAUCCAAUUUUCUAGAAGUUCUUGGAUUUCUUUAUGUUUUGUUGUUUUCUAAACUUUGAGAUGUUUUCCAUUAUUAUUAUGAACUAAACUCCCUAAAUACCUAAGAGAGAUGAACCCUAUGAAGAAUCUUAUUAUGCUUUGAUUUAUAUGAUAGAUACUUGUUAUUAUUCUUAAUUAUGAUUUUUAAUUCUUGCUUUAAUAUUUCAGGAUAUUAAUCCAGGUUUUUGAUGUGCUUAUUCAGUGGAGAAAAAGUCUCUGUUUAAGAGUAGAUCAUUCAUAAUUAAGUAGCUUUGAAUACAAUCCUAGAGAUAGGGCGACAUAAAUCUACCGGAUUAAAGUCAAAUCUAAUAAGGGAAUCCAUAGAUCGAGUUAAUGUGACAAUAGAGGUUUUAAUUAGAAAGAGAUUUCAAUUAAUCAACCUAGAGUCAGUUGUUCUUAGUCUCGAGAGAGAUAUUAACAUAAACUAGGGAUUUCUACGGGAUAAGUCAAGUGAAUAAAUCGUCUAAGUCAAAGGUAAUAAGUGAAGUCUAGGUGGAUUCUUUCUUGGGUAUUGUUUUCUCAAUCGGUUUUCCUAAAGUAUUUUCCAACUUUCACCUCUGUCAUGAUCUUAGAUAAAUUAGAAAAUUAGUUUAGUUUAAAAACACCCUCAAAUUCUUAGGGUAGAUAAUACAAAGAGAGUAACUACUAGUACUUUUGGUCCUCGUGGAUACGAUAUUCCAGUCUCACCAUAACUAUACUACUGUUCGAUAGGUGCGCUUGCCUUAAGUCGAAUUAUUAGUUAGUUUCACAACCAUCAUAGCUCAAUACUUAAACAAAUACAUAAUGAUUCUAAAUAUAUGUCACAUUUUAAGGUUAAAAUUUUAAAUUAUAUCAUUAUAUUUUAAUAUUUUUAACUAAAAAUAUGCAUGAGGCUAAUACAAUUAUUUGUUUAGGAUUGCAUAGGUGCAAUUGAUAGUACACAUAUUACCGUCAUUCUUCCACCAAAUAAACAAACUCCUUACAUUAGGAAAAAGGUGUCUCGACUCAGAAUAUUAUAGUAGUUUGUGAUUUUAAUAUGUGUUUCAUAUUUGUUAUGGUUGGAUGGGAACGAUUGGCACAUGACACUAGAAUAUUUCUUGAUGCAAUUUGAGAUCCAAAAUACAAAUUUUCGCACCCACCAACUGGUAAGAUGUUUCAUUUAUUUUAUUUUAAAUAAUGGAGUAUAAGUUCUUUAAUUGAUUAUUUUAAAAAAUAAACAACUCUUGAAUUAAUUGUUUAUCAUAUUAUGACAUGUAGGAAAAUAUUAUCUUGUUGUUUCUAGAUAUCUUCAAAUGAAAAGUUAUAUUAUAGUAUUCAAGGAUGGCCAUUGAUAUAAUUGUUUAUCAUAUUAUGACAUGUAGGAAAAAAAAAGGCUUUAAUAGAGAUUAUAUUAUAGUAUUGGGCUAAAUUUGGAAAAAAUACCUUAAUAUAAUUUAAAUCUUUAUUUUUAAUUUGGAGAAACGGAAUGGAAUGAAACGUUUAAUAUUGAAUUAACCCCUUUUGUUUACAAUAAUUAUGGCAUAUAUAAAAAAAAUAACCCAAAACCUACCAUCUAGAUGAAAAUAUUGAUUAUAAAAGAAUAAUAUUUUAAUCUUAAGCAAACAAUUUAAGUAGUUUCUUAUGCUAAUAGUAUUAAAAAUGUUGUGCAAAACGAAAAUUACAAUAAAAAAACGAUAAUAAUAGGAUUGUCACUAUUUGGCUUUUUUUUAAAACUAACCUAAAAAAAUGAUUAAUUGCAAAACUGAUCUAGGUGUAAAAUCUUGUACGAAAAUGACCCAUUUUCUAUGGUGAUUAUUGGUGCUGCCAAUGAGAAUGGCGGCACCACCCCUCAUCAUUAUCCAAUGACUGCCAAAUUUAAAAAAUAAAUAAAUUUCUUUGGUGUUGUCAUUCCCAUUGGCAACACUAGUAUAUAUUUUUCUACAUACCCGUUAAAAAUAUUGGUAUUUUGGGGGGAAAAAAAAUAUUUUGAUGGGUGCUGCCAUUCCCUUUAGAGGCAUCGGAAAAUUAAAAAAAAAAAGGUGCCAGAUAAAAAAAAUGUAUCAGAGAAAAGAAAAAAAUUUAUAUACUUUUUGGUGUCGUCGUUUUUCUUGGCGACACUUAUGUCAAAAAAUUUUAUUUAUUUUUUAUUUUCGUGUCGCCAGGUUGUGUAGCGCAAGUCAGACCUUUUUCUUCUUCUUCUCCCCCUCUUCCUCUAUAAAUCCCAAUGGUCCCCCAUUCACCCCACUAGUCGAAAUUUGGGAAAGAAAAUGGAGAAAUUGAAAAUUUUGUAUUUCUUUUGGUGUUUGAAGUUUUGAGAUUGUUGUAUUGGUAUUUUGAGGGAAAAUCUUAUUAGAUUUAAGAUUUUUUAAUUGCAAUAAUUUAUAUAUUAUAAUAUAAUGUUUAACCGUAUUUAGUUUUUUGAGUUGGUGAUUAAUUUUUUAUUGAUUAUGCAAAUAUCACUAUGAGUUCUCUUCUCCGAGCAUCCGAUCACACUGCACUGAUGAUGAACGAGCUGGUAAAAUAUUUUGAUAUUUAUUACACAAAUAUAUUUAUAGAGUUGCGAUUUAACUUAUAUUUACUUAGUCGAUUUAACAAAUGUGGUUAUAUGAUAUAGACAAGAUGAGUACCGGUUGAGGUUGUGAGUUCAUAUUUCAAGAUACCGUUUGGACGAAUGGAUUAUGCUAUACUUGGAUGCCGCCAGAUUUGGAAUAGCGGCAUUGGUCCGGAUGUUUGACUUAAGAGUAAACUUAAUAUUUGCCUUGUUUGAGUGGUGACGCCCGAAGACCCACAUUUUUGAUCUGCCAUGUGGGAAGUGCACCAUCACCCUGGAAGACGUCGCAAUGCAACUCGGGCUCCCAAUUGACAGUGAUGCGGUCACAGGUUCAAGUUAAAUGGUCAAACCUUCAGCCCUCUGCUACCAGUUGCUUGGAAGCUCACCCGAUGAUGGGGAAACUAGAUUUACUAGUUUGAAAUUUUCCUGGUUGAAUGAAAAUUUCCAAACCUUAUUGAGCAAUGCCACUGAGUCAAAUCUGAUGUGCGCUGAUUGAGCAUAUAUAUUGCAACUGAUAGUGGGGUACUUAUGCCAAAUGCAAAUAGUAAUAAGGUCCACAUUAUGUACUUGCCUCUAUUGGCCGAUUUGUAUCGGGCUUGUUCCAACAGUUGGGGUUUAGCGAUAUUGGUGAUGUUGUAUAUUGAGCUUUGUCGGGUGACAAAGCAUGACACACAAUAUAUAUGCAGAUAUCUGAUAUUGCUGCAACCCUAGGCUUUGUACAUGAUGUAAUUUCUGUCAUCAGUGAAUCACCAACCACAUGUGUGACCACUUGUAGAUAGGUAAAAAAAAUUUGUAAAAUUGAAUAAAGAAUAAUUAUUAUUAUUUAUUUAUUUAAAUAUAUAAUAUUAAUUAGUUAAAAGUUUGGUAUAGAAUUUGAAUAUUAAAUAUUAAAUAUAUAUAUUUGUAAAAAAUUUGAUAUUUGAAUUUACAAUUUGAAUAUUAAUUCAAAACUUCUAUAUUAUUUUUAAUACUUUUAUGUUCGAAUUCAAUGUUUAGUUAAAUAUUAAUUUUACAUUAUUUUAUUUAAAAUUAUUUUGCACAAUGAAAAGAUGUAGUGAAUUUUUUAAUAAGUUUAUUAAUACUCAUAGUAAACUUGAAUUGUACUUUCUACACCGCUAAUGAAACAACUUGUUUAGCUUAAUAAUUUUGUUUCUUUAAAAAAAAAUUUUAACUAUUUUUAAUUGGAAUUAAUUAUUUUUUAAUUUGUACAUUUUUUUAUUAUUAACGUUGAAUAAUCUUAUUCAUUUAAUAAUCUGUCGAUUGAUAUGAAUAAAUUAAAUUAAUGGUUUUAUUUUAUAUAUUUAAAAAUUUUAACUAUUUUAAUUUUAUGUAAUUACUUAAUAUUUCAAUAUAGUUGAUUUCUACCUUAUUUUCAUUAUUUUUAAAAUACAUAAAAUUGGACUAAAUUACGGAAUUAUUAAUUUCCAUUUUUAAAAUUGGCCAUCAAUUAUUUCCAAAACUUCAAUUUGAUCUUUAAAUUACGAAAACUUGGUUUAAUCCAACAUGGUUCAAUUUGGUUCCCCUAUUAUUAGUUCAGAAAGUUUUACUCUUAGUCCUCAAAAUUUGAAAUGAGGUUUGAUUUGACCCUUAACUCAGUUCAAAAUACUGUUUUAUCCUCAAAAAAUUUGAAACACUCAAUUUAGCCCCUCACUUAAAACUAAACUUUAACCUUAAUUCUAAAACCAAAGUAAAAAAUUUAACUUGGUUCUAGAAUUACAUUCGUAGUAACUAUUUUUUCUGGGUUACAACCGAGACAAGAUCAAAUUAUAUAUAUAUAUAUAUAUAUAUAUAUAUAUAUAUACUUUAUUGUUUUAUUAUAAUUAUAAUUAGUACAAGAAAUUCUAUACAUGCGUAAGCAUGUAAGAAUCAUGUAUUUAGAACAUAAAAGUAUUUGAAAAUAACAUAUAAUAAAUAAUAAAAUAUAUGAUUCGAAAUUAAUUAAUAAUAAUAAAUAAAACAUGUACGAUAUUACAAAUAAAAAAGAGAGAGACUAAAUUGUGAGUAAAACAAAAUUUAAACACAUAAAUACAUCAGAUUAAGAAUACUAAAUUAGUACAAUUAUUUAUCAUAGUGUUGUUAUAAAUCUUGAACUGUUGUUAACUUAACUUGUAACAUCAACUCAAUCAACAACAUUACUAAUACUAGAGAUUUUAUCACACACGUACGCAUAUUUAGAACAUAAAUGUGUGUUUGAAAAUAACAUACAAUAUAUUAUGAAAUGUAUGAUUUGAAAUUAAUUAAUAAUAACACAUUAAAUAUGUACUAUAUUAAAACAGAAAAAAAUGGAUUAAAUUGUGAGCAAAACAAAAUUUAAACACAUAGAUAUGUCCGAUUAAGAAUACUAGCUAGAUGAGUACAAUUGUUUAGAAUGGUGUUGUCAUCAAUCUUGUCUUGGUGUCGAGUUAACUUGUGACACCAAUUCAUUCAACAAUAUUAUUAAUUAAUAUAUAUUAUGCAAAUGAUGAAGAUAAUAAAUUGUGCAUAUUAAAAUAAAAAUGUAUAAAGAAAAUAUUAAAAUGAAGCUUUGGUUUGAGUAAUAAAUUUAAAAUUUUACUAAUUUAAUUUGUGUGAGUUAAAUCACACCAUAUGCAUAUUUUUCUUUAAAAAAUAACUAAAGUAACCUCCAGUAAUAUGACUUAUUUUAAUUACAGAAAAAUAUUUCUAUAAUUUUUCUAAUUAAGUUGGUGUCUGAUUGAAUCGUAGGCAAAGAAAAAGGGAAAAUAAUUUAAAUUUAAAAAAAAAAGACAAUAGGGGAACGGUUGUGACAAAUGUUGUUUGAACCAGACCGAAUCGAUUGGUCAGAUUAGUUGGAUUUAGAACUAAUCGGGGGAUCAGUUCGAAAAAUAAUUUUGAAUCGAUUGGAUCAGAACUAGUUGAACCGGAUAAAAAUUCGAUUGAAUAGAUGAUUAAAUUUUUAAAAUUUUUAAAAUCUUAAUAAUUUUUAAUUAAACUGGUUGGAUGGAUGAACUGUACAUAUGGAUUCCACCAUCCAUCGAGUUUUAAAAAAAAUCAGUUGUUACUUCUAAUUUCUAAGGAGAAAUUUGGGGAAGGGAGAAAAUAGUUACAUAUCAUGUUCUUCAUUUGGACGGGAUUCCAACACCAAAAAAUUAAUUAAUAUCUAUUUUUCCCAAGCUUCAUCACCAGCCAUCACCUUCAAAUGAACCCAUUUAAUCAAAUUAUCAGUAACGGCGGCCGACGCGAUAGUUCGGGGUCGGUUACUGGAUUUGGGUUGCCGAUGGUGUAUAAUAUAAAGGGUAAUCUAUAAAAAUAGUCACUUUUGUUUGUCUCAGGUUAUAUUUUAGUCACUUAUGUUUAAAAUGUUACGUUUUAGUCACUUAUGUUAUUAUUUUGUUACGAAGUGAUCACUCUGCCGUUAAGUUCCGUUAUCUCUUUAACGGUAAUCGUAGGUGGCAGUCCAACUAGAUUUUAGGUGCCAACUUAGAUUUCUAAAUGGGAUGAAAAUAAAAUUUUAAUUAAUUAAAAUUUUCAAACCUAAACCUUAACUAAAAAAACUGUUCAUCCCUUCUUUUUAAUUUUUCUUCUGUCUCUUAUUUUUUUUCAAUGAUUUUUUUUUCAUUUGGCUGGAAAAACUAUUAUUAAGAUCAAAAUAGUUGAAAUCAGCAAUAAGAAAGAAUAAUCUAGAAUACUCACAAAGAGAUUGUGAACAUACAAGUUGAUUCAGAUCAGAAAAAAAUUGAUUGAGAAACCAAUUAUUCAAUAACUGUGAAAGAACUAGAAACUAUAAUAAUUAGGAACAAGAACAGUGAAAGUAACAGCCCUUUUCUGAAAAUUUUAAAACUAGCUUGAAUGAAACAUGUUUCUGGUCCAUUUUAUGGGAUGUCUAUUGACGCAAAAUAAAAUGCAUGUUUACAAAUAAUUUCAAAAAGUAGAAGAAAAUAUCAAGAAUUUUAAUUUAGGGUUUUCAUUGAACAAUAAAAAAUCUAAUCUUUUGUUUUUCAGUAUUGAAUAAAGAGAUCGAUGAAUAUAUAGAAGACAUACCUGAACCUUCUAUUGAAUCCAUCUUUAUGAAGUAGUCAAUUUGAUUUCAACUAUUUUGAUCUUAAUAAUAGUUUUUCCAAUCAAAUGAGAAAAAAAACCCAUUGAAAAAAAGAAGAGAUGGAAGAAAAAUUAAAAAGAGGAUAGGAACAGUUUUUUUUAGUUAAAGUUUAGGUUUAAAAAUUUUAAUUAUUUAAAUUUUUUAAUUAAAAAUCUAUUUUUAUCUCAUUUAGAAAUCCAAGUUGGCAUUUAAAAUCUAGUUGGACUGCCACGUAGGAUUGCCGUUAGAGAGAUAACGGAACUUAACAAUAACAUAAGUGACUAAAACGUAACAUUUCAAACAUAAGUGACUAAAAUGUAACCUGAGUCAAAUAAAAGUGACUAUUUUUGUAGAUUACCCUAAUAUAAAAAGAAAAGACUCACGGUUUAAAAAGAAAGGGGAAAGGAUCCCACGGCACAAAGAAAAGCAGAGACCUGAAUGAGAAGCGCAUAACUAUCAUCCGUUACCAGUAACCCAAGAAGCAGGGCUGUUGAUCAGAGAACUGCACGACGGAAAUGCUAAAUUCUUUUCGAAGAUGGCACAAUCUAUCACUGGGUAUAAUCCCUUUUUUUUUUUUUUGUAACCAGUUAAUAUAUACGUUGUUCAUCGUUUUUGCUGGAAAUGAGUUAAUGAUAUGAUACACCGGUUUAUCGUGUAUAUUGUUUAUUUUUUUUAGUAAUGUUAUCUUAUUUAGAGAAUAAGUAGAUUAGAAAAUGAAAGUAAGUUUUUCAUUUGAACAGCAAAACAAGUGGUAUUGAUAAAGAAAGGACACUUCAAAAGCAUUACAGGAGACUGAUCAAAUCCGACAAAACAAAUUUUCAUGUGUGUAAUUUUGGAUAAGUUUUAUUUUCCUUAUUUAAGAGUAUAAUUCAAAGAGUGAAGCAGAGGACUUGGUGGUUUAUCCAAAAAGUGCUGCGAAUCCCAGCUUCCAUGAUUGAUUGCUGAGACUAUACCCUCCAUCGAUUGGUAAGUUGACACCACUAAUAAAUUUAGCCUCAUCACUUGCCAAAUACAGUGCUGCAUGUGCAAAAUCUUCAGGCUCCAAUACAGUGCCUUUCAACACUGCUGAAGCCGCAAUCAUCUCCUCUCCCUUCUUCUUAUCGGGUAUCCCAAUUGAUUUUUGGAACAUUGGAGUCGAAAUUGCAUGAGGUGAAAUAGAGUUGACUCUAAUUCCAUGCUCACCUAACUCCACGGCCAAGCUCUUCGUCAACCCUGCAACGGCAUGCUUCGAUGCCUUGUAUGCAUGGGGGCUACCGAAGCUGAUUUUUGAAGCAAGACUUGAAGUGAAUAGUAUGCAACCUUUCUUGGCCGGAACCAUGACCCUGGCAGCAUACUUGGCACCCAAGAAACCACCCAACACAUUGAUAUCAAACACUCUCUUGAAGUCCUCCGUGCUGGCGUGUGUCACUCUUGCUUCGUUGUCACCAAGAGUGCCGGCAUUGUUGAACAUGAUAUCGAGCUUUCCGUACUUGGAGACAGCCAAGUUUACGGCAUUUUCAACAUCGGAUUCGCACGUUAUAUCGCAGUGGACAUAGCUGAUGUUUUCAGUUCCAAGCUCUUGGCAAACAGAGUCGCCCAAUUCGUCUUGAAUAUCAGCAAUGAGAACCUUGGCUCCAUGUUUGACAAAUAGUGUGGCUGUGCACUUUCCUAAGCCACUGGCACCACCAGUUAUCAGUGCCACCUUGCCAUCCAGCCUGUAACAAAAAGAGAAGAAACAAGGUUUAGAUACUAAUUGAUAGUGUAAAUACUUAUAAUUUUCCCUCCCAAAUAAAUUUAGUCCUUAUAUUAUUGUUUAGAUCUUUUUAAUAGUAUAUAGACUAAUUUAAUUCAUUUAAUAAUAAAGAGAUGAAUAUCAUUUUUUAAAAGACUGAUUACAUGAAUACACUUGAGUACACAUUCGGUUCAAUUUUUUUUCACUUUGAAAACGCAUUGGUAAGCCUAUUCUAAACACUAUCAUGUUUAAUACAAGUAGGUUAUUUUUGACAGAAGUACAACAUAUUGAUUUUAAUGUUUUGUAUUAAAUUCGAUUAGAUUAGUCAAUUUUGACCCUAAUCUAAAAAUUUGAUUCGAAUAAUUUAAAUUUAAACCUAAUCAAAUCAAAUUCAUUCUCAAAAAGGUCAACAACUUGAACCUAAACAUGACUCGAAUAAAAAUUGAACUAAAUGAAAAUUAUUCAAAUACGAAAUGACUCAAAUUUAAAAUGAUACAAAUAGUUAACUUAGCAUAAUUUAAAUUGUGAUGAUUCUAUUGGCCAACCCGAAAUGAUUAGGAAAUAAUUCAAAAUUAACCUGAUUUAUUGAAUUGAAAUAUCUAAAAUAUGAAUUUUUGGAAUCUUAGGAUUUUUUUACCUCUUGGUUAUUGAAGACUCGCAGCUCAUGGUGGUUGUGAAGAAAACAGGCCCUCCCCUUUGCUUUUUCUUUUGAUUUCAAUGAUUGGGAUGCUGUGUUUUCUCCUCUUUGUGAUUCUGCUCUUUAUAAUUCCUGGGAGUGUGACAUUGUUUCUUAAAAUUCAACAAUGGAUUGUUCUGAAAAUUCAACAAUGGCGUCGUACUUAUUUUAUAUUCAAGGCUUUGAAGUCUGUAAAUUUGACAAAACGUUUUCCAUUAUUUUUGCUUUGACUUGUAAAUUUAGAAAAUAGAAAGUAAUAUUUUUAUUUCAUAUGAUAUUUAUUACUAUUAUCCAAUUAUUUUAUUAAAUCAGAUUGCAUAAUUAACACAAAUUCAAUAACAAAUACAUAAAUACCAAAAUCAAAUAAUAUAAACGUAUGACAUUGCAUAUAUAAAAUAAAUAUUUUCAUUUUACAUGUAUUUAAGAAACUCACUUCAUCAAAUAAUUUUUUUUUAUUUUUAAUUUCACAAAUCAUAAAUAUUUCUCCCUCAUAAUCGGUAGUAUUUAUUAAAUUUUUUUUAUAUGACUAUGAUGAAGUUUUUUUUUUUUAAAUAUUACAUUCUUUUCAAUCCAAUGCAUUCAUUGAUUAAACGUACUCAUUAUAUAAUUUUUUAAAAAAUAUUUAUUUAUUGAAAAAAUUCAAACCAAUAACUUAAUAAUUGAAUUCAAAGUUGGCUAGCUUUAUUUUUUAUGAAAUGAAGAUGAAAAAUCUGGCUUGACCUGCACCGCUAUCUAUUUUAUUAAGCACGAAGACUUUUUAAAUUGAGCUAAGCUCCGUCACCCUGUCCCCACUUUUCGUCACAUUUGAUAUAAAAUAAGUGUCAAUAUAUAUAUUUAUUCGAUACCUUAGUUUAAUUUUAAUGUAUAAUUUAAUGCUUAAAAUUGAUAUCUAAGUUUUCUUUUAUGUCAAUUAAGUGUAUAAGCCAUUAUAAUACUUAAUUUGAUAUUUAAGCUUUCUUUUUAUUUCAAUUAAAAUUUAUAAUUUUUGUUACUAGAGCACAUGUGUCAAAUAUUUAUUGGUUAUAAUUGUUAUUUCAAUAGACUUAUAAAUUUAUAUUCUAGUCUUGCCAUCAUUAAAUCAACCUGACGAUAAACUCCAAUUAACAAAGAAAAGACUGUCAAAAACCCUAAGAGACCCACAACAUCAAUGAUGCAUAAAAGACUAAGGGUGAGUUUGGAUGGGCGGUGCGUUUAGCUGCGGUUAGUGUAAAAACUGUUGCGGAAGCGACGAUAAUAUUAAUAACAAUAUUAUCAGAAAUAUUUAGAUAAUUAUUAUGCCAACAAUUAUACUAAGAAAAUUCCCAGUUAAAUUGGAGGGGUCACAAAUGGUCCCGCUUAAAACCCAACAACUAGACAGAACUCACUUAGAUAUUUAUAGCAAUAAUAACUAAAUAAAUAUAACCAACAUAAAGCUAUUAAAUAUAAGCAAACAAAUAAGAAAUAAAAUACCAGAGAUUUAACGAGGUUCGGCCAAUUUAGCUUACGUCCUCGGACACUACCAAAUUAAUAUUUCUUCUAGAAAUAUUACAAAGGAGAAGAUUUUGGGAUUAUACAACCAAAGGGGGAGGGGUUCUAUAUAUAACAAACCAAACCCCCUCCCUUUCUAUCUUUUCCUAAUGUGGGAUAUUGCCAAUAUUCAACAAAUCUCCACCUUGGCGAUAUUCCACAUCUUCGAACAUCUUCUCAUAACACUAACUUCAAUAGUGUCUUCAAAUUUGCAACCAAUCGCCUUCUUCCCUUUUGGUAGUUGUGCCAGCUUCCACGUCUUGUUUUUCUCUAGAGAUUGCAUUUCCUCUUCCAUUGCACCUAACCAUCUAUUAUUCUCUAAACUCUGAAUGGCUUCGGUGUAAGUGGAUGGAAUAUUAUCAACAACUGGAAGUGCAUAAGCUACCAUGUCAGUGAAACGAGCUGGUUUCUGAAUUUCUCGUCUCUGCCUUCUGACUGCAAUUGGCUCUGAUUGCUGUUGAGGUUCUUGGGUAGAAACCUCUUCCUCAUCUGACUCUGCAUCUGCCAAUGAAGAAUCACUAGUGGUACCUUCUGCUGGAAUUACCACACUCUGCUCAAACUCCACCUGCUGCGGAGUACACUCCACCUGCUGCGAAGUACUACUCACUCCUUCUGGAUUUACCUUAUUCAACAUGGCAGAUUCAUGAAAGGUAACAUCCCUACUGAUUAUCGUCUUCUUUGCCUCUAGACACCACAAACGAUAUCCCUUAACACCAGCAUUGAAGCCCAUGAAUAGAGCCUUCUUUGCUCUUGGAUCUAACUUUGAUUCUUUCACAUGAUAAUAUGCAAUAGAACCAAAAAUGCGCAAGGUGUCAUAAUCAGUAGCAGGUUUUCCAUACCAUUUCUCCAAAGGAGUCUUGCCAUUUAUAGCAGAUGAUGGCAAAUGAUUGAUGAGAUGUUGAGCGUACGUCACAGCCUCAGUCCAAAACUUUCUAUCUAAUCCAGCAUUAGAUAACAUACAUCGAACUUUCUCCACAAGCGUUCGAUUCAUACGCUCUGCCACCCCAUUCUGUUGCGGUGUUCCACCUACGGUGAAGUGCCUUACUAUGCCACAAUCUUGGCAUAUCUUCAGGAAAGGAUCGCUUUUAUAUUCUCCACCGUUGUCUGAUCGGAGAACCUUAAUCUUCCUUCUUGUCUGAUUUUCAACUUUAGUUUUCCACUUAAGGAAAACUUCAAGCACCUAAUCUUUGUUCUUCAUAGGAAACACCCAAACUCGUCUGGAAAAAUCAUCAAUAAAGGUGACAAAAUAACGUCUUCCUCCAAGUGAUGGAGUCUUGGACGGUCCCCAUACAUCAGAAUGCACAUAAUCCAGAAUACCUUUAGUAUUGUGAAUCCUAGUGCCAAAUUUCACCCUUCGUUGUUUUCCCAGAACACAAUGCUCGCAAAAUUCAAGUUUGCAAGUCUUUGUACCUUUCAAUAAUCCUUGCUUGGCUAGAGUUUGCAAGGAUUUUUCACCAGCAUGGCCCAAACGCAUAUGCCACAGCUGUGUUGCCUCAGCGUCCUUCUUGGUACUCGAAAUUGCUGCUGCUGUUGUCCCGACCACUGUACUACCUUGGUAGUAAUACAGAUUGUUCUUUCUUAUGCCUUUCAACAUCACCAAUGCUCCUGAAGUUGCUUUAAGAACUCCAUCUCGUAUUGUCACAACUAGGCCUUUAGAUUCUAACGACCCCAAAGAGAUGAGAUUCUUCUUCAACUUUGGGACAUAUCGUACAUCCCGCAAAAUUCUAGUAGAUCCAUCAUGACUCCUCAGUUGAAUUGAACCUAUCCCGGCUAUUUUACAUGUGUUAUCAUUACCCAUGUAAACAACCCCUUCAUCUAGUUUUUGAAAUUCAAAGAACCAUUCCCGAAUGGGACACAUAUGAUAGGAACAACCAGAAUCCAUGAUCCACUCAUCUGCAUAUAAUGUUGAAGAUGUCAUACUAAGAGAAAAGUCUGACUCUGCUUCACUAUUGCAUUCUGCAACAUUUGCAUCUUGCGGAGUCUUCCCUUUUUUCUUCAAUUUUGGACAAUCUUUCUUCCAAUGUCCUUUUUCUUUGCAAAAGGAACAUUCAUCUUUGGCAACAGCUCGACCUUUGGACUUUCUUCUCUUCCCAUUAGACUGACUUUGCUGACGACCUCUUGUUACCAAUGCUUCCACUGCUGCUUCACCUAAACCUUUCAACUUAUCCUUUCGGCGUAGUUCAUAGCUAUACAAUGCAGCAGUUACUUCAUUGAAAGUUACUUCCGAUUUUCCAUGAAGUAGAGUAGUUUCAAGGUACUCAAACUCCUCAGGAAGCGAUCCCAACAACAUUAACGCCAAGUCUUCGUCUUCAAAAGUCACAUCCAAAUUCAACAAAUCAGCCACCAGCUGAUUAAAAUUGGUAAUGUGCUCGUUCAUCGUGGUACCAGGAACAUAAUUGAAACGAAACAGUCUUUUCAUCAUAUGCAACUUAUUUUGACUGUUCUUCUUCAAGAAUUUCUCCUCCAAUGCUUUCCACAAUUUACUUGCAGAAGUCUCUUUACUGAAUGUAUACUUCUGCUCUCUGGAAAGACAUGAUCGAAUUGUACCACAUGCCAAUCGGUUGAUGGUCUUCCAUUCUUUAUCAUCAACCCCUUCUGGUUUUUCUUCCUCAAUGGCAAUAUCUAGACCCUGUUGAAAGAGGGCAUCUAGAAGCUCACUUUGCCACAUGCCAAAAUGACCUGUUCCAUCAAAAAUUUCCACUACAAAUCUCGUAUUUGCAGUUCCAAUCCUCGGCAAAAUGUACGAAGUGGAAGUUGUUGAUAUGGAUGGUUUUUCUUCUGUCAUUUUUGCCAUAGCUUCUACUUAAUAGCCACCAAAUGCAGAAUACCCACAAGCUUUAGGAAAUGUUUCUGAUGUGUAAGAUCAGACUAAGCUGCAAACACAGAGCAUACUACAAAACCUUGGCUCGGAUACCAAUUGUUGCGGAAGCGACGAUAAUAUUAAUAACAAUAUUAUCAGAAAUAUUUAGAUAAUUAUUAUGCCAACAAUUAUACUAAGAAAAUUCCCAGUUAAAUUGGAGGGGUCACAAAUGGUCCCGCUUAAAACCCAACAACUAGACAGAACUCACUUAGAUAUUUAUAGCAAUAAUAACUAAAUAAAUAUAACCAACAUAAAGCUAUUAAAUAUAAGCAAACAAAUAAGAAAUAAAAUACCAGAGAUUUAACGAGGUUCGGCCAAUUUAGCUUACGUCCUCGGACACUACCAAAUUAAUAUUUCUUCUAGAAAUAUUACAAAGGAGAAGAUUUUGGGAUUAUACAACCAAAGGGGGAGGGGUUCUAUAUAUAACAAACCAAACCCCCUCCCUUUCUAUCUUUUCCUAAUGUGGGAUAUUGCCAAUAUUCAACAAAAACAGCGGUGGCGGUGAGAUUAGAUACUGUAGCGAUACUGUAGCGAGAGACAAAAAGUAAGUUAAACGCACCGCACCGCAGUCAAUCGCCCAUCCAAACGAAGCCUAAGUCUCAGAUUGCUUAUGUUCUCCUCAUCAUCUCAAAUUUAUUACCAUCAUUAAGAUCUAUCAUGAUAAAGCCUUUCGAGAAUAGUUCCUAAUAGAUAUAGCGACACCCUUAUAUUGACAAAUCUCACAUAUAUGCCAAAACAUGACUAAAAAUUAAAAAUAAAAAUAAAACCACCUCUAUUUUCAAAGAACACAGAGUGAACAAACCAAAAACCAUGAAAAAUAUAGACAAAAUAAAAUUAUGAAAUUGUCGACUGAAUAUGAAACUCCCCUCAUCUAGAAUAAAUUAAUACAUCAUGAGCAAGAGAUACCACAUUCGAACACUAAGGCUAACUUAACUUGAGCAUCAAUUUCAAGUCUUUACUUAUAACACCCUUUACCUAACCCGAUCGUUGGGUCCGGGUACCAAAUACUACAUUAACCCGAAGGACUUAAUAAGCUUUCUGUUUCCAAUAUAAGUACAUCAUUAACAAUUCGGAUUUUUUAAUUUAAUUUGCUAGUACGUCUUGUACAUAGCUGUUGUCACUCUUAGGAGCUCUAUUUCCAACAAUUUAUGUACAAAUCCAGGAUGGGAAUUCAAGAACAUAUACAGCCAACUAUAACCCUAAGGCAGAGCCUUUACGGUGCCUCUCUUUAUACAUGGAUAACUACUGUGUACCGCUUAACUUUCCCUGAGGACUCAACUUGGGAGGUGCUCCACGACUUGCAGCAAAAAUAGCCCCACUUCAAUCAUUGAGGAUAAGGAUGUUUCGAGGAAUGCAGUAUUGUUAUGGCAUGAAAAUGUUUCUGUUAAUUUAUGUUUUAUUUUACUUUUAAUGAUCAUUGGUGCUGCGCACCACUUUUAAGUGAAAUGGUGCAGUUUGCUCAUGUUAGUUAAUUGAAAUGGUGUCAAUAACAACUCGUGGCAACCAACCCCUUGGCCGUUAUGCACUACUAUUUCUAGCUGGAAGGGUGUAAAGGGACCGUCAUGGAAUGAUUGUGAAUUUCCUCUCUCCUUUUCCUCUCAAUUUCUCCUUCUAUUUUCUCCCAACUCUUUCAAAUUUCUCGUUUCCCUAAAUUUCACACAUCACAUUUUUAGGAAAAUGUAUAUUCCUUUCUCUAUGAGUAAAAAUAUAGUUAUUGGUGUAAUGUCUUAAGAAAAUUAUUUGCUUUGUAUAAAAAAUAUAAAAUUAUUUAAAUUUAAAUUCUAACAAAUUCUUAUGAUUUUGGGUGCUUAAAUCUUCUCUUGACCAGAUUAAUCAUUGUCCACCUUAAAUUAGAAAAUGAAAUUAAUUUACUCAUUUGAACAAUAAGUAAUUUUUGGAUUAAGUUUUACUUUCCUUAUUUAACAAAACAUUGUUCAAAGAGUAAAGUUGAGGACUUGUUGAUUUAUUCAAAAACUGUUGCGAAUCCCAUCUUCUAUGACUGAUUGCUAAGACAAUAGCCUCCAUCGACUGGUAAGUUAACCCCACUGGUAAGUUAUCAUCUUUUAAAAGAUUAUUUAAUUUAUUCGGAAAAAAUCAUUUGAAAUUUAGAAAAAAAAAAGUUGUAAAUUCCUGAAGGAAUUUAUAAAAUAAAUUAUUUACUGGGGUAAUAUAGUUUUUUAGUACUGUUAUAUUAUUUAGAGAAUUAAUUUUUACACUUUUGAGUGCUUGAAUUUUCUCUUCACCAGAUGAAUUAAUUUCCGCCUGGAUUAGAAGAUGAACUUAAUUUGCUCAUUUGAACAACAAAACAAAUAGUAUUGAUAAAAUCCGACCAUGCAAUUUAUAACAAGUGAAAUUUAACAAAAUCUUCUAAGAGUAUAGCUGAGGACUUGUUGGUUUAUUCAGAAAGUGCUGCGAAUCCCAUCUUCCAUGAUUGAUUGCUAACACUAUACGCUCCAUCGACUGGUAAGUUUUGUUGGGAAGAAACCGAACAAUCGAAACAAAGCGAAAGCACAACCGGUGUUCUUUCUCUCCCUAUAACUCCUGUCAAAAAUUAUGGCAAGCACAAUAGCACAAGAUAUGUUCUCUAGCAACCUUAAUCAACCACAAAUCAACUAAUGCAACCACAACAAAAAUAAAUAGAGACACCGGUAUUUUUACGUGGAAAACCCCUCUAAAUCAAGGGUAAAAACCACGGGACUUUAGAGUCCAAUCAAGAGCUCCACUAUCAUCAAAUGUUCAACUACAAGAUCACAAUAUCAAGCCUACAACAAGCAUUCAACUCCAACAAGGCUAACAAUAUGUAAUCUUUAGCAAAAGAGAGAAAAAUGAGAGAAUAUCACCAAAAACGCAGCUUUUGAAAAACGGAUAUUUUCGACUCUACAAGACUCGGAUGAAAAAUCCGACCGUACAAAGUCAAGAACACCUUAUCGCCUAGCUGCUGUCCAAAAAUCAGCUCAAUCGAACCACAGAUGAACAUUCGAUCAAAGAGUUGAUCACUGUUGCACCAAACUUGGAAAAUUAAUUUUUUCUUCUCUCUUUCUCUCUGACGAGCUUCAAUCUCACUCUCUGUUUUAAUUUGAGAUUUUUGUCUCAAUAAAAUGCUGCCCACAUCCCACACAUAAAAAGCCAAAAAAAAAAAUUGGCUUUUGACAAAAUCAAAGAAGACAAAACAUUGUGGCAGAAAAUAUGGGUUUCCCACAUAGUGGGACCCACACCCAACAAAUCUCCCCCUCCAACUAUGUGGGGAAUGCCUCCAUACCGGAGGUCAAACAACAUGCUUCAAACUUUCCUCUUGGUAAGGCCUUCGUCAACAUAUCAGCACCAUUAUCAUUAGUGUGUAUCUUCUCAAGCUCUAAUAGCUUAGCUUCAAGAACAUCUCGUAUCCAAUGGUACCUCACAUCAAUAUGCUUAGAUCUAGCAUGAAAAGUUGAGUUCUUACCAAGAUGAAUAGCAUUCUGGCUAUCACAAUACAGGACAUACUUCUCCUGAGUAAAACCAAGCUCAUGCACAAACUUCUUCAUCCAAAGCAUUUCUUUACACACUUCGGUUGCUGCAAUGAACUCUAAUUCGGUGGUGGACAAUUCAACACACUUUUGCAGUCUCGAUUGCCAUGCCACAGCUCCCCCUGCAUCAGUGAUUAAGUAACUUGAAGUAGAUCUCCUCGAGUCAAUGUCUCCGGCCAUGUCUGAAUCUGUAUACCCAACAAGAACAGGUUUCUCAUUGCCGAAACAAAGUUUCAUGUUGGAAGUGCCACGAAGAUAUCUCAUAAUCCACUUCAUUGCAUUCUAAUGAUCUCUGCCUGGAUUAGAAAGAAAUCGACUAACUGUACCAACGACAUAAGCCAAGUCUGGUCUCAUGCAAACCAUUGCGUACAUCAAACUAUCCACGGCUGAAGAGUAAGGAAUUUUCUGCAUCUCUUCCUUCUCCUUUUCUGUGGAAGGACUAUGCUUAACACUCAAUCUAAAGUGCAUAGCAAAGGGAGUAUUCGCCGCUUUGGCUUUGUCCAUACUAAACCUUUGAAGUACUUUCUCAAUGUACCUCUCUUGUGAUAACCAUAAUUUCUUGGCCUUUCUAUCACGUGUCAAUCUUAUGCUAAGAAUUUGCUUUGCUAGCCCCAAAUCCUUCAUUGCAAAGGAUUUACUCAACUCUUGUUUCAACUUCUCAAUUCUAAAAGCAUUCUGACCAACAAUAAGCAUAUCAUCAACAUAGAGUAAAAGAAUAAUAAAAUCAUCACCAGAGAAUCUCUUAACAAAUACACAAUGAUCAGAAGUAGUCUUUUUGUAGCCUUACUCCCCCAUAACAGACUCAAACUUCUUAUACCAUUAUCUUGGAGCUUGCUUCAAACCAUACAAGCUCUUCUUCAAUCUGCACACAUAGUCCUCUUUCCCUUGUGUAACAAAACCCUCUGGCUGCUCCAUGUAAAGCUCUUCUUCCAAGUCACCAUGAAGAAAAGCGGUUUUCACAUCCAUUUGUUCAACCUCUAAGUCAUAACAAGCUGCCAAACUCAGUAUAGUUCUUAUAGAGGACAUCUUCACAAUCGGAGAAAAUAUUUCUUCAAAAUCAACCCCAUUUUUCUGAGUAUAACCCUUGACGACCAAUCUAGCUUUGUAUCGUGGAGAUGAAGACUUCUCUUAUUGUUUCAACCUGUAAAACCAACCGAUUCUUCAAAGCUCUUUUGCCCUUAGGCAGUUUCACCAAUUCAAAGGUAUGGUUCUCAUGCAAGGAUUGAAGUUCGUCUUUCAUCGCUUCAACCCACUGAUCUUUGCAUUCACUCUCCAUAGCCUCUUCAUAACAUUCAAGUUCUCCCCUGUCAGUCAAAAGAACAUAUUCAUCAGGAGAAUACCUGACAGAAGAUCAUCGAUCUCUGAAAGACUUCGAAGUGGAACUGUUGGUGGAGCUAUAGGUGCUUGUUGUUGAUCAUUCACAACAUCAUCCAUAGGAGUAUCAAAGUCACCUAUAGUCUGAUGGUCACCACUAACAUCACCAUGCACAUCAUCCUGGAUAGGAUCUGGUGAAGAGUCUAGGGGAACCGGAUUCACAUCGAUCAAGUCACCACUACCUUGUGAAUCCACUUUCUCCGUCUUAUCAAUGUCAUCAACGGUCUGAUCCUCAAUGAAGACAACAUCUCUGCUUCUCACGAGUUUCUUCUGAACUGGAUCAUAGAGUCUAUAACCAAACUCACCAUCUAGACCAUAACCAAUAAAAAUGCAUUGUCGAGCCUUGGCAUCCAACUUGGAUCUUUCAUCCUUUGGAACAUGAACAAAUGCUUUACAACCGAACACACGUAGGUGAUCAUAUGACACGUCUUUACCAAACCAAACUCUAUCUGGCACAUCACCUUUCAAAGGAACACUAGGAGACAAAUUUAUCACAUGUAUCACUGUAUUCAAAGCUUCAGCCUAAAACGAUCUUGGCAACUUUGCAUCUGACAACAAACAUCUGACUCUCUCAAUCAAUGUUCGGUUCAUUCUUUCAGCUAACCCAUUUAACUGUAGAGUCUUUGGUGGUGUUCUCUGAUGUCUGAUUCCUUGUCGCAGACAAUACUCAUGAAACGACCCUGUGUACUCGCCACCAUUAUCAGUACGAAUGCACUUCAACUUUUUCCCAGUUUCCCUUUCAACUGAUGCUUGAAACUGUUUAAACACCUCAAAGACUUGAUUUUUAGACUUCAAAGUGUAAACCCAUAGCUUUCUUGAACAAUCAUCAAUGAAAGUCACAAAGUAAAGUGCACCACCAUGUGAUCUUACUUUUAUCGGACCACAAACAUCUGAAUGGACCAACUCUAGCAACUCUAAUUUCCUAUGAGGAGGAUGGCUUCUAAAUGAAACUAUUCUCUGCUUUCCUACUAGACAAUGAGCAUAAUUCUUCAGUGUAGCAUUCUUUAAACCCGAAAGUUGAUUCUUCUUCGCUAAACAGUUAAGCCCCUUCUCACUCAUGUGACUGAGUCGUUUAUGCCACAACUCAGUUGAGCUGUCAUUCACUGUCACAUUCACUGUCUCUCGAGAAGUCAAAGCUUGCAUCAAGUACAAAUUUGAGCUCUUCUUUCCUCGAGCCACAACCAAGGAGCCUUUAGUCAACUUCCACUGCCCCUCACUGAAGGUGUUACAGAAUCCCUCAUCAUCAAGCUUUCCUGCAGAAAUCAAAUUCAAACGGACAUCCGGUGCAUGUCUGACAUCCUUGAGAGUUAACUUUGUUCUAUUGUUACUCACCAAGCUAACAUCUCCCAAACCAAUAACCGAAACCAAACCAUUAUUACCCAUCUUCAAUACCCCAAAAUCACCAGGAGUAUAAGAUAUGAAGAAUUCCUUCCUCGACGUGACAUGAAGUGAUGCACCAGUAUCAAUCACCCAACUAGUCUCGUCGCAUGCUAGGUUGACCAAAUUCUCAUCAUAAAUAACUAACAGAUCUUCACGAGUAACAAUAGCAACACGCUCAAAUUUUUCAUCGUCAUUCCGAUCGUGUUUAUCACCACCACCUUUUUUCUCUUUCUUCCACUUGAAGCAAUAUUUCUUGAUAUGACCUUUCUUACCACAAUGAUGACACUCAAGAUUCUUGUAUCUCAAUCUUGACUUGCUUCGACUUUUAUCUCUACUCUUUCCAUCUUUGUCUCUGUUCCUCCCCCUGUUCUCGAUAACCAACACCUCGGACUAUAAUGUAGAACCCUGAGAUCUUCUUCUAACCUCUUCAUUCAACAUACCACUCUUAGCCAAAUCCAAAGUAAUAAUACCCUGUGGGGCAGAAUUAAUGAGUGAGACCCGAAAGGUCUCCCAAGAGUCUGGUAGAGUAGCAAGCAACCAAAGUCCUAAAAUCUCGUCAUCAAAUUUGACACCCAUACCAAGCAACUGAUUCAUCACACUCUGAAAUUCAUUAACAUGGUCAGCUAUAGACAUUCCUUCUUUAUAUUUCAGCGCCAUCAUUUUCUUCAGCAAAAACAACUUGUUAUUGCCUGACCUCGAAGCAUACAAGCUUUCAAGCUUCUCCCACAAUGUUCGAGCAUGUGUCUCCUGAUCAAUGUAGUUGUAAACAUUUUCUUCAACAAAUUGUCGAAUAAAGCCACACACUUGUUGAUGCUCAAAUUCCUAUUCUUCAUCCCUUUUCGAAUCGGGUUUUUGAGUAGUAAAGACCGGAAGAUGCAAAGCCUUUACAAACAAUAAAUCUUUUAUUUUAUUCCUCCAAAGUUGAUAAUUUGUGCCAUUCAACAUAAUCAUCUUGCUCGUAUUAAUUUCCAUAAUUAUCUGACACAAUAACCAAGCUUUGAUACCAGUUUGUUAGGAAGAAACCGAGCAACUGAAACAAAGCAAAAGCACAACCGGUGUUUUUUCUCUCCCUAUAACUCCUGUCAAAAAUUAUGGCAAGCACAAUAGCACAAGAUAUGUUCUCUAGCAACCUUAAUCAACCACAUAUCAACUAAUGCAACAACAAAAAAAAUAAAUAGAGACACCGGUAUUUUUACGUGGAAAACCCCUCUAAAUCAAGGGUAAAAACCAUGGGACUUUAGAGUCCGAUCAAGAGCUCCACUAUCAUCAAAUGUUCAACUACAAGAUCACAAUAUCAAGCCUACAACAAGCAUUCAACUCCAACAAGGCUAACAAUAUGUAAUCUUUAGCAAAAGAGAGAAAAAUGAGAGAAUAUCACCAAAAACGUAGCUGCUAAAAAUGGGUAUUUUCGACACUACAAGACUCGGAUGAAAAAUCCGACCGUACAAAGUCAAGAACACCUUAUCGCCUAGCUGCUGUCCAAAAAUCAGCUGAAUCGAACCACGGAUGAACCUUUGAUCGAAGAGUUGAUCACUGCUGCACCAAACUUGAAAAAUUAAUUUUUUUCUUCUCUCAUUCUCUCUGACGAGCUUCAAUCUCACUCUCUGUUUUAAUUUGAGAUUUUUGUCUCAAUAAAAUGCUGUCCACAUCCCACACAUAAAAAGCCAAAAAAAAUUGGCUUUUGAUAAAACCAAAGAAGACAAAACAUUGUGGCAGAAAAUAAGGGUUUCCCACAUAGUGGGACCCAUACCCAACAAGUUUAACACCACUGAUAAAUUUAUCCUCAUCGCUUGCCAAAUUGAGUGCUGCAUGCGCAAAAUCUUCAGGCUCCAAUACGGUACCUUUUAGCACUGCUGAAAUCGCAAACAUCUCCUCUCCCUUCUUAUCGAAAUUCCCAAUUACUUUUUGGAACGUUGGGGUCACAAUUCCAUCAGGCAAAAUGCAGUUAACUCUAAUUCCAUGCUCACCUAAAUCCACGCUCAAGCUUUUCGUCAACCCUACUACCGCAUGCUUUGAUGUCUUGUGUGCAUGGGGGAGACCGAUGGAGAUUUUUGAAGCAAGACUUGCUGUGAAGAGUAUGCAACCUUUCUUAAGCAGAACCAUGACCCUGGCAGCAUACUUGCCACCUAAGAAACCAUUCAAUACAUUGACAUCGAACACUCUCUUGAAGUCCUCAGCGGCAUGUGUCACUCUUACUUCAUUGUCACCAAGAAUUCCUACAUUGUUGAACAUGAUAUCGAGCUUUCUGUACUUGGAUACAGCCAAGUUUACGGCAUUUUGGACGUCGGAUUCGCAUGUUACGUCGCAGUGGACAUAGCUGAUAUUUUUAGUUCCAAACUCUUGGCAAACGGAGCUGCCCAGUUCAUCUUGAAUAUCAGCUAUUUGGGAUCGACUUGAUUAAGCAACGAACAAGUAAAAAAGAAGAAGAAGAAAUUGAGAAAUUUAACAUACAAAUUUAACUUGAAAAAAACUUCUCCAAAACAGAAUAAAAAACCACAAGUAAAGAUAAUUUUACUAUAAUGGCAAAAGAACGAAGAGUACAAAAGAUAGAGAUAAAAAAAUUAAACCUCGAAAACCCGAAAACAAAGAACCCUCAAAACGUAAACACAAAAAUUCUCCAAAAAUGUUAUGAGUUAUAAUCUCUAAUGGGUGUGUUUUCUAAUGUUGUAAAAGAAUCUAUUUAUAGACUAAAUUCAUAGGUCAAAUAAUAAUAAAAUAAUCUAGACUAAUCAGAGUUUGAUUGAAACAAAUAAACAGCGUUUAACUGGAAGAUUAUUUCUCAAAUUUGACUGAAAUAGAAGUCACACUCAACAAAUCUCCACCUUGACUCAUAUUUCCACAACAUCAUCUUUGCCAAAGCCCAUCAUGGGUCUAUCUUGAACUAUGCAGGAAAUUAACUGAGCCAAACAUGUGCUUAGAAACUAGAAGACUUCUAGCCUUCGGCUUUCAAAUUGCCAAAUCAAAACUAACCUGGGUCUAACUUUCACGAACACAGUGCCCUAACUUUUCAAAACUUGUAUCCAAAAGAGAACCUUUCUUCAAUGGAACAAUCAUACCUUUUUCCCUCUAAUGACCAAGUUACCUCUGCUCCAAAUGAGUUGAUUUCGACUCCGUAACGAAUGAGUGACGUCCGAUUUCACCGGUCACUGUAGAACCUUCAAGAAUAUAAAGAUUGUCGAUAUUUUUACCUUUUAACAA
rnacentral:lncRNA from 1 species